rnacentral:lncRNA from 1 species
AUUCAUUUUUUUAAAUUUCUCGUACCCAAGUUUCCAAAGAUUCACAAAAAUUCCGGAUUCAUUUUUUAAAAUUCCUAUACACGAGGUUUCCAAAAAUUCGUAAAAUUUUGAAUUCAUUUUUAAAAAAAAUUCUCGUAACCAAGUUUUCGAAGAUUCGAAAAAUUCCGGAUUCAAUUUUUUAAAAAUUCUCAUACCCAAGUUUCUGAAGAUUCAAAAAAUUCUGGAUUCUUUUUUAAAAAAAUUUAUGUACCCAAGUUUCCGAAGAUUUCAAAAAUUCUAGAUUCUUUUUUUUAAAAUUCUCGUAUCCAAAAUUUCCAAAAUUUCCAAAUUCUGGAUUCUUUUUUUAAAAUUCAGGUACCCAAAAUUUCCAAAAACUCUCAAAAUAUUCAAUUUUUAAAAUUCUGUACCCAAAAUUUCCAAAAUCUCCAAAUUCGGGAUUCAUUUUUUAAAAUUUUAUACCCAAAAUUUCCAAAAUCUCUAAAUUCCGGAUUCAUUUCUUAAAAUUUUUGUACCCAAAAUUUCUAAAAUCUCUCAAAAUUCCGAAUUCAUUUUUUAAAAUCCCGUACCCUAAAUUUCAAAAAAUUCUCAAAAUUCCGAAUUCAAUUUUUAAAAUUCUUGUACCCUAAAUUUCCAAAAACUCUCAAAAUUUUGGAUUCAAUUUUUAAAAUUCCCAUACGCUAAAUUUCCAAAAACUGUCAAAAUUCUGGAUUAAAUUUUUAAAAUUCCGUACUCAAAAUCUCCAAAUUCCGAAUUCAUUUUUUUAAAUUUUCGUACCCAAAAAUUCCAAAAUCUCUCAAAAUUCCGGGUUCAAAUUUUAAAAUUCCCGUACCCCAAAAUUUCCAAAAACUCACAAAGUUCUAGAUUCAAUUUUUAAAAUUCACAUACCCUAAAUUUCCAAAAACUCUCAAAGUUCCGGAUUUAUUUUUCUAAAAAUUCUUGUACCCAAAAUUUCCAAAAUCUCUAAAUCCCGGAUUCAUUUUUUAAAAUUUUCGUAGCCAAAAUCUCUCAAAAUUCCGGAUUCAAAAUUUAAAAUUCCUGUACCUUAAAUUUCCAAAAACUUUCAAAAUUCCGAAUUCAAUUUUUAAAAUUCUCAUACCCUAAAUUUCCAAAAACUGUCAAAAUUGUGGAUUAAAAUUUUAAAAUUCCGCACUCAAAAUUUCCAAAAUCUCCAAAUUUCGGAUUUAUUUUUUAAAAUUUUUGUACCCAAAAAUUCCAAAAUCUCUCAAAAUUCCGGGUUCAAAUUUUAAAAUUCCCAUACCCCAAAAUUUCCAAAACUCACAAAGUUCCGGAUUCAAUUUUUAAAAUUCCCAUACCCUAAAUUUCCAAAAACUCUCAAAGUUCCGGAUUCAUUUUUCUAAAAAUUCCUAUACCCAAAAUUUCCAAAAUCUCCAUACCCUUCCAAAUUCAUUUUUAAAAAUCCCGUACCCUAAAUUUUCAAAAACUCUCAAAAUUCCGGAUUCAAUUUUUAAAAUUCCCAUACCCUAAUUUUCAAAAAACUGUCAAAAUUCUUGAAUUAAAAUUUUAAAAUUCCGUACUCAAAAUUUCCAAAAUCUCAAAAUUCCGGAUUCAUUUUUAAAAAUUUUCAUACCCAAAAAGUCCAAAAUCUCUCAAAAUUCCGGGUUCAAUUUUUAAAAUUCCCAUACCCUAAAUUUCCAAAAAUUCUCAAAGUUCCGGAUUCAUUUUUCUAAAAAUUCCUAUACACAAAAUUUCCAAAAACUCUCAAAAUUUUGGAUUGAAUUUUUAAGUGUCAUUUCCAAAAAUUUCCAAAGUUUUGAAAAUUCCUAAUUUAAUUUUUUUAGUUUCAAUUUCCAAAAUUUUCCAAAGUUUUGAAAAUUCCAGAUUUUAUUUUUUAGUGUUAAUUUCCAAAAAUUUCCAAAAGUUUCGAAAAUUCCAGAUUUAAUUUUUUAGUGUCGUUUUCCAAAAAUUUUCAAAAGUUUCGAAAAGUUGGGAUUUAAUUUUUUAGUGUCAUUUUCCAAAAAUUUCAAAAGAUUUGAAAAGUUUGGAUUUAGUUUUUUUAGUGUCAUUUUCCAAAAAUUCCCAAAAGUUUCAAAAAGUCUGGAAUUAUUUUUUUAGUGUCAAUUUCCAAAAGUUUCAAAAAUUCUGGAUUUAAUUUUUUAGUGUCAUUUCCAAAAAUUUCUAAAGUUUCGAAAGGUCUAGAUUUAUUUUUUUAGCAUCCAUUUCCAAAAAUUUCCAAAAUUCUCAAAGUUCGAAAUUAUUUUUUUAGUGUAAUUUUCCAAAACUUCCCAAAAGUUCGAAAAAUUCGGAAUUAUUUUUUUAGUGUUAAUUUCCAAAAUUUUCGAAAAGUUCGGAUUUAAUUUUUUAGUGUCAUUUCCAAAAAAUUUUAAAGUUUCGAAAAGUCCAGAUUUAUUUUGUUAGCGUCCAUUUCCAAAAAUUUCCAAAAUUCUCAAAGUCUGAAUUUAGUUUUUAGCAUCCAUUUCCAAAAAUUUCCAAAGUUGCGAAAAGUCCGGAUUCAAUUUUUUAGUGUCAUUUCCAAAAAUUUCCAAAGUUUCCAAAAAUUUGGUUAUUAGGGGAUGAAGUUCAAAUGGGAACGAUGUUAGUCUUCAGUUGAAAAUCAGUGGAAUGGGAGUAACUAAAUUUUUGCCACGUAGUCCAUAGUCAUGGCUGCGCUUGGUGGCCAUUGGGUAGAGCCUAGAGAUUACAUAUAUAUGGUUUGGUCAUGGUUGGAAAUUUUAGUAAAUUUGGAAUUUGCAUAUAUUGUGUGCUUGUGCUUAUUGAUUAACCCUUUCUUGCAGCACAUAGCUAGGGACCUCAGGUACACAACUUUGUUCUGGUUAUUAAUUUCCUGUGCGUGCUAAAUAUCAGCUAAGAUUACAUGAGUCCUGUCAUCUAUGUAACCUAGGGGAAUUGAGUGAUCUUCGACCCAUAUGCUCUAAUGUACCCAAUUCAAUAGUAGAGAUCGGAUUUCGGGCCUAGAGGGGUGCUACCUCGUAUAAGGUACCUUCUUGAUAGGUAACCUGAUCCCCGGACCCAGAAAUCUAGUUUCGUAGGCCUCUUUUUCCUAACUAGAGUUAUUGAGGGGUUUUUGUUCUUACUUAAUUUUCCCCAUUUCAAAAUUAAAAAUAAAAAGUAAGUGGCGACUCCAAACAAAAAUCGUCCCUCAUCGGGAUGGAUUUUCCAAAACUUAAAAACCACACUUUUUCUCCACACACCCUUUAUUAUUUUAAUUCGCGAGUUGCGUUGGUCGGUGGAUCGGGGGAGGGUCCACAUCCUUGUCAUAUGAGAAAUUGAUGAGUUUCACUUUGAGCUAUGAAUUUGUUUUUAAUAUCUUUAUUCUUUUUUCUUAAGGUUGUACAAUUUUCUUGCUCACUUUUUGAUGAAUUUUUUUUGUCAUAUCUUGAUCAUUGGUUGUUUUGAUCAACUGUUUUUUCAAGAAAAAUUGAGUAUUAUGCAACGUGAUCAAACUGUGAAUGAUCAACUUUUGAUCGACUGUAUUUUUCUAACCUUGGCUGAGAACCGUAUUAUGUGAUCGAAAUGUGAUCAAUUGGCGAUCAACUAUGUUUUGUCUAACCUUAGGUUGAAAACUAUAUUAUGUGAUCGAACUUGGAUUGAUCCAUCUUUGAUCAACGAUGCUUUUGUUAGCUUAACUAACAAUUUUAUUAUGUGAUUGAAUUGUGAUCGAUCAAACUUAUUCUCUAGUGCUUUAAUUAAAAAAUAAAAUAAAAUCAAAAGAAAUAGAAUAAAAUACAUGUUUAAAUAGCAAGGAAAAAAAGGGUUUCUCCAUCUCAAAUCAAAAUCCCCAAUUUUUUUCCAACCCUAACUCCUUCUAACCCCUUUUUCUCUUAAAACCCUUUUUGCUCGUCACUUUCUCUUCACCAUAGCAUUCAAAGUUUUCCAUUGCUCUUCUCCAUGGGUGGCUUCUAACUUCGAAAUCCCUUUCAUCUCUCUCCAACAAAGCAUGUUUUAUUGUGGAUUGUGGUUCCAACGGCUAGUUGUUCUCCAUUGCUAGGUAGGUUUGGUUUUCCUUUCAAUCUAAGGUUUGAUUAUGGAAGAUUUCUCAAAUUCUUAUUCUUAUGGUUCCUAAGUUGAGUACUAGGAAGAGACUGUGAGUUACAAUCCAACAUUUUGAGAUACUCUUGCUAAAGUGGAUAGUGCAUGUCUUUGGUGUUAAGGUUUGAUUUUCUAUAUUUUGAUUCACCUAAGUCAUUGUAUCUAUUCAUAGAUUUGUUUUGGUUUAGGUGUUCGUGGUGCUCCUUUGGCAUAUUGGUAUUGAUCCUUCAAUGUUUGCAAAAUUUUUUGUUGGAGCUUGAAUGUGAUAUUUUUGCUUGCAAUGUGAUGCUUAAUUUUAGGUCUUUCAUAUUUCUAAAAGGUUGCUUUCAUAGAGCUCCUAUUCGAAUUUUUUUGUCUAAUCCCAUGGAUAGGUUGAGGGGGAGGAAGCUCAUAUUGAAUUUUUUCUUGAUCUAUUUUACAUGAAUAUUCAAUUUUUGUUAGAACAUCAUUGGUCUGUAUGAAUAUCCUCUCAUUUUUAUUGUUUCAUUAAUGUGUUUAUUGAGGAUCCUAUUUUUAGGUUUUUUGAACAUAUUUAUUUUUUCCCUUUGUCUCAUUCUAGGAGAAAAAGGGGGAGAAUUUUUGGAUGUGCAUAUUGUAUAUCUUGAGAAGAUAUUUUACAUAUUGGUUUCUAUAUUCUUUAUGCGCAGGUACUACUAACUAUUUUUGUAUGUCAAUCUUUGAUGACAAGUUGUAUAGUGUCUAGUUUUUAAGGAUGAGCGAGUGUGUACCUUAUAUGAGAGUGGGGUGGGGUAUACUCUUACUCAUCGGUGUUUUAAAGGGUUUUGUCCCAAAAUUGCCAAAGGGAGAGAUUGUAAGUGUAUUUUGUGUAUUGGCAAUUUUGGGUCAAAAUUCCCAUUGUGUCUUGUAGCUCAUAUUUUUCAAAUUCUCUCUUGGAUACUUGCCUUUUCCAAAUUAUUCGUAUUUGAAGAUGGCUAAAGGAAUUGGUAAGUGCAUUUGAGGUGAUGGAUGAUGGCAAAAAGUGAUCAAUCGUAUUUUAAAUUUUUAUCCUUUUAUUGAAAAAUGAUAUUGAAGCAUAAAAGUGUAAAACAUUGUGUUUAAAACAUUUGGAUCGAUUUCUAAUCGAUUGAACUAAAGAACAACAAUUUAUCUUAAACUUAGAUUUUUCAGUCUUGUUCGAUCGAUCAAAUUUCAAUCAUAUCUGUGAAUUUUCAUGAUUUUCUAAACAAAUCUCAACCAUUGGAUGAGUUUCAAAACCCUAAUACUUAAGCCCUCUUUCUAGAUGUGGAGAGAUGACUGUGAGAGUAAAAACCCUAGGGUUUUGAGCUUCAAGUUUCUUUUACUAUAUUGGGGAGUGUUUGCCUUGUGAGAAAAUUUAUGGAUUUGAAUUGAAAAUCAAAUUUAAAGUGAAAAAUCUUUAGUUCCAAAUGGGUUGAUUCAUUGUGUUUUUUGCUAAGUUAUUUUGGUAGUUUAGUUGUUUUUUGCUUAAUUUAAAAAUUUUUAAAGUUUUUAUUCUACUCUCCAUGGUUAUUAAGGAAAAAUUUUCAAACUAAAAUUGGAGAAAUUGAAUUUUUGUCCUUUUACUUGACUUAGAGUUUGUAUUAUGCUUACUAAAGUUGAUGAAUUGUUGAAACUUCUAUUGAAGUCAACCUUAGUUCUUCCACUUUAAGCUAUUCACACACUAUGCACAAUAGGUUCCGAUUAUAAGAUGAAAAAUUAUUUCCCUCUUGACUUAGGAAAAUUUUAGACUUCGUACCUUUGACCUCAUUUAAUAGUGUUGGGACACCUUGUAAAAGGCCAAUGAGUCUUUGAAGAAAAGAAAAAAAGAAAGAAAAAUGUUUGCUUGCCUUGAAACCCGAGCAAGGUCUGAGGGGUAUAUGGUGAAAAUCUUUAAAACCUGGUGCCCUAAGCCUUCAUUGGUUGGGAGUCACCAAUGGACCCCCGUUACAUGGACAAUUUAGAAAAGAAUACCUUUAAGCCUUGUACUCCUACAAUGAAAAAAAUUGUGAAAAAAUAGGUACGUUCUUAGCCUAUUGGAGGUUGAUCAGUUUGCUAAGCUUUGAAAAAAAUCUAGGUUGGGGGGAGAGAUUAGUUCAACAUACUAUAUUCGGAAACUAAUAAAUAACACUUAGAUUUUUGUGGAAGAGUAAGGUUUGGUCCUUUGGAAGUGGAAAUGAUUUUAAAGCUUCAAUUUGCAUAAGGCCUUCUCUUUAAGAAUUGUGAUUAGAAAAAUUAUUUGAUAACUCUUGUUGAAGUUUGAGUUUUAUUUCUUUAAUGUUCCAUGUGAGAGUUAGAUCAUCAUGCCACUUGAAAAUUGUUUUUUUUAUCAGCAUGAUGUUGUAAAUUAUAGUACUUUUUAUUUUUAUUUUUCUCUCCUUCAUUGCUAAGGGACUAGCAAUAUUCGGCUGGGGGGAGUGAUUACUACUCAAAAAGUGCUAUUUUAUAGCUUGGAAUUAACUCUUUUAAACACUUUUGAGUAGUAGUUAUUACCUUUUAACCCAAUUAACAUGUUAAGGACCCUUGCAAUCAUUUCUAAUCAAUUUGUGUUAAGUUUUGGUGUUUUGAUAUCUUUUUGAUCACUAAAGCAAUAUGAGAUUGAGGAGAGUUAUUUGGAAUCCUUGGCAAAGCAAUGGAAAGCACAAAAACAUGAAGAACCAAAGCUUUGAAGUCCUUUGCCAUAAGGAAAUCCGGAAUGCAAGGAGAGGAAGCAAAGAGAAAUCUGCCAUGAAGCAUUCUUGAUGACAGUCAUGUCAGCCACUUUUGGAGCACUUCCUAGAGUCCAAUUUAUGCAUGCUAUAUGUCAUUUUGAAGCUCAAGAAGUCAAAAAUCCAAUGAUUCAAACGGUAUGCAAUUUAGAGUUGAAAUGAAGGAGUUACAGCCAUUGCAAGCAGAUCACUCCAAGCUGAAGAAAGAAUUUUGCACAGCGUUGCGAAAUCACCCUUUUGCUGCGAAAUGAUUUCGCAGCCAUUUUGUACAGUGUUGUGGAUUUUCCCUUGAAGUUUCUCAGCACGUUGGAAGCCGAACACCGCAAACUGAAAGACCACUUCGCAUCGGUGCGAAAUCAGCCGUUUGCUGCGAAGUGAUUUCGCAGCCCUUUUUGUGCAUCUGCGAAAUCUCGCAGACCUUGUUUUCACCUGCGAAAUGGUCCUUAGUGCUUCCCGAUAUUUGCGACCGACACUUUUGGAUAUUUUGCUUCAGAUUUUUGAUGUCUAAAUCCCCAUUUUCUCCUUGUAACCCACCAAUUAUAGGAUUCCUUAGUUAUUAAGUUUGGAAAAUGGGUGAAUAACCUCAGAUAUUUUGUUUUGUAAUUUUCUUUAUAUAUAGCUCUCGGGAGCUUGUUCUCAUCAUGAUGUAAUCCAACGGGAUAUAGAUAUAUAAAUAUAUAGAAUAUACAGAGCCUUGCUCUGUUUUUUCCUUCUCUUUCAUUUUCAUUUUCUUGCUAACCAAACUCUGAGGAUUUUUCCUCAGAGGAUGAGAGGCUAAGCUUUUUGUCUCUUGGAGUGAAGAAAGCCGGGUAAGUUUCCACAUGCAUAAUUUGGAAGUUUUGUUGUUUUAGUUUUUAAUGAAGAGAAAGUGUGACCCGUUAAUGGUUUUUAUCUUUUUAGUUAACUUAAAACACCUUGAAGUCACUUAGGCCAACACUUGGUAAGGCAAGUGAUCUCCGUCCAUGGAGAUUCACUAGUUUAUCUCUUGCGAGCCUUUGGGAGGUGGUUUGAAGGUAGGAUUUUCUAGAAUAGCCAACACUUGGUAAGCUUUUGGACUCCAAGGAGACAUCUAUUAGUUAUCUCUUGCAAGCUUUUGACGGGUAAUCCAAGGUUAAAGAUCACCUUGAAUGGCAAGUGCUAGGUGAGAGGCAUGAGCCAUUGCAAGGUGCAUCAGUGAGAGGGAUUUAGUGUUUGAACCCAUUAAUGGGAAGCAUCUGUACAACACCGGUUGGAGAAGGAACUAUAUGUUAAUUCUCUAAUGCGAGGAAAAGAAACAAGUGACCGGAACUCUCCUUUUUGUAUGAGGAAUCUGAGCCUAGUGAUCUGAAACUCUAAGAAACAUUUUUCUUUGUAAGUAAAAUCAGUUACUAUUUUUGGUUAGUUUAAAACCAAACCUUUUUUAAUCAAACAUCUUUAUGUUUUCUUUUAAAGCUAACNNNNNNNNNNNNNNNNNNNNNNNNNNNNNNNNNNNNNNNNNNNNNNNNNNNNNNNNNNNNNNNNNNNNNNNNNNNNNNNNNNNNNNNNCCACUUCGCAUCGUGCGAAAUCAGCCGUUGCUGCGAAGUGAUUUCGCAGCCCUUUUUGUGCAUCUGCGAAAUCUCGCAGACCUUGUUUUCACCUGCGAAAUGGUCCUUAGUGCUUCCCGAUAUUUGCGACCGACACUUUUGGAUAUUUUGCUUCAGAUUUUUGAUGUCUAAAUCCCCAUUUUCUCCUUGUAACCCACCAAUUAUAGGAUUCCUUAGUUAUUAAGUUUGGAAAAUGGGUGAAUAACCUCAGAUAUUUUGUUUUGUAAUUUUCUUUAUAUAUAGCUCUCGGGAGCUUGUUCUCAUCAUGAUGUAAUCCAACGGGAUAUAGAUAUAUAAAUAUAUAGAAUAUACAGAGCCUUGCUCUGUUUUUUCCUUCUCUUUCAUUUUCAUUUUCUUGCUAACCAAACUCUGAGGAUUUUUCCUCAGAGGAUGAGAGGCUAAGCUUUUUGUCUCUUGGAGUGAAGAAAGCCGGGUAAGUUUCCACAUGCAUAAUUUGGAAGUUUUGUUGUUUUAGUUUUUAAUGAAGAGAAAGUGUGACCCGUUAAUGGUUUUUAUCUUUUUAGUUAACUUAAAACACCUUGAAGUCACUUAGGCCAACACUUGGUAAGGCAAGUGAUCUCCGUCCAUGGAGAUUCACUAGUUUAUCUCUUGCGAGCCUUUGGGAGGUGGUUUGAAGGUAGGAUUUUCUAGAAUAGCCAACACUUGGUAAGCUUUUGGACUCCACGGAGACAUCCAUUAGUUAUCUCUUGUGAGCAUUUGACGGGUAAUCCAAGGUUAAAGAUCACCUUGAAUGGCAAGUGCUAGGUGAGAGGUAUGAGCCAUUGCAAGGUGCAUCAGUGAGAGGGAUUUAGUGUUUGAACCCAUUAAUGGGAAGCAUCUGUACAACACCGGUUCGGGAAAUAACUAUAUGUUAAAUCCCCAAUGCGAGGAAAAGAAACAAGUGACCGAAACUCUCCUUUUUGUAUGAGGAAUCUGAGCCUAGUGAUCUGAAACUCAAAGAAACACUUUUCUUUGUAAGUAAAAUCAGUUACUAUUUUUGGUUAGUUUAAAACCGAACCUUUUUCAUUCAAACAUCUUUAUGUUUUCUUUUAAAGCUAACCUUGAAAUGAAAAGGCACCAAUUCAGCUUUGAAUUAAUAUCAUUUGCAAAGUGAAAACCCAUCCCAGUGAACGAUCCUAAAGCCACUAUGCUAUAGUAGCUUUGUCUUUGCUACCCUAGUUCAUGGUGUAAUAGGUUAUAAAUUUUGUUGAUUACUCCCUCAAUCAAGGAGCACCAGUUGGACACGAAUCAGCUGAGACACCAAUUGGGCACGAAUCAGCUGAGACACCAAUUGGGCACGAAUCAGCUUUCAUGCAUAUUGCUCUCAUAUCCAACUUAUUGGGGUGAAACCCAAAAUUCUUCUUAUGUGGACUCAAGAAGAAGCAAAGAUCANAGGUUGGAGUGGAUUCCAAGUGUUUUCCUAAAGAAGAAUGGUGAUAGCUGAAGCUUGAAGNNNNNNNNNNNNNNNNNNNNNNNNNNNNNNNNNNNNNNNNNNNNNNNNNNNNNNNNNNNNNNNNNNNNNNNNNNNNNNNNNNNNNNNNNNNNNNNNNNNNAAAGCUACUAUAGUAUAGUGGCUCUAGGAUCGUUCAUUGGGAUAGGUUUUCACUUUGCAAAUGAUAUUAACUCAAAACUGAAUUGGUGCCUUUUCAUUUCAAGGUUAGCUUUAAAAGAAAACAUAAAGAUGGUUGAAUGAAAAAGGUUCGGUUUUAAACUAACCAAAAAUAGUAACUGAUUUUACUUACAAAGAAAAGUGUUUCUUGGAGUUUCAGAUCACUAGGCUCAGAUUCCUCAUACAAAAAGGAGAGUUCCGGUCACUUGUUUCUUUUCCUCGCAUUGGGGAUUUAACAUAUAGUUAUUUCCCGAACCGGUGUUGUACAGAUGCUUCCCAUUAAUGGGUUCAAACACUAAAUCCCUCUCACUGAUGCACCUUGCAAUGGCUCAUACCUCUCACUUAGCACUUGCCAUUCAAGGUGAUCUUUAACCUUGGAUUACCCGUCAAAAGCUCACAAGAGAUAACUAAUGGAUGUCUCCGUGGAGUCCAAAAGCUUACCAAGUGUUGGCUAUUCUAGAAAAUCCUGCCUUUANNNNNNNNNNNNNNNNNNNNNNNNNNNNNNNNNNNNNNNNNNNNNNNNNNNNNNNNNNNNNNNNNNNNNNNNNNNNNNNNNNNNNNNNNNNNNNNNNNNNAAGUGAUCUCCGUCCAUGGAGAUUCACUAGUUUACCCUUUGCGAGCCUUUGGGAGGUGGUUUGAAGGUAGGAUUUUCUAGAAUAGCCAACACUUGGUAAGCUUUUGGACUCCAAGGAGACAUCUAUUAGUUAUCUCUUGCAAGCUUUUGACGGGUAAUCCAAGGUUAAAGAUCACCUUGAAUGGCAAGUGCUAGGUGAGAGGCAUGAGCCAUUGCAAGGUGCAUCAGUGAGAGGGAUUUAGUGUUUGAACCCAUUAAUGGGAAGCAUCUGUACAACACCGGUUGGAGAAGGAACUAUAUGUUAAUUCUCUAAUGCGAGGAAAAGAAACAAGUGACCGGAACUCUCCUUUUUGUAUGAGGAAUCUGAGCCUAGUGAUCUGAAACUCUAAGAAACAUUUUUCUUUGUAAGUAAAAUCAGUUACUAUUUUUGGUUAGUUUAAAACCAAACCUUUUUUAUUCAAACAUCUUUAUGUUUUCUUUUAAAGCUAACCUUGAAAUGAAAAGGCAUCAAUUCAACUUUGAAUUAAUAUCAUUUGCAAAGUGAAAACCCAUCCCAGUGAACGAUCCUAUAGCCACUAUGCUAUAGUAGCUUUGUCUUUGCUACCCUAGUUCAUGGUGUAAUAGGUUAUAAAUUUUGUUGAUUACUCCCUCAAUCAAGGAGCACCAGUUGGACACGAAUCAGCUGAGACACCAAUUGGGCACGAAUCAGCUGAGACACCAAUUGGGCACGAAUCAGCUUUCAUGCAUAUUGCUCUCAUAUCCAACUUAUUGGGGUGAAACCCAAAAUUCUUCUUAUGUGGACUCAAGAAGAAGCAAAGAUCAAAGGUUGGAGUGGAUUCCAAGUGUUUUCCUAAAGAAGAAUGGUGAUAGCUGAAGCUUGAAGGCUUCUAGGAAAGUGGUCCGGGAGAGGAUGAAAAACUUGGGCUAGGUAAAACAUUGAACUCAUUUAUUUUUUUUUAUUCAUAGUGGAUUAUUUAAUUUCUUCAGGCUUGCGGUUUUUAUUUUUAUUUUUAUCUCUUUAGAGGUUUUUCCCGUUAAACAAAUUGGGUGUCAUUGUCUCACCUUUCUAUCUUGUCUUUUGAUUCGCAUUUCAUGAGCUUGUGAUAUUUUUCAUUGCGUUAUGGUGAUUGAAUUAAUUGGAGUAUGAGCUAAAAUGUAUCUAUUGAAUCUUUGAAAGAACAAGAUAUAUAUAUAUAUAUGAGAAAACAAAGGCUAUGCUUAGUUAAGAAAAACACCCAAAAAUGAGGGGGGGGAGGGUGAAUUGGGUUUUUAAAAUCUUUUUUAUCACAACAAAUUUAAACAAAAUAUAAGCAAAGUAAAGAGAUAGAGUUUAGAGAAUUCAAACUCAGGUUUAUAGUGGUUCGGCACUUCCUUGCCUACGUCCACUCUCCUCAACCUUCUAACCAAGUGAGGGUUCCACUAACUUGAAGCUUCAACCAAGCUUCCAAUCUUCUUACACUUGGAUUCCGGCUCCAAUGGGCUCUUACACAACUUCUUUAAGAUUCAACCCUCUUGAAGGUUUUAACACUCAGAUUGUUACAAGAUAUAAUCACUCAACCUAGCUUAAAGAUGGCUCAAAUAUAAGACAAAGCUAGGACGACAAACAAGAGUGCACUAAAGGAUAUGCAAGUGGUGAUUUAAUGCACAAUGAAAGAAAUGAGAGCUUUUUGAUCAAGAACAGGUAGGUAGGCUUUGAAUGAAAGUGUUCUCUUAUUAAUAAAUGAAGUGGAGCUCUUAAUUAAUAAGUUUCUAAGCUCGGGAGUCAAAAAAAGCAAAAGACAACCUCGUCCGGUCGAGCUAGGGGUCGACCGGUUCACUAGCCGUUGGAGCAUUUAAUACAUGACAAGUUACCGUUGCCUUAACCAGACCUCGACCGGUACUCGACCGGACCUCGACCGGUACUUGACCGGACCUCAACUGGUAAGAGAAACACCUCGAUUGGGAAAAGAAGGCUACUGGGAGAGAGAGAAGAUUUUUGACCUCCUUCAACUGGUCCUCGAUCGGAUGACCACAACCGGUUGACCGGUUGAGCCUUUUUGGCCCCGAAAAACCUAUUUUUUGAUUCCUUUAUUUUCUAACACUUAGGCAAGGUCUUUAGGAAAAUUAUUAAGCCAAUUUUGAAACAUUUUGCCUAAGAUAAAUUAGUUAAAAACUCGGGUUUUAAUGACAUUGACGUUUUAAAUAAUAAACCGAGUUUUCUAAGAUGCAUGAAACGUAUGAAAAUCCUAAGUGCACUCAUGCAUUCAUCUUACAUUGGUUUCCUAUGAUCACAAGUCUUCCAAGCGUCUCGAUCUUGUAUCUAUUUGGUCAUUUGAUGAAUUUUCGAGUUUAUACUUGAGAUUCUUAAACAUUAAACCAAUUAGUCACUUAACCAUGGUUUGUUAUCACCAAAACCCAAUUAGGAGAACCCUUGGGCUAACAAUCUCCCCCUUUUUGAUGAUGACAAACCUUGGUUAUCUAGGAGAGAAAAAAAUCUCCCCCUCAAACCAAUCAUGGAUCAAUCAAACGAUUUUUAAUAGGAAGCAAUGUAAAAACACAAAAAUGAACAAUGGAUCAUAAAAAUAUCAUAUCAUAUAUUUAUAUGGAAGCCUCACAUGUACAAUAAGAUAGAUAUGAUAACAAUGACAUGCAUGAGGGUCUCCUAGAUCCUAUAAAUUUCUCCCCCUUUGGCAACAUAAAAAAGAAACGAAGGGGGAUGUCUAGAUAGUCUCAAGGUUGAGGGGGUGGAGGAGGAAACACAGAGUGGAGAUAUGCCAUCAUUUCCUCAUGCUGACUUUCCUGACGGCUCUCAAUACGAUCAAUGCGCUGCUGGAGAUGGUCGAAGGUAGCCUGCUGCUGAUCCAUACGCUCCUUUAUGCGCUCAAAUCGCUACUGGAAGUGAUCAAACCGAGAAGUGACUCCAGUUUGAUACUGAUCUAGGUGCUUCUCCAUAGAGUAGAAGCGAGAGUCAUGGACUAAGGCGAGCUUCUCCAUACGAGUCCCAAGAGAGCUGAUUUGAGCGGAGACAUCCAUCCAAGGCGCAUGAUUAGAAACGUGAGGUGCCUGAGAUGGUAGCUCGGUAAAUGAUGGUUGAGAUGAAGAACCUGCUGUGAAAGACGGCUCAGUCAUCAUAGGCUCUGAGAAGGUAGCCUCAACAUGAAUGCCCUCUGACUGAGGUGGAAGCGGAAUGUCAUGCUUGGUCCCUCUCUGCUCAAAGUCCCUCUAAGGGUCCAACCCAUCCUCCAUCUCUCUGAUCUCGGCCUCCUCUUCUACUUUGGGAUGUAUCUGAUCAUGUCCCUGGGCCUGUCGCUCGGCUUUCCUAACCUAGGAGCCAUCAGGUGCCUUCUUGAACUUCAUGCGUCCCAAAGACUGCUCAUCAUAGUGUCAUAGCUGGUGGGGGCCUCGAAAUCAUCUCUCUACUCAAGUCGACCCGGUAUCCUUGAAAACUCGGGUAAGGAAGCGGCCGUAUGGGAAUACUCGGGUAGUGCUCUCAACGUAGGAGAUCAUAUGCAUCAUCAUCAGAUAUCCCACGUGAAUCCGUCUCCCGGUGAGGAUCGAGUCCACAAUAAAAGCCUCGAGGUAGGAGACCUCGUCUCGAUGUCCUCCACGUGGUAAGAGAAUAGAGUAGAUCAUGUGGUGAAGGACUCGGCUGGUCACGAUCAGGCUGUGAGCCGAUGGUUUGCCCAUCCCCUAGGGAUCGACGAGUCCGCAUAAUCUCUGAACAGCCUCUCUAGGCUCUAAUCCCAGCACAGUGGGCCACGCCUUGGCCUCAUACACUCGGAGUCCAAUCGAAGGGAUGUCGAGAAUGCGGUAGAUGCUCUCGGGACUCAAUCGGAUCUCAACUCCUCUCACAGUAGAUAAUACGGGUCCUCCAAGCCCGUAGGUUGCCUGGGAAUAAAAAGCCCGCACCAGAGUCGGGAAGAUCUGCUUAGAAAUCGUCACUACGGGCAGUCAUCCCAUCCGUCCGAAUAGCCCCUCAAACUCGAAGUGCUGAAGUUGGGAGAAAUUGACACUUCUCCCUAGGACGAGUUUCCUCUGGGCAAAUUUUUGCUUGUAGCGCUGAUAGUCUUCAUUCGAACUGAAGAGUGCCGUGUCAAACCUCACCUUUUGGUGAGCCUCCGUUUGCUCGGGCUGAGAUGGCUUAGCAGGACGCUUUCCCUGAGCCUUGGAGGUGCUCGUCUCUCUCCUUGGUGCCAUCCAAUGAAACGAAAAAGGAGAAAAAGGAGUCCAAAGAGAGAAGGAAAUGAGACAAGAAGGAGCAAUCACAAACCUGAAGCCCUAGGCGCAUAGAGAAGAAACUAAAACAACCCUGAGGCGCGCAAUGCAAAGAGAAGACGCUCCCACAAGCUAAAACCCUGGGUUUCAAAUCCAAGCCCUAGCUCAAAUCUGUCCCAAAAGCAAGUCCAAGCCUUCAAUCAGUCCAAAAUCCAACCCAAAAUGGCCUCUGGAAGCAGGUAGGUGAAGGGGCGACAAGCUAUGGAAGAGAAAAUGUGAGAAAUGAAGCGUGGAAUGGGGUGUUUUAAAUUCCCAGCCCGACGAACCGCCUGGUCAGCUGUCAACGGUCAUGGUCAACGGUCAAUUUUUUUAAAAAAUUUGUUGCAUUUUCUUGUCUCAUGAUCUUCCCCCUACCUUUUUCAGUUGAAAUCCCCAAUUUUUUAUGUCCAAUGCCGUGGGAAUUUUGAUUUUUGGUCAAAAUUUGACCUCUUUCCUAUGAUUAUUUCUAUAUGAUGCAAAUGAUAUGAAAUUCACGCAAUCAUAGGGUAUAAUCAAGAGUAAUAUCAACAAGAAUUCAUCAAGCAAUCAUUUGAUCAUAAAGAAAUCACCCAUAAUUGUCUUCUAAUAUCAACAAAUUGCUUUACCCUUAGGGGUUUUGUAAAAAUAUCAGCAAGUUGAUCUUUUGUGCUUACAAAUUCAAGUGUAAUGUCACCCUUUUGUGCAUGGUCUCUAAGAAAAUGAUGUCUUAUCUCUAUAUGCUUAGUCCUAGAGUAUUGUACCAGAUUUUUUGAAAUGUUUAUGGCACUAGUGUUAUCACAUUUUAUAGGAACAUGCUCAAAAAUCAAAUUGAAAUCACUAAGUGUUUGUUUCAUCCAAAGGAUUUGUACACAACAUAAACCGGUUGCUAUGUAUUCGGCUUCCGUCGUAGACAAAGCUACCGAAUUUUGCUUCUUAUUAUGCCAUGAAACAAGUGAGUGUCCUAGGAAAUGACAAGUGCCACUAGUGCUUUUCCUCUCAACUUUAUAACCGGUAAAGUUGGCAUCCGAGUAUCCAAUUAAUUUAAAGUUAUCACCCUUAGGAUACCAUAGGCCUAUGUCCAUAGUCCCUUUUAAAUAUCUAAGAAUUUGUUUUACAACACUUAAAUGAGAUUCCUUAGGACAAGAUUGAAAUCUAGCACACAAGCAUACACUAUACAUGAUGUCGGGUCUACUAGCGGUCAAAUAUAGCAAAGAACCUAUCAUGCCUCUAUAUAUAGUUGAGUUGAUGAGCUUACAUUUCUCAUCCAUGUCAAGCUUGAUGGAUGAACUCAUUGGAGUCUUCAUUGUUUUAGCUUCUUCCAUAUUGAACCUUUUGAGGAGAUCUCUUAUAUACUUUUGAUUGAUGAAGGUUCCUUCCUUUAGUUGCUUGAUUUGAAGUCCAAGGAAGAAUUUAAGUUCUCCCAUCAUGCUCAUUUCGAACUCACUAUGCAUGCAUUUAGAGAAUUCUUCACAAAGAGAGACAUUAGUAGCUCCAAAAAUGAUAUCAUCAACGUAUAUUUGUACUAAGAGCAUGUCAUUAUCUUUGGUUUUUAUGAAAAGAGUUGCGUCAAUUUUUCCCAUUUUAAAACCCUUUUUCAAAAGAAAUUUACUCAAUCUUUCAUACCAUGCUCUAGGUGCUUGUUUCAAACCAUAAAGUGCCUUUUUAAGUCUAAAAACAUGAUUAGGAAAGUUAAAACUUUGAAAACCGGGUGGUUGUUCAACAUAUACCUCUUCAUUUAUAAAGCCAUUUAAGAAAGCACUUUUCACAUCCAUUUGAUAUAAAACAAAGUCUUUAAAACAUGCAAAGGCAAGUAGCAUCCUAAUGGCUUCCAAUCUAGCUACGGGAGCAAAGGUUUCUUCAUAAUCUAUCCCUUCUUCUUGAUUAAAACCUUGGGCUACCAAUCUUGCUUUAUUCCUUAUAAUUAUGCCAUUUUCAUCCAUUUUGUUUCUAAAGAUCCAUCUAGUUCCAAUAACACUUUACUUUUGAGGUCUUGGUACUAAUUCCCAUACUUCACUUCUUUCAAAUUGGUUUAACUCUUCUUGCAUGGCAAUCAUCCAAUUUUCAUCAACUAGAGCAUCUUUUAUAUUUUUAGGUUCAAUUUGAGAGAUAAAAGCAAGAUUAUUGCAAAUAUUUGUAAGGGAUGAUCUAGUUCUUACCCCACUAGAUGGAUUACCUAUAAUUUGAUCUUGUGGGUGGUUGAUGACAAACUUCCAAUCUUUAGGGAGGUCUUGGCUUGAUUCACCUUGCACUUGUUGAGAAGGAGGUAGUGCCAAAGGUGAUUCCUCUUUCUUAGGAUCCUCUACAACUUCUUGUUGCCUUCUAUCUUCAAUUUGUAAUUUUCCCAUGGAGGUCUCCAAGCCAAUGUUGCCUUGACCAAUGAUCCUUCCUUUUUGAAUUGUCUCCAAAGGUAACGUAUCCUUCCUUUCUUUUUGUAAGGAAAGCGAACUUGGAUUCAUCCCUGGUCAUGUGCCUUAAGCAUCCAAUAUCCAAGAACCACUUAUCCUUCUUUGAUCCCUACAAAAUAAAAUUUAAGUUGAUUUAGGUACCCAUAUCUUUUUGGGUCCUUGAGGGUUAGUGACAUUGGAUUUCUCAACCCAAACCUUUUUAGCUUUAGCAUUACCAUUUCUUAAGGGACAUGUACUACUAAUGUGCCCUUCUCUUCCACAAAAGUUGCAAGUGGUGGAAGGACUUGCACUUGCGGAUUCUUUUACAAAGUAGUUUUUAAAAUACUUUUGAUUUUUUUAUGAUUUGAAUCUUAGCCCUUGUUUGUCAAAGACACAUUUUUGGCUAGCUAAGAUCAUUUCAAAAGAUUUUUGUCCACAAGAGAAAAUUGAAAGAGAGGAGGUUAACCAUUCAUUUUUCUUUUUCAAAAUCUCAUUUUCACUCCUCAAAAUCUCAUUUUCCUUUUCAAGAUGAGUUUUAGAUAUUUCAACAAUUGAAAAUUUUUCUUUCACUUCUUCAAGUUCUUAAAUUUUCUUUUUAAGAGAAUUAUUUUUUAAACUAAGUUUUUCAAAAUCCUCAUAUAAUUCUUCAAAAACAUCAUGCAUAUCUUCAUCACUCAAGUUAGAGUUUACCUCAUCUAGAUCAUCUAUUGCCAUGAAGCACAUGUUUGCCACUUCCUUCUCAUUUUCUUCUUCGGAGGAUUCUUCACUUUCACUCCAAGUGGCCAUCAUUGUCUUCUUCAUUUUUCUCUUGGCUUCACUCUUGUAGAGAGGACAAUCAUAUUUGAUGUGUCCCAGUUUUUUGCACUUGAAGCAUGUCAAAUCUCUUUUCUCUUCCCAUUUCUCCUUGUCACCAUGGGAUAAAGAUUCCUUUUUAGAAGAAUCCCUUCUAGAGGUGAAUUUCCUUCCUCUAAACCUUUCACCUCUCAUGUAUUUGUUGAGUUUUCUUGUGAUGAGGGCUAGAUCAUCAUCUUCAUCACUUGGCUUUUCUUCUUCAACAUCUUCUUCUUCCUUGGUUGUAGCUUUGAGGGCUAUGCUCUUCUUUUUUUUGUCUUUACCCUCUUGUAGCUUCUUUGUCAAAUUGAUCUCAUAUGUCAUUAAUGACCCUAUGAGCUCUUCCAUAGGUAGCUUAGUCAAGUCUUUUACUUCUUGAAUUACGGUGACCUUGGUGUGCCACUUUAAUGGGAAAGACCUCAAUAUCUUCAUCACCUUCUCAGAUUCCUUGUAGGUCUUUCCCAAAGCUUCAAGACCAUUGACAAUGUCGGUGAACCUAGUAAUCAUCUCAACAAUAGUCUCAGUUUCUUUCAUUGAAAACAAUUCAUAGUUAUGAACAAGUAAAUUGAUUUUUGACUCUUUCACUUGAUUAGUUCCUUCAUGAGUUAUUUCUAGCAACCUCCAAAUUUUUUUAGCCGAUUUGCAUUGACAUAUUCUAUUAUAUUCAUUUAUAUCCAUAGCACAUUGCAAAGUAAAAACGACUUUAGCAUUUAAUUGAAAGUUUAUUCUAUCAAGCUCAUUCCAUUCUUGCUUGGGUUUUGGAACCAAAGCUCUAUCCACUAGUUUAGUGGGAAAAGUUGGGCCAUCUUCAAUGACAUCCCAUACAUCUAAAUCAGUAGAUUGCAAAUACCAAGUCAUUCUAGUUUUCCAAUAGGGAUAGUCUGUUCCUGUAAAGAAUGAAGCUCUAUGUUUUGAAAAAUUUUCUGCUUGGGAUGAGCUUGAUGGAAUAGCCAUUUCCUCUUAGACGAUUAAGUCUUAAAAGAAGAGGUCUAGCUCUGAUACCAAUUGAGAAAACAAAGGCUAUGUUUAGUUAAGAAAAACACCCAAAAGAAGGAGAGGGGGAGGGGGGGUGAAUUGGGUUUUUAAAAUCUUUUUUAUCACAACAAAUUUAAACAAAAUAUAAGCAAAGUAAAGAGAUAGAGUUUAGAGAAUUCAAACUCGGGUUUAUAGUGGUUCGACACUUCCUUGCCUACGUCCACUCUCCUCAACCUCCUAACCGAGUGAGGGUUCCACUAACUUGAAGCUUCAACCAAGCUUCCAAUCUUCUUACACUUGGAUUCCGGCUCCAAUGGCCUCUUACACAACUUCUUCAAGAUUCAACCCUCUUAAAGUUUUAACACUCAGAUUGUUACAAGAUAUAAUCACUCAACCUAGCUUAAAGAUGGCUGAAAUACAAGACAAAGCUAGGAUGACAAACAAGAGUGCACUAAAGGAUAUGCAAGUGGUGAUUUAAUGCACAAUGAAAUAAAUGAGAGCUUUUUGAUCAAGAACAGGUAGGUAGGCUUUGAAUGCAAGUGUUCUCUUAUUAAUAAAUGAAGUGGAGCUCUCAAUUUAUAGGUUUCUAAGCUCGGGAGUCAAAAAAAGCAAAAGGCAACCUCGUCCGGUCGAGCUAGGGGUCGACCGGUUCACUAGCCGUUGGAGCAUUUAAUGCAUGACAGGUUACUGUUGCCUCAACCGGACCUCGACCAGUACUCGACCGAACCUCAACCGGUAAGAGAAACACCUUGACCGGGAAAAGAAGGCUACUGGGAGAGAGAGAAGAUUUUUGACCUCCCUCCACCAAUCCUCGACUGGACGACCACAAUCGGUUGACCGGUUCCUCAACCAGUUGACCGGUUGGCCAUAGCUUCGACCGGUUGAGCCUUUUUGGCCUCGAAAAACCUAUUUUUUGAUUCCUUUCUUUUCUAACAUUUAGGCAAGGUCUUUAGGAAAAUUAUUAAGCCAAUUUUGAAACAUUUUGCCUAAGGUAAAUUAGUUAAAAACUCGGGUUUUAAUGACAUCGACGUUUUAAAUAAUAAACCGAGUUUUCUAAGAUGCAUGAAACGUAUGAAAAUCCUAAGUGCACUCAUGCAUUCAUCUUACAUUGGUUUCCUAUGAUCACAAGUCUUCCAAGCGUUUUGAUCUUGUAUCUGUUUGGUCCUUUGAUGAAUUUUCAAGUUUAUACCUAAGAUUCUUAAACAUUAAACCAAUUAGUCACUUAACCAUGGUUUAUUAUCAUCAAAACCCGAUUAGGAGAACCCUUGAGCUAACAAUUAUGAGCUAAAAUGUAUCUAUUGAAUCUUUGAAAGAACAAGAUAUAUAUAUGUGUUAGUUGUUGUUGAUUGAUGACAAAGGGCAUGUGAAAAAGUAUUUUUAUAUUGAUGCAAUGUUUUAUAUAUUAGGUUUGGGGAGUGGUCUCAUUUGUAUGUGACUUGCAUUGAAUAACCUAUUUAGGAAAGUGUUGGUGCAUCCAUUGUUGCUUGCAAUUCACUUGUUUAUUCAUAAGGUUGAAAAGGAAAAUCAUUGUAUAAGGGAAGAACAAGGGAAUUGUAAGUAUUUGUGAGAUAGCAUCUCUAAUUGUUUUAAAAAACACCUAUCCACCGCCUCCAUCCCUCUAGGUGUUAUCCAUAAGUGAGAUUCAUCUUUAGAAAUCACAAACAUGGCAAUACUCAUUCAAUAAAAAUGCUAAUUUUUUUUACAAAGAUUAUUUUAUUUCGAUUAAAUGUGCUAAUUACAUGGCAUAAAUUUAGUUGAUGAGCAUACUUGGCCACAUGCUUCUUGACUGAAAUGAACUAGUCAUGACAUUAACUUUCAAUAUCCUCAGUGCUCGUUAGCACAUUUACAAGGAGAGAAGUAAAGCACUACAAACCACAAUUUUUCUUAGAGGUUUUCAAAUAAUAUUAUGAAAUUUGAAACUCAAAAUCUUCUUACUAUUUACACAACUACAUAAAACAUAUAAAAUUUCAAAAAUUCAAACAUAAAGCUACUAAAUAUGUAUAAAUGAAGAUAUGUGAUAUCAAAUUUAUAUUACCAAACAUAUAUACUUAAAAAGAUUGAUGUUAGACCUUGCAUGAAGAACAUGAAGAUAUUUAGUGUCAUUGCUUCCCACAAAUAAGAGCCACCAUAAAGUUUUACUUUAGGGAUUUUAUAAGUUUAUUUAUUUAUUUCAUUAUUCUUUUUCUUCUUUCUCUUUUUGUAAUCUAAUCAGAAUAUUUCAUAAAUACAUUUUCCCAUUCCUAAAAUGCCUAAAGAAAUAGUAAAAUCUUUUAUUAAGGUUUAUAAAAGAGCCAACUUCAUCAAGUUGAUAUAAUGUUUUAUAAAAUGACUUGAACUUCAAAAGCUAAUAUCCAUGUCCACUCUUUGUUUUGAAAUAAGUGGUUGGGAUAUCUCUAAUUGUUGAUUUGAGUUAAAACAUUAUAUCAAAGUGUGGGAAGGAAUGAAUACUAAUGCCUUAAAAUGUUGGAAAAUUAAUUAAACUUCCUAUUCACAACUUUGUUGACUUACUAAUUCAACAACCACUUUUUCUUUCUUAUUUGUCAUUAUUAAAUUUGAUUUUGGAUCAAGAUGUCUUAAUCAAUUUAUAUAAGCUGAAUUAAAAGCCAUCUUAUAUAGAAACGUUAAAUGUUUAUAAUUUAUAAAAUUGGAGAUUUUUUAGAAUUUCAAUUAACUGAAUGAUAAUGAUAUGGAAGUAUAUAGUUGGAUACAAUUGCUAGGAAGUCAUAUAAAACUAAUAAUAUGUAUGAAUUGCUUAUAAGAAGUCAAAAACUUCUUUAAUUUGUUCAAAGUUUAAUAAGAAUUUAUGUAUCUAUUCCAAUAAUUUAUUAAAAGAACUCACAAAAAGAAAAAGUUUAAUAUAAAAGUCAUAAAUAAAAAUAGUACUUAUCUUAAAAACCCUAUAUAGAAUGAGAUUUAAUUGAAUUUAAGCACUAAAAAACACAACAUUUAAAGGUUAAAUUAAAUAUAAUUUUUGUUAGUGUUUAAGACAACUAUCAAACAUAGUUCCAUACUUUUUCAUAUUGAUUUUUAUCUAUAUUAAGAAAAAGUGAAAAGAUGUAUGCCUUUCCUCAAAUGGCAUGUUGAAAACAUUUUUCAUUUUUUAUUUAAGAUUCAAUAUCAAAAUAAUCUUUACUUCUAAUAAAAAUAAUUUGAAAAUAGAUGUCAGAAUGGAAGAUUCAAGCCCAUUACUGUUGAAUGCCAAAUGUACAAGUUAAAAGUUAAAUUUGAAGGCAGGUAAAUACCUCCAUUCCUUAGUUCUCUUAGCAAAAUGCAGUACCUCAAUCUCUCGCAUGCCAAUUUGGCUGAAACUGUUCCCACUCAACUCAGAAAAUCUUUCCAACUUGCUUUCCCUUGAUCUCAGCCUCAAUGUUUUUGUUCAAUCCGGAGACCUUGCGUGGCUUUCACAUAUUUUGUCUUUAAGAUUCCUUGACUUGAGUUUGGUUGAUCUUGGUGCAGCCAUCCAAUGGUCACAAGCAAUCAAUAAACUCCAUUCUCUCGUUCACUUAAACUUAAAUGGUUGUGUCCUCCUACCCUUCACCACUGGGUCUCUUUUCCAUGCUAAUUUCUCUGCCCCUUUUGUUUUCCUUGAUCUUUCCAACAAUUAUCUGAUCAAUUCUUCAAUAUACCUAUAGCUGUUCAAAUUCAGUACCACCCUUGUUCAUCUUGAUCUCUCUAGCAAUGAUCUAAAUGGUUCGAUUCUGGAUGGUUUUGGGAACAUGAUUUCUCUUGCAUAUCUGGACCUUAGAUAUUGUGCAUUUGAAGGUGAGAUUCUGUUCGCAUUUGGGGACAUGAGAGCCCUUGAAUAUCUUGAUAUCUCUGGACAUGGGCUUCAUGGUGAGAUUCCAAACAAAUUUGGGAACAUGACUUUUCUUACAUAUAUUGCUCUCUUUUCCAAUCAACUUCAAGAAGGGAUUCUGGAUGCAAUUGGAGACCUGGCUUCUCUUACAUAUCUUGAACUCUUUGUCAAUCAACUUAAAGCUCUUCCCAAGACAUUCGGUAGAAGCCUUGUUCAAUGUUGAUAUCUCUUUCAAUCAACUUAGGGGUUCAAUUCCAAACACAUUUGGUAACAUGGUUUCUCUUGAAGAACUCUUUCUAUCUCACAAUGAACUUGAAGGUGAGAUUCCAAAAUCCUUUGGUAGAAGGCUUGUUAUUCUUGAUCUCUCAUCGAAUCGACUAUAUGGCUCAAUUCCAGAUACAGUUGGGAGCAUGGUUUCUUUUGAAAGCCUUUCUCUCUUUGAAUCAACUCCAAAGUAAGAUUCUAAAAUCCUUGAGUAAUUUAUGUAAUUUUCAAGCAUUAGAGUUGGAUAGCAACAAUCUCAUCAUUGGAAAACUUCCAAAAGAUUUGUUAGCUUGCGCAAAUGGUACAUUAUGACCUUUUUCUUCAUUUGAUUACCGAUUUAGUGGAUCAGUUCCUUAUCUCACUGGAUCUUUGUCCUUGGAAAGGUUAUAUCUUGAUUAUAAUCAACUAAAUGGAACUUUACCUAAAAGUAUUGGGUAGUUAGCUGAGCUUGUUUGGUUUGAUAUUGGUUCAAAAUUAUUGCAAGGUACCAUCUCUGAAGCUCAUCUCUUUAAUCUAUCCAACUUGGCCCAUUUAGGCUUAUCUUCCAACUCUCUCACUUUCAACAUGCGCUUGGAGUGGGUUCCUCCAUUUCAUCUGGUUUCUCUACUAUUAGCCUCCUGCAAAUUGGGACCUCCUUUUCCUAGAUGGCUUCAAACUCAAAAGCAUUUGACAGAGUUUGAUCUCUUCAAUUCUGACAUUUCAGAUAUCCUCCUAGACUGGUUUUGGAAUUUAACUUUCGAAUGUCAAUAGCUUAAAUUUUCCAACAAUCAUAUCAGAGGGGUCUUACCUAAUUUAUCAUCACAAUUUGGUUCUUUUCUAGACAUAGAUGUAAGCUCAAACUACUUUGAGGUUUCAAUACCGCAACUUCCUUCUAGUGUGACAAGGUUGGAUCUUUGCAAUGACAAGUUAUCAGGGUCCAUUUCUUUAUUGUGUACAGUUGCUAAUUCAUACCUUGUCUAUCUUGAUGUCUCAAACAACUUAUUAACAAGGGCCCUGCCCAAUUAUUGUCCACAGUGGGAAAGUUUGGUAGUCCUUAAUUUGGUAAAUAAUCAAUUUUUUGGGAGGAUUCCAAAUUCUUUAGGUCCUUUGCAAUUGAUUCAAGCAUUGCAUUUGCAUAACAAUAAUUUAAUCAGAGAAUUGCCCUUAUCUUUGAAGAAUUGCAUAAGUUUGAGGUUUAUUAAUUGGAGAAAAAAUAUGUUAUAUGAGAAAAUCCCCCCAUGGAUAGGAGGAAGCCUCCCAAAUUUAACUAUUAUAAAUCUACAAACUAAUAGAUUCAGUGGAAGUAUAUGUUCAUAGUUAUGUCAAUUGAAAAAAAUUCAAAUAUUGAACCUCUCAAGUUAUAAUAUAUCAGGUAUCAUACCAAGAUGUCUUAGUUAUUUCAUUGCCAUGACUAAAAAAAAAAAAAGAGUUUGAUUGUUGCUCAUAAUUAUUCAUUUGGGUCAUAUGCUCAUAAAGGUCCAACGAAGUACUUUAAGAAUGAGUCAUACGUUGAUGAGGCAUUGUUUAAUUGGAAAGAAAGUGAAUUUGAAUACAAGAAUAUUCUUGGACUUAUAAAGAGCAUUGAUAUUUCAAGCAACAAUCUAUUUGGGGAGAUUCCAAAAGAGAUUACUGAUCUUCUUGAAUUAGUUUCAUUAAACGUAUCAAGAAACAAUUUGACUACAUUGAUCCCUGCAAUGAUUGGUCAAUUGAAAUCCUUAGAGGUCCUUGAUUUGUUUCAAAAUCAACUUUUUGGUGAAAUUCCAACUAGCCCUUCGAAAAUAAGCAAUCUUAGUGUCUUAGAUCUCUCUAACAAUAAUUAUUUGGUAAAAUUCCACAAGGUACUCAACUUCAAAGCUUCAAUACUUCCUCUUAUAAGGGAAAUCCUACACUUUGUGGAUUACCUUUUCUGAAAAAGUGUCUAGAAGGUAAAAUAGAGUAAGAUUGUCACAUCAUAGCAUUGAAGACAAAUUUCAACAAGAUGGAAAUGAUAUGUGGUUUUAUAUUAGCAUUGCUCUUGAAUUCAUUGUUAGAUUUUGAAGUGUGGAACUUUACUACUCAACAACUCAUUGAGAUAUGCCUAUUUCUGCUUCUUGAAUAAAAUAAAAGAUUGGUUUCAUGUGACUAUAGCAAUAAAUAUUGCUAGAGUAAAGAGUCUUUGAAGCUAAAUGGUAUAACUUUCACUCAAUCUCUUACCCUUUCUCUUAUUUGUACUUGUUUCAAAGGCCAAUGGUUGUGAAAGAAAAGUAGGCCUUUACUACUAUUUUUGGGAUAAAUAAUUUUAAGGUUUAUAAACCAAGAAUAUUAUUGCUAAAGCAAAUGUUCUUUCCAUGCAACUGAGUAAAAAGAUUUUUUCAAACUAAUGGACAUUAUUUUUUACUUGGUUUUGUAGGAUCUCAAUUUCAUUUUCUUCUCAUAUUAGCAUGUUGUGGCUUAUUAUCUCAUGUGGAUAGAUGAAUGCAUGGUUGAAUGCAAAUAGCUUUAUCAUUUCAAAUUCUCAUCCUAUAAUUGAUUUUGGGAUGUAAUAGGUUUCUCACUUUAUUUUGAUGAUUUCUUGUAUGAUUAAGAUGCUUACUUUAUUUGAUCUUUUAUUUAGAAAUUUUGGGACACUACUCUUAUAUAAUGCUGCUAUUUUAUAUUUUGAUGCUUUGAGACUAAUCAAAAUAUUGUUGUGGAAAUAAAUUAAGCCAUAUUAGUGUCAAACCUUUUAAUAAAAAUUAUUACUUCUUUCUCUCCAAAAAGAAAAAAUAAUUUCAAUUGUCAAAAUUUGAACAAAAUAUAAGAUAAUGGUAGAGUCAUAAUUUUAACACUAAAAAAAAAAGUAUUUAUGAUCUACUUUUCUGUCUUCUUUUCGUUCACUCUCUUAGCACUCUUACAAAUGUAAAGAUCUUUCUAUUUUAAUCUUCAAAGCUUUCUCACAUGACACUAUCUUGUUUGCGAAAGUAAAAAUGGAUUUGUGAAAUUGAUAGUGAUAUAUCAUUUUUUUUUGUAGUGGAGUGUAGUUAACUUUUUAUAUUGGGAUGUUAGGUCAACUUCAAAAUUAAAUUUUGAGGAUGUCAAUAUUUUUCUAUGGAUCUUAAUGGUCUCUAUUUGAGCUCAUACCCUUUAGUGGCAUGUUGUUUUGAGAUAUAUUUGGGUUUUUAUUAAUAUGUAUGCAUAACGGUGUUUUGGUAAAAAAUAUAGGAUUACAUAAGAGCUUAUAAAUGGUUCUAAUUAAUUAAUUCAAGUCCAAGAGGGUAAUUAAUUAAUUAGGACUUAGGGGGCUUGUAGACCCUCAAUUUUGUCCCUCGACACUGGCAUUUAUCCUUCUGGUGUCACAUUCACCCAUCGUUCGCAUAUGGCACCACUAGGGCCCCUUUUGGGCUUGGUCGGUGUCCGAGCCUCAUGUGGGUUUGUGUGUGGUCCAUUGUGUUGCAUAUGUGGUUCAUUUCGGAGGGUCACCAUGGCCAUGUUCCUAGUCGUUCAUAUCACGCUAUAGGAAGGAAGUGGGGUCAUCCCGAUGUUUUAGCUUAGUUGGGGUUUAUAGGGGCAUGUUGAGGUUCGGAGCACUCGGGCUUGUUUUGAUCGUAUCUCCCUCAUCCAAACUCGGAAUCAAGAACCGUUUCUUUUUAUGGAUUCCUUAUUCUUCCAGGAACAUUCUGUAAAAUUUUCAAAAUUUUUUUGCAACCGAUCAGCUGGUUGGCAGCCGGUUCAGCCGGUUCAGCCGGUUCAUCGAGUCAGCCGGUGUAGAACACUGAUUUUUGGUAAUUGUUUUGAUCAUAUCUCCCUUUUCCAAACUUGGAAUCAUGCACCAUUUUUUUAAUGGAUUCCUUACUCUACUAGGAACAUUCUAUCAAAUUUUCAGAAUUUUUUUCCAUCGGUUCGACCAGUUGGCAUCCGGUUUGGCCGGUUCAGCCGGUUCAUUGAGUCAGCUGAGGUAAAACACUAAUUCUAGUAAUUUUGAGGCCCAAAUCCUACAUGGCUCAGGCCCAUAAGCUCCAGAUCGGUUUUGGGCAAUGUUGUGGGUCCAUUUUAAGCCUUGGUUUGGGUUCCUUGCAGCCCACCACAAAUCCAUAUGGAUUCUUGGUGGUGAAGCAAGCUUAAAAAACUGAAGGGAGUGAGCUGGCCUUAUAAGUCUAAGAGAAGUAAUGAGGGGUGUGGUUCCCAUUCUGAUAAAGGGAAUUUCGGUGCUGAAGGAGAAGGAACCCAGGAGGCUCAAAUGCUAAGAGGGGUAUGAGUAUAAAAGGUGAGAGGAUAGGAGAGCAAAAGACCUUUUGACAUUUUGGAGAGGGGAAAUUUUGCUGGUGAGAAAAACAAAAGGUCAGUAACAUCUUUUGAGUUGAGAGUGUGGGGGAAAGCUUCAGCACUGUGGUUUUUUUGAAGAGGAGAGUGACAGCCUCUCAGUUUUGGAAGUCAUCAUCAGCAUGCACGGAUCAUAUUUGGUGGAGAUUCUGAGGUAAGCACGCUGAAUUUUCUUUACUUACAGUUUAUCUUCCUCGUCUUCAUAUGCUUUUUCUCCUUCCUCAUCAUCUUUUCUUCCCUUUGAUAUGAAGAUUGUAUUGCUUGGGUGUGGAUAAUAAAGGCCACACAUGAUUGUUGUUGUUUGCUUCCUUGAUCACUUAGGAACUUUCUGACCGAAUUAGGGAUUUUCUACCAACCGGCUGAACCAGUUUGAAACGGUUCAACCGGUUCAGCACCAUAGCUGGCAGCCUCUAUUAGCCAUGAGGAACACUUGCCUUUCUUUGUCUGGUUCUCACUCAUCUGGGCUCAGAAGUGAGAACCGUUUCUUUUGUUUGCUUCCUUAAUCACUUAGGAACUUUCUGAUCGAAUUUGGGAUUUUUUAUCAACCGGCUGGACCGGUUGGGAACUGGUUCAACCGGUUCAGCACCAUAGCUGGCAGCCUCUGUCAGCCAUGAGGAACACUUGCCUUUCUUUGUCUGGUUCUCACUCAUCCAGGCUUGGAAUCGAGAACCGUUUAUUUUGUUUUCUUCCUUAAUUACUUAGGAACUUUCUGACCAAAAUUGGGAUUUUUUACCAACCGGCUGAACCAGUUUGGAACCGGUUCAACCGGUUCAGCACCAUAGCUGGCAGCCUCUGUCAGCCAUGAGGAACACUUACCUUUCUUUGUCUGGUUCUCACUCAUCCAGGCUUGGAAUCGAGAACCGUUUAUUUUGUUUUCUUCCUUAAUUACUUAGGAACUUUCUGACCAAAAUUGGGAUUUUUUACCAACCGGCUGAACCAGUUUGGAACCGGUUCAACCGGUUCAGCACCAUAGCUGGCAGCCUCUGUCAGCCAUGAGGAACACUUACCUUUCUUUGUCUGGUUCUCACUCAUCCGGGAUCGGAAUUGAGAACCGUUGCUUUUGUUUGCUUUCUCAAUCAUUAGGAACUUUCUGACCAAAUUUAGGAUUUUUUAUCAAUCGGCUGAACAGGUUGGGAACCAGUUCAACCGAUUCAGCACCAUAGCUGGCUGCCUCUGUCAGCCAUGAGGAACACCUGCCUUUCUUUGUCUGGUUCUCACUCAUCCGGGCUCGGGAUUGAGUGUCGUUUCUUUUGCUUGAAUCCUCACUCAUUUAGGAGUUUUCUAGAAAAAUUUGGGAAUUCUUCUCAAUAGGUUGUACCAGUUGAGAACUAGUUCAACCUGUUCUGCUGGAGGACUUUAGGUAGCCCUCGAUUUUGGCAUUUUUCGAGCCCUUAUCCAUGGGGGCUCAAACCCAUUUGCUAUAGGGCACUUAUGAGCCAUCUUGAAGGUUUAAGUCAGUGUUUGAUUUCAGUUAGUAUGGGCAAUUUUGAAGUUAUGGGUGGUGUGGUCUAGAUGAGUCUAGUUCGAUUUGUAUGACAUUUGGGGAGUCCCUUACCUCAUUUCAACCAGCUAUCUUCCUUUUUGGCACAAUCUUUGAUGCUUGAUUUUGAAUACAUGUUGCGUGACUGACUCACCCUUUACUGCAGCGGUUGGCUAGGGACCGCAGGUACGCAUCGUUGGCUUUGGUUGUUGAAUUCAUAUGCAUGCAUGGUGCUUAAUCUUGAAUGUUUGUUAUGUGUUUAUCUGUGUUUGGCUGACCUUUUAUGCAGUGCUUGGCUAGGGACCAUAGGUACACACCCAUUGCUUUGUUUGGUUGAAUUCAUAUGCAUGCCAAAUAUCAAUUAGGAUUGUGUGAUUCAUGACAUCUAUUUAGCCUAGGAUUUCAUUUGACCUUUGACCCAUAUGCUCCCACAUACCCAAUUCAUUAGUAGAGACCAAGUUUCGGGCCUAGAGGGGUGCUACCUCGCAUGAGGUACCUUCCCAACGGGUAACCUAAUCCCCGGACCCAGAAUCUAGUUUUCGUAGACCGCUUUUUCCAUACUGAGGUCAUUAAGGGUUUUUGUUCUUACUUAAUUUUCCCCAUUUAAAAAAAAAAAAUAUAAAGUAAGUGGCGACUCCAAACAACACCGUUCCUCACCGGGGGCGGGUUUUUCAAAACUGGAAAACACCAACUUUUUUUCAUUUCUUUCUUUUCUUUUAAAAGCGAGUCGCGUCGGUCCGGUGGAUCGGGUGAGGGUCCACAGGGCUAGAUUAAGUAAUUCAAGUUCAAGUUGGACUCAAGUCAUUUAAGCCCACAAGGAAGUCUAUAUAAACCUUUUUAGGGUUUAUAGUUAGAUACUUGAUUUGAUUAAUGUCCUUUAGAAAUAAAACCUUAACCUCCAUCCACUCUAAAGAGUAGUUCACCCUUCCAUUGCCAAGAUCUAAGAGAGAGUCAUUAGACAGAAGAUCUCUAAGUUUUCGAGGUUAUCUAUAGCAAUUAGAAAAAUGAUUUAGGAACAUCCAAAUCCAAAGGUAUGAGUUUCUAACACCCUAGAAGUUUUAAUGACUAAUAUUUUCUAUUGCACCUAGGAUAUUAGAUGCAUGCACCCCUUUUUGUGGUCCAAGGCUUGGAUUGGUAUUUAGAUCCAAUAAUCUACAAUAUCUAAUUUUUCUUUUACAAUUGUUCCAUCACUUGAAUUAGAAGUUCAAUUUUUUUUUAGUCCUUUAUGGUUUGGACAAUUUCUCAUGUAGUACUCUUUUUUGUUUCAAUUAAAACACUUGUUGUUUCCUUUGGACUUUGAUUUAGAUUAGGAAUGAUUUUUUCUACAAUUAUUUUUCUUUCCUGAUCUCCCUCUAGUCACCAAAACUUCACUUGAACUUUCUUCUUUACUCAUAGACACCUUUUUUUUCAACUCCUUUUGAAUUCAAGGUUGCUUUAACAUCCCUUAUGGAGAGAGUAUCUCUAUCAUACAUCAUGGUAUCAAUUAAAUGCUCAUAAGAAUUUUGUAAGGAACACAUCAAAAUUAUAAUUUGGUCUUCAUUAUCAGUUCUAACAUUAAUAUUUCUUAAAUUCAUAAUAGUUUUAUUAAACUUAUCAAGAUAGUCUUUAAUAGUCAUACUUACUUUCAUUUGAAGAGGUACAACUGCUUCUUCAUAUAUGAGUGAUUUGAUAGUAACAAGAGUGAAAUUGUUUCUUCGAUCAAACUUCUCAAUAUCAAAGUUUGCCAUCAUUUUAGAACCAAUAACUUGAACUUUGAUAACGAUUUAUUAUGAAAAAACCAUAAGAAAGACUAAUAAUAGUGAACAAAAAAUAAGAGAACAAACAUAGAAAACACAUGAAAUACAUAAUAAUUUAUAUGGUUCAGCCUAAAGCCUAUAUUCAUGAACGAAGAUAAAGAAGAAUUUGCACUAUUGUUGAAGGAGAUUACAACUCUAGAGUUGUCAAAUCCCAAAGUCCCAAUACUAAGAUUUCAUAUAAGAAACUAAUUCUAUAAUUGUCAAAGAUACUUAUUUCAAUAUUUCCUUUUUCACAAUAGGAAAAUAUAUCAUAUGGGGAAAGUAUCAAUAACUAGUCAAUUGACUCAAAUAGAAUUUGAGAGACUUCUCAACACAAGGGACAAAUUCAUGACCAUUCUAAAAAAUCUAGACUUUGAUAUUAUGUCAAGCUAUAUAUUUAAUGUAAAACUAAGCUUAAAAUUUUUUACACUAGUGACCUAAAUAUUAUAUCAUUCUCUUUCUUUAUUUUAUUCUUUUUUAUUUUUAUCUUUAUUUUAAGGCAUUUUCCAUAUCCCAACUACUGCCAACCCGUAAAUUCAUUUUGAUUUAUUUUAUUUUUUCUUGCUUUGAUUUUAAUAGUAAUGGUUGUUUUUGAAAUUUGGAUUGUUGAAUUAAUAUAAAAUUCGAGCUUUGUUAAUUAGUAUGAAAUUUGAGUUAAUUUGUUGUUGGUAAAUUAAUAUGAAAUUUAGGAUAAUUUAUUGUUGGUGAAUUAAUUUGGAAUUUGCUCAUUUAGGUUAGAAUAAUUGAUAAUUUAUAUGAUUGUGCUCAUUUGAAUUAUUUAAUUUGGAUAUGAUAUAAUAUUGUGGUAUAUUUUGGAUGUGGGUUUACAUAUUAAAUUGGGUUGAUUUUGGUUGUGGAUUUAGGUUUGUAUAUAAAUUAGGCUUGAAUUAUGAGAUAUUAAGUUUAGGUCUAAUGGAAUUUAUUUUAAUUUAUCAUGUUUUGAGUUUGAUUAAUUGAGUUUAUAUUUUAGUUAUUAAUUUGUAAAUUUUGGAUCAGGGUUUAUAACAUGUAAGAUAUUUUUGUUGGGUUAUAUUUAGUAAUUUGGGCCCAUUUUUAAUUGGUGAAAUUUGAAGUUUGAAUUUGGGUUUGAAUAAUUAUUUGGGACUCUACACAUUUCUGGAUAUUUAUAUUUGAGCUAUUUUUGUUUUUAUAUGGACUCAUUUUGCAAUCUUGUUGGCUGAGUACGAAUUUAUGACACGUGGAGCACGAAAUUUCAUGAAAGAAAGUGAGAAUCAAAAAGCUGUAGGAAGACAUUAAGCUUGUUGUAAACUUAUUUGGGUACACGUAUUAUUUCCCACUACUAUUUGGUUUUAUUUUUAUUGAUUUCUAUAAAUAUUUGUUCGUAUAUAUUUACUUGUUGUGUACAGAAUUGAAUAUCGAAUAAAUUAGAAAUUUUGUUUAAAUAAGAGGAAUAAUUCAAUAAAUAUGUUUAAUAAAAUAAUAAUUUUAAAAUAUUCUUCUUAAUAAAAGAAAUUUUUUUAUUAAUAAAAAUUCAUGAAAAUGCUUUUAGAAAAAGAGAAAAAGAUUGUUUUUAAUAGAAUUUGAAAAUUUGUUUUUAAUAACAAUUGUCCAAAGAUUUAUUUGUUUAAUAAAAAUUGUCUAAAAAUUGUUUUGUAAAUAAAAUUGUCUCAAAAAUUAAUUCUUUUAUACAAUUGUCCAAAAAAUGUUUUUUUUAAUAAAUUCUUUUUCCUUAAUUAAAAUGGGAUUAACAAAAUUUUUUUUUUCCUUUUAAUUAAAAAUUCUUUUGCAAAUAAAGUUGUUAUUUUUAUUUAUUUUUUUAAUAAUUUAUAUAAGUCACUUUUCUUAAAUGAAAACAAAUUGAAAUAUUUUUGUAAAUAAAAUUAUCAAAAUUCAUUCAUUUUUUUUUUUUUGUAAAAGCAAAUAAAAAUUUUUAUGCCCAAAUUGAAAUUUUGUAAUAAUUUCUUUUGAUACAAUAAGGGUAAAUAACUUUUUUUUGAAAAUUGAAUACAAAUGAAAUUGAGAAAAUAAAUUGACUCUUUUUUGUAAAUAAAAAAAUUAUUGAAAUCAGUAAUUCAAAAUCAUUUUUAAUAAAAUCCUUUGAAAUUUCUUGAAAACUAAUUUUUUUAAUCUCUUUGUUUAUUUAGUUCAAUAAAUCAUUUUGCAUAAUUCUCUUAUUAUUUAUUUUGUAUAUUCUUGUAAUUAGAUUUUAUCAGUAUUUUUGUUUAUAUUGAUUUUCACUAUGACUUGUACAUAUUCAUUUGCAUGAUUAUUUUUCUUGGUAUGCAUAAUUAAUUAAUUAAUUGUUACAAUUCCCUUAAUUUGUUUAGUAGAGGUUGUACGUAUACAAACUUAGAGGGGUGUUACGGCUCACCACCGUACCUUCCUAAUAGGUAACCUGACCCCCAAACCUGACUUUGGUUUUCCACAGACCUAUUUUUCCUUCAGAGUCACACUUAGAGUUUUCAUUUCUUAUUUUAUUUUUCCCUUUAAAAAUAAAACAAAAAUAAGUGGUGACUCCAAGUCUUUUUUUAAAAAAUAAAAUUUUCACCAAAUGAAUAAAAAGCGAGUUUCACCAUCAAAUGGGAAUGCAUCGAGCAAAAUGCGGGGUCCACACUAGUAUUAACAUUAUGGAUAUUCUACAUAAGAAAGAAAUAGAGAAGCAAAAUAGAAGAAUUAAAAACAAAAUAAAGGAGAAAUAACAAAUGGGUUAAGAUUUUAUGACCUUUUAUAUAUGUUUUUACAAAUUUAUUCUCAUCUUUUCUCUUCUAUGUGGUAGGGCUAAACCUGAAUAAUUAAGCUUGAUAUAUGUUAUUAGCUUAGUUCUUGAUAGUUUAAAAUUUUAGAUCAAUUUAUAGCUUAAUACAUUAUAUUAAAACGUUGUUUUGGGGUCUUUAAGAUGAGCUUAAAAGCAUAUAAUAUUUUUUGAAUAAUAUGCAUUAUAAUUAAUUAAUCUUGUUUACUAUUUUUCACAAUAAACCAAAUAUGAAAAUUUGGAUUUUUCUUUUUUCUUUCCUAACACUUAUUCUUUCCAUUACCUGAACAAUAUUCCUAGACUUUAUUUAAAUAACAGAAAGCACUAAGAAAAAGAAAAAUGUGAAAAAAGAAAUCUAAAUUUUUUUUUGUUUGAUUUAUCACAUAGUGUAUUAAGGAAAAUCAUAUGCAAUAGUAGUUAAUUGAAGAUUCAUAUUUUUAAAGUUGUCAUUCUUUGAAAAUUUUAAGAAGAAAAAAAGAAAAAUAAAUUUAAGGUUAUAAGAAAAAUGUACUAAUUAGUUUAAAUCAAAGUUUUAUUUUUCCUUUAGUUUGUUUUUUUUUUUUUUCAAAUUUUUCACAUUACAUUCUUUCUCACUAAAUUUCCCCAAAACUCUUCAAGAUCUAAAGGACAACACUAAGUGGCAAGGAAAAUCAAGUAAGAAAAAGAAGAAAUAUACAAAUAGUACUUUGAUGUGGAACAAUUUGGAAAAAGAAAAAAAAAAGGAUUCAAUUAAUUAAUGGCAAGUCAAAGGGUUUUAUUAAUUUAAUCAGAAGUCACAAGCUAUCCAUAGUAUCCACCAAAAAAACCUUAAUCAUUGAUAUACCAAUAGAAUAGUUGUACUUCGAAUAUUUGGAAUGCAAAACUUAAAUUAUUUAAGCAAUUGCAUACAAUGGCCAUGAGAAAGAAAUUGCAUACCUCGACUCUAUGAUAGAAUAAAAAUAUUUAAUAGAGAAGACCUCAUUCCUAGAAGCCAUCCAUGUCAUUCUAUCCUUCUAUUCCCUCUUCACAAACCUACUUGGUAGCCUUAAGAAGAAAGCCUCUAAAUCAUCUCUCUCUUAGUCAUUCAAGUCACACAUAAAUUCUCAUCACUGUACCACAUAACCUUUCAAAACUUCACCCUCUUCUCUUUUCCCACCUCAAAGUAUACUACUACCAACCAUGUCUCAUCCCUUUCUAAUGUUUUUCCAAACUCCAACUCCAUAUCCUUCCCUCAAUUUGUAAGAAUACCAACCCCCUUUCUCCUUACCAUACUUUCUAAAAUGACCAUUUUCCGAAAGGCUUCUCCUUCUUAGGCAUCUCCAACACUAUUUUUCCCAUGAGAGGUCUAUUAAGCGCAUAAACAAUUAGUCAUUUCAUUGGAUGCAUCAUUUUUUCUAAAGCUCUUUCUCCCCCAAAGGAAGUCUUUUUGAAUUUUCUCAAUCCUCAAUCUAACCUUUCUGGACAUGCUAAAUAAGGACAUGAAAUAAACAAGUAAACUCGAUGAUUUACUUUGAAUUAUUUAAAAUUUCAAGAGAUCAUGACCUAUCUAAACCAUAUAAUGUGUGUGCAUGUGCCUAUGACCAAAAUAGAAAUUAGCAAAACAUAGUGAAGAGUGUAUUCAUUGUACAUUAUAUACAUGAAUUAUAGUCAUCUCAUGUGAUGUAUAUUGUCUAAAAUAAAUGGACAAAAGAUUAAUUAUUCCUAUCUUAUGGCAAAGGUGAACUUGCUAUCAAAUAUGCUCUUGUGCUCUUACCUCCUUACAAUUGCCAUAAGGGUCAGGGAAUUAAAAGGAUACACAGGUAUACAGAUAUACAAAUACAAAUAAUUUAUUCUAUCUGACAAGUGUAAGUUUUCUCAUAACUAGAUUGCUACCCAAGAAUCUCCUAUGCUAUGACUACCUUGCACUUGGCAUAGGGACUGAAGGUUUAUAUGUGAACAUAUAUAGUCACCUAAAAUGCCCAGGUCACCAUUAGGGUUGAAAAAGAAUAAUUUUUUUUUUACAUUAUAACCCUCAUAUAUUCAAGGGUAAACCUGAAUAGUAUACAGAAGAUUUUGACAACAUGACCUAAGUGCUUAAUACAAUAAGGAACAAAGAUCCAUGUUGAUUACAAACUAUCAAACAUUGUAAUAUUUUCUAAUUAAUGGUCAAAGACCUCAAGCAAGUCACUACAAGAAAGUCAGAUAUGGUCAUGUAGUUUUAGGAGGAGUUGGUAAAAUCUACAACAAAAGAGUAUAUAUAGUUGCAUAACAAUUUCAGUCGCAACUAAUGAAACACAGUGUCAGUUCUAUAGUUGUGGGAAUAAUUAAGUCGUAGUGAAAGGAAUUUUCCGCCAGACCUAUGGUUGUGGGAUUAAUUAAGCCACAUGGGAAGGAAUUUCCUGCUAGACCUAUGGUUAUGAGAUUAAUUGAGCUGCAGGUAAUGGCAUGGACUAUGAUUACUGGAGUGAUUAGAAGCAACUCUAAAUUCCCCUUUUCAGGCAGGACAAAGGUGGCCACUAUUAUAUAUGGCUUAGUAGAUCCACUACCCUAACAUCACUACAUAUACUUCCCUACAUUUCUCUCCCGCUCACCGCACUGCCAAACCCAUUUCUACUUACCUCCAUUAUUAAACCCAUUUCUCCUUGCUUGCCAAACCCAUUGUGGGUGCCAAUGUGAGAUUAAGAACCCUACAUUUCUGCUUGCUUGUACUUCCCUUUUGUUUCACUCAUUGUUCUUUCAACUAGACAUCAUUUUAUUUUAUUUUAUUUUUUCUGAUUUCACUCUCUGGUUUCUUGCUUCUCGCCUACCAUAUGAUUUUCUAGGGUUUCGAGUAAAGGAUUAUGGUCUUUGGGUAUGACUUCUCCAUCAACCAAAUAUGCAAUUUGUCAUAAUUGAUCAUCCUACAAUUAUGCGUAUUGUUCAAACUUGCAUUUUUAGAUCUUUAGAACCUUGUUCAUGUAACUUUUGAUUUUUCCUGAAUUCAACCAUUUAUUUUUAUGUUGGAUCUAAGCUUUGUGUUAAUCAAACCAAAUCAAGUAUGAUAUUGUUAACUAGAAAACAAUCAGCAAUUGUUUGUCCAAUCCAUGGUGGAAUAUUUCUUGAAAAUCUAUUGCCCCUGAGACCAAGACUAUGGAUGUUGGUGCAAGUUUGCAAGGUAGUAGGAAGUUCCCCGAAAAGAUCAUUGUUGCUCAACCUUAAAAAUGUUAGGUAGGUUAGAGAACCCACAAAAGUUGGCUACUCACCAGAUAAGUUAUUGUUCAAUAGGUCUACAUGCAUCACCAGAUUAGGAACGCCAUUCCACAAUGCAGGAAUUUCUCACUAAACCAUUUAGUUUAUCAAUGGACACAGGAUAUGAGAGAGAUCUAACUUUGUCAGCAUGGGCAUUCUUUCCCUAAUAUCACUAGGAAUUGGUCUGGAAAACGAAUUAUUCUCAAAAAUAGUCUACUUACAUUUGAUGACCAAAGUGGCAGAGGACCAUUGAAAUGGUUCACAUUCAAAUAAACAGAGAAUUGAGGGGCAAACUGUAAUGAUUUUGGAAAUCUGCCACUUAAUUGAUUAUAGCCCAAGUCCGGCUAUUUGAUCAAAUUGUAUGUCUAACAUCCAAAACCAGUUUGUAUUAGAGUGUUAGGCUGAUUUUAGUAUUAGUACUAGGCCCAGUACUUGUAUUUUUUGAAAAAUGGGCAAUCAUAAAUUUUCUGAUCAACUAUCAUUAGUUGUUCUCAGUUAAAUUUCCAAUGAGAUCAAUGGUGGGGCAUCAUAUUUGUUAAUCAGAAUUGGAUUUUUUUUUAAUCUUUGAAUACAAAUGGUUGCAUUCUCUUAAUUGUUGUUUGAAAAUGGUUAUCAUAUACGAAAUGAAUCCUGUACUAUUGUACAUAAAAUGAAAAUGACAUGUUAUAAAUUUUGUUCAUAGAUAUCCCACAUAUGAUGGCAACCCAAUACUUUCUGCAUAAAUUGGUAUUGGUCCAUGCAUCAUAUUAAGGUUACUUGGUGGUGAGCUUUUGCAAGUUUUCAUCUUUCUUGUUGUCCCUUAUUUCGGGUAUAAAUAAGGUGAAAAAUGUUGGUCAGGUGUUUGUUAGGACUUAGGACCAUGUUAGGAUCGACGACUUGGAAUUUCUUUAUUUUCAGUUCACCUAUAUUUGGAAUGUCUGCUGAUCAUACUUGUUUUGGGAGUUGGAUUGACUCUCUUGUUUCCUGUGCUUUAAUGAACUAGGUUCCGGUCACGUGCGCCCCCACUCGAUCGGCGAGACUCGCUUUUUAUUGGUGAAAAAUUAAUUUUGGAAAAAAAGUCGGAGUCGCCACUUAUUUUAUUUUUAUUUUAAAAGGAAAAUAAAACAAGAAAGAAAAACCCUAAAAUGUGACUCCAUAAUUUUUGGAAAAAUCAUGUCUUUGAACAGCCCGAGUCUAGGUCUGAGGAUCAGGUUACCUAUUGGGAAGGUACCUCUAAAAGGUAGCACCCCUCUAAGCCCUAUAAAGGUCUCUACUGACUAAGUUGAGGGAAACGUGACAAUUAAAUGGAUGAUCAUGGAUACCUAAGUAAGCAAGGGGUUUUCAAAAAAAAAAAAAACUAUGUCAAGCAAGAAAGUCUGAUCAUAGGAGAGAGUCGAAGUGCGUACCUAAACGGCUUCUCAAGCGCUAUCAUGAAACAUAAAAGUUAGUAUAGAGAUACAUCACACAACAUGUGCUUUUGUCAAAGAUAAUCAAGCAAGCAUCAAAUAUAUAUCAAGGUAAUCAAACAGGAUGGCAAGCAUGGGCAUAGUACGCAAUGACAAUCAUAUUCAUAGGGUUUAGAAAGUGGGUAUUAGGGAACGUACCUGGAUAGUAUAGAUAACUCCUAAUGCGCUUCCUCAGGACAUGGGGGGGUUAAAUAAUAAAUAGUAAAAUAAGAAAUCCUAACAUGCGUAUCUAAUUGGCAUAGCAAAAAUGAUCAAAGAAUACGAAAUCAUCAAUUAUCACACACAUCUUAUAUACAAUUCCAAAAAAAUAGAUAGAUAUGAUUACGACAAAUAGCAAGGAUAGUAGCAAAAAUAAGUUUUGAAAAGAUUUUCUUAUGUAGAGGUUUCAACAAUUCCUCAAUUGAUUUACAUGAAUUUAGCCCAGAAUUAUCCCAUUUAUAUGGGACCACAAGCUUUGAUUCGUGUCUAAUUUAAAACCAAAAUUUUCGUUAAAACCCGAGAAAGAUGCAAACUGAUCAAAAAAUGGUUGCAUAUUAUUUAAAGAAAAUGGGGUUUUUGAUUCAAAGAACUCUAAAUGAACUUUUUAAAAUAGGUUUUUAUAAGGAACAUUUUGAGAAGAGUAUUUUAUUUUAAAGGGAAAGACAUUAUUCACAAACAAAUGAUUCGCAAAGAUCAAAUAUAGGCAACCCAAAAUAAAAACAAAAUCACAAAGUAAAAUUUUCUCAGUAAUCAACAAAACUAAUAAAGGUGAGGGUAGAGACCAAUCUUCAUGAUUUUCCAAUGGCCUCUAAAAAUUAAACUUCACAAAAAACUAUCAAAGCAAUAAACUAAAUGACUUUAGAUCAGAUAAGAUUAGAAGAUAUUAAUCAGGAGUUAAAAAUGGGGAAUCAAACACAUGAGAAUAAUAAAAAACUAACAUAAGACCAAUUAAGUUGAUUAACUAAAAUUUUAGAGAAACAUAUGAACUAAAUUAUGAUCAAUUCAAGAAUGAAAAUUUAUAUAUUUAAGAUAGAAAUAAUGCAACUUAAGAUCAAUUAAACAAGUUAUUUAAAGCUUUGAAAAACAUACAAACUAAAAGUGGAUCAACCAAGAAAUAAAAUUAAUAAAUUCAGAAUAUGAAAAUGACAUGGAACCAAUCAACUUAAACAACUCAAGUCCUAAAAACUCAUGUACUAAAAAGACGAAUAAAAAAUAAGAUUAAUAUUUUAAAACAUGAAUUCAAUCGCAUAGGAUCAAUUAAACUAAUAAAUUAAAAUCAACGAAUGCAUUUAAACUAAAAACGAAUUAAAAUUAAAGUAAUUGGAAUUAAAAAAAACACAAACUUUAUCUAGCGUGAUUAUUUAAACUAAAAACAAAUUAAAAUCCAACUAAUUAGGAUCACUAACACAUUCAAAUUAAAUCAUAAGCUAAAAUUAAAUUAAUCCAGAAUUAAAAAAAUAAACUUUAUCUCUCAAAUUUUUUUAACUAAUAAAUUAAGAUGGACAAAUGCGUUUAAACUAAAAACAAAUUAAAAUUGAACUAACUAGAAAUAAAAGAGAGACAUUUAAUCUAAGAAAAAUAAAAGAUUGUACGAAUCGAGAUUUAAAAGAAUUUAUCACAAACAAUUAAUUAAAUCAAUAAACUAAAAACCCAAACUAAAAAAAAGAAAUACUGUAUCAAAAACCGAAAACUAACCUGUAUUGCGUAGGAAAAAUACUCUCUUGAUGUAUCAAAAUGGCAACUCAAUUAGUGUUUGAAGUCCUCUGCUGCUCCCCAAAAAACUCUUGUGCGUGUCCUCUCUGAAAAAAAAUUCCUCUCUCUCUGCCAAAGAAAUAAAAUUCCUCGCGUGUUCUCUCUGCCAAAAAAUCCCUCCCCCCCGUGUCUGUGUUCUCUCUUACUUCUUCAUCAAUUUUCAACAGUUGAAGACCCUCGUCAAAUGCACAUAUAUUUAACAGAAUAUUCAGUCACUCUGGAGUCAUAAUUUCAUCCACUAUUCUACCAUAAUUUUUAGCUCACUUAUCAAUGCUCCUUCACCAAAUUUCCAACACAUUUCAUUGUGAAUUUUCAGCCAUGAAAAAAGCUUCCAUUCACAGUCACAAUUCUCGUGUGUCCACCACAAAAUUCAGUUUUCAAGAAUUCACCUUUUGCAUGAAACUACCAUCAAAGGAAUUCUCCAUAUGCAACCAUAUAUUCCGUGAUUCAUCCAUGGAGAUUUAUAAAUUCAAGGCCAUUAUCUCCAUUAAGCUAUUUUAAAAUUCAUCCAUGGAGAUUUAUAAAUUCAAGGCCAUUAUCUCCAUUAAGCCGUUAUAAAAGUCAUCCAUGGAGAUUUUAUAUGCAAGGCCAUUGAAACCUGAUUGGAAUCAAGAAAUUAAUAUUCACAAAGUGGCUGCCCAUUCUCCAUCAGAAUCAAAGUGAUAACACAGCUGAAAGUGAAUGAAAGCCUUUCCCUUUAACCAAGACAUCAACACGGCUGAAUGCGUAUAGAAUCUUCUUCAUUAAAUCAAGGCGUCAACACGCGUAAAGGGGAUGAAAUUCCUGCCCGCUUCGAUGGAGAUCUCCCCUCCUUCCCAGAAUAGUGCAGCUGAGUUCCAACCUCCCACCUCAAAAAUUUAAAUGUCUCCGACCUGUUGUGUGUGUAGCUCUCCCGAUCUGACCUGUGCGCGUGUUCUUAGAAAAUCAGAAUUGUGCGUGGGCUCCUUCAUGCGGUUGUGGAGACUUCCUGAAGUGGUGUGUGGCUGUUGGUGCGUGGUCCCCAUGCUUGAGAUUCAACUAAAAAACAUUAUGUCUAUGAUAGGUACACAAAAAUAAUUAAGACAUCAGUUUACACAAUUAAUCAUCAAUCUCAUGCAAUAUUCUAUCAAAUAAAUAAAUAAAAACAAAUAACUAACCAAAUAAUAAUAAAUAAACAAGUAAAUAAAUAAAUAAAAUAAAAUAGAUAAAUCAAUAAAUAAGAAAUCGAGUACAUGCAAACAUUAAAAGUGCAAAUCAUGCAAAUUAUGUAAGUCAUGUAGGAAUUACCGAAAAGGUGACAUAGGUAGGCCAGGAUGCCUAAGUGGACCUAAAGUGAGUGUGCGUAGGCUAGAAGGUGCCAAGGUGGGUCUAAGCGGGUCAAGGUGAAUCUAAGUGGGCCUAAGGUGGUGCUCAAUGGGCCAAGUGUAUCUAAAAACUAUCCUAAAAAUGAAUGAAACGCCUAAUUCUAAAUUAAGGCUGCCAAGGGUCACAAUAAGGGGUCAGAUAAUCCCUCGACCAAAGUCUCCGAGGUGGCUUAAAAAAGGUAAGUAGUAUGAGUAGCUAUGGGCCACCAAGGAACUACUGUAAAGUAUCGAAUAAGUAUCUAAUAGGACAUGUGCUAGGAGGACAAAAUUGAGGGUCUACAAAUAUGCCCCUCUUCAGUAGAGAUCACGGGUGUAAGGAAUGUGAGUAAAAAAAAAUGAAUAAUGAGUGGAAUGAAGUGAACUAUAUCGAAGAACUAAAGAAGGACCAGAGAUUUUGUCUUAGCACAUGACGAGAGUAAGGUCGGAACAUGGGCUGCAACGACAAGGAUGGAACAACUCUACGUGGGGGAAUGGUAGUAAAGAGAGAAAGGUAUGUGACGAGUAGCACAAAGAUGGAAAGAGAUGAAAAGGAUGACUCAAAGUCAUGAAUGAGGUGAAUAACUCUAUGUCAUGGACAAGAUGAAUGACUUUGGGUCAAAAAUAGGACAAACGACUCUAGAUCGGAAAUAGGAUAAACGACUCUGGGUCAUGAGCUCAGGGCUAUAAAUGCUAAGAAUGACUCUGGGUCAUAAAUGAGAAAAAUGACUCUAGGUCGUGAGCUCUGGGCUCUAAAUGGAAAAGAAAUGACUCUGGGUCAAGAACUCAAGGCUCUAAAUGGGUAGUUGAUCAGGAUGCUUUCCGGCUCAUGGUGUCGGGUCGAGGCCACUCACAAGUGGCUAUGAUGAUGAAAACGAAACAUCUCAGGGGUGUGAAGGAUGCAAAUGACUCUGGGUCAUGAGCUCAGGGCUUAGGGUGCUAUGGAUGACUCUGGGUUAUGAUGCAAUAAGUAACUCAGGGUUACGAUGAAUAACUUAGGGAUCAUCAUGACCCAGGCAAAGUUAAUCUAAGAGAUCGAUUAUUCCCAAUGAAAAGUAUAGUUGCAGGACAUGACCCUAUCCUCCUGCAUGAGUCCUCUGGCAAACCUGAUCUAGAGUUGAGUACUGAAUCCCACACCUCUUGUGCUCCCCAAAAAUAGUGUUCCUCAUGCAAAACAAAAUAAAAUGAAAUUAGAAAUUAAGAGCCAAGAGAAUAAACUAAUGAAAAUCAUUAGAUUGGUAAUAAAAUAAAAUAUGAUUUAAAAGAAAAGAAAGGGAAAAGUGAGACCAGAUUAUUCCAUCAUUCAAUCAAGGGUUAUUUGCACAUCUUGGAGUCUAAACAAUUCAAGCAAUUUCCUAUUAGAUAAGUGAACAAAUAAAAUAAAAUAGUAAUAAUAAUAAUAAUGACAAUGAUAAUAAUAAAAAAAUAAAGAGUAAAAAUGAAAAUGAAUAAACAAAAUAAAUAUAACUAUUGAAUGCCUGCAAUAAUGAUAAUAAUAAUAAUAAAAGUUAAGCCCGAUGAAGUGUUUAAACGGGCCUAAGUGGGUGCCUAAUGAACUAAGCGUCCUAAAGUGAUCGGGAUAUUGUCUAACUGACCUAAACAUGCCUAAGAACUAUCCUAAAAAGGAAUGAAGAGCUUAAGUCUAAAUCAAAACUACCAAGGGUCACAAUAAGGGGUUAGGCAAUCCCUGAACCAAAGUCUUCGAGUGGCUCAAAAAAGGUAAGUAAUAUGAGUAGCUAUGGGCCACCAAGGAACUACUGUAAAGUAUCGAAUACGUAUCGAAUAGGACAUGUGCUAGGAGGACAAAAUUAAGGGUCUAUAGGAUUCUUAAAGAUUAUAGGGUGUUCAUAUGGAAGUUCAAGGUUCUUUAGCUUCUUUGACCAAGAAGAAGAACAACAACACCAAGUAAGUAAAGUUCAAGAGAAGGAAUAAGAGAUUAAGCUCAAGGGCGAGUGAUUCCUUUGUGAACUUUUAGAACACUCAAAAAUGAAUGUCCUUUUUGCUUAAAGGAAAAAAGGAAAGUAUAUAUCAUUUUCUCAUUGUUAAGUAUUUAGUGGUGGAUUUCACCAUUUAUGGUUGAUAGAUUCUAGGCCCAUUGUCUAUAAGUCCUUAUAAGAUAUUCAACAAGUGAGAAGAUUAAAUGAUGAGAUUAUACUUACCUUAGCUUUAAAUGCAAGGUUAGUUUUGCAAGUUAAUGGAAGGUAUUAUCAUUUUCUUUUAUAAAUAUUCCAUUACCACUUUGUCAAGUGAUGAGAAUAGUCAAACCUUAGGAUUAAACCUAGCACUAAUUAAACAUUUGGUUUCUAGACCUAAGUCAUAUUAACCUAAAUAGGAUCCAAAGACUAGUAAAGUCUAGACUCUUUGAUUCUAUAAGAUCUUUCAGUCUAUGAAUCCUGUAUAAAUGGUAAAAUGACUAAGAAGAUUAAAGCCAAGGAAUGUUUGGAGUUAGUGCAUACUGACAUGUAUGGAAAUUUUAGUGUCCAUGCAUGGGAAGGGUAUGGGUAUUUCAUCGCUUUUAGUGAUGAUUACUCUAGGUUUGGUACAUACCAAGUCACUUCGAUUAGAUCAAAGUGAUAUGUCUAGUAAGUUUGAUACUUUUCAUUGGAGCACGAGAUUAUUUCCUAGUUAUGUGCACCAAGGUCUCUAUUUCAAAAUGGAGAGGUGGAAAGAAUAUGUCAAACUUGGUUGGAUAUAGUAAGAUCGUGGAUAUGUUUCACAUUUUUUCUCUGAUUCUUUUGGGGAUAUGCCUUAUAGAUAGUGUAAUACCUCUUUUUCUUAAGAGAUUUAUAAGUUUAUAGGAUAUCUAAGAGGAUUUUUGGGUUAUUACCUUUAUAGUUAGGAUCAUACUCAAAUCCAUCACAUUACUCCUAUCUAUUGCAAUGUGUCUCAUUUAUGAGAUUUAACAACAAAACAUUUUCAUUACAAAGGGCCUUGUGUGUAUGUGUAUAAGAAGGCAUAGGAAAGCGUGGUGAUGCUCUAAGAUUUUGCAGGUAGAUGACAAUCUACUCAUUGGAUAUGAUGUAGGGAUACUGCCAUCAAUCAAGAUCUAGUAGUCUACUUAAUUUUAAAUGAAAAUCUAGAGGAAGGAGUAAUAUAUUCUUAGGGUUUAGGUUCUUUAGGACUACAAGAAUAGGAAAAUUACGCCAUGUCGCCUACAUGGAUAAGCACUUGGUCAAGCACAUGAUGUGAAACUCCAAGAAGGGUUUGUUACUCUUUGGAUUUGGAGUUGUCUUGCUUAGGAACAAUGUCAUUGGACAUCUAUGGAGGGAGAUUGCAUUAAGGUGAUAUCCAAUGCCUCUACAAUGGAUAGCCUUAAGUAUGUGGUUGCUUUAUUGUAGGAAUAAUGAGUGGAUAUUAGUCUUUUUCCUUAUUAGAGCUUUGGGAGGAUGUCAAGCAUAUACUCUAGUAUCUUUGGAGAAUGAGGGAUUAUAUGUUUGUGAGUCUUUGCAAUGAUUUGGUACUCCUUUUGUAUCAGGAAAUUGAUCCAGUCUCAUAAAGACUCUUGUAGGUCUACCUUUUGGUAUGUGUACACUCUAAAUGGUUUUUUUGUUGUUCUAUAGCAACAAAGGAAGCCUUUUGGCUUACAGGUAGUUCCCUUGGCUAUAAUGUCUAAGGUCCUGUUAUGUGAUAACGGUGGGAUGGUGGCAUGGUCUAAAGAACUAAAAUGCCACUAAAAGAGGAAACACAUAAAGAGGAAGUGUUAUCUUAUUGUGAGAUAGUACAAAGAGGUGAUAUGACUAUGAAGCAGAAUCUUUCUGUAGUACCCAGUUUGCUUUUGGGGCUAAAAGCAAGACAUGAUGUAAUAGAGUUAGACUUAACUAUCCUCGUGUUGUCCAUUUGGUGUAUUGACAUUGAUUUGAGCAUUUAAUCCAUGUCUCUUACAUUGUACAUGACUUGGGUGCAUUAGGAAUUACAUAGAAGAUACAAGUCAUGGGUUCCUUGUAAGUAGAUAAGUUGUCCACAGUUGGUUCAUGGGUUUAAGCAAUCCAAUAGAGACUGUAGUGCACCACGUCCUAAUUAGAGAGAUGACUUAUCUUAGUCAUCAAGAUGGGUUUUUGCUGGUUAGUGCACUAGUGUAUGUGAUGCACAUUGGACAAGAUCUAUGGUGAAUCAUGACGCAAGGCCAUCAAUUAUCAUGAUUCACCAGGCUACUAUACUACAUGGACUCUCAACCUUGAGAGGAUAUUGAGUCUAUGCCAAAAUCAACAGGAGGCUUUGAGCUACGGGUGAGACCCUAAAGUGGUCAUGUAUCUCUAUGGAUUCGGUCACUAUUGAUAAAGGUUGGUGGCAACAAGUAUUCUCAAUAGAGGCACCAUGAUAUCUCGUGGGAUUUAGAUAGUGUGUUCUAUUAGGUGAUCCAAAGGACAUGUGAUAAUGAAAUUUGUGGUCACAGUAAUUCCUUUACUGGAAUUUGACAUAUGCUCCUUAAAGUUAGAGAGUGUUAUUUGAUCACAUAAUAAGUGGGAUCUAUACCUCAAGGAUUUGAGAGGUAAUAUUGCUAGGUGAUAACACUACCUUAUUAGAUUAUGAACACUGAUUCAUAGGGAGUUUGCAUGUAGUGGAUAGUAGGUUAUGGACCCGAGCACUUGGUGUCUCGUUGUAAUUUACAUAGGGUACUGGAGUGCAAUUGACUAUCUAUGGUGGGAUGUUGAGUCAAUUUCAGAAUUUGAUUAUGAGAGAGCUAGUGCUGCUACAGGUCCCAAUUGUCCCUGCUUUGAGCUCAUAUUCCUUGAUGGCACGGUUUAUGAGGAUUGGAUGAGUUUUUAGUUCACUUUUGUGCAUUAAGGCAUUUUGGUAAUUACGCAAGGUUGCAUAGGGAUAAGUGAGUGGUAUCUUUGGACUAUUCUAAUUGAUUAAUUAGGCUUUGUAUGGUUAAUUAAUCAAUUAGCAACCUUUUUAAGCUAAAUUAAGUGACCCAAGCCCAUGGUGGACUUAAGUCCUUUAAGCUGCAUGAGAAGCCUAUAAAUACCCCUUUAAGGGUUAGGGUUUUUAUGUCUUGCCAUUCUUCAUUUCAGUCUAGAGAGAAAACCCUAGCCUCCACCAUUAAGAUCUCUACCAUCUCAAUGUCUAGAUACAAGGAAGAGUCAUCAAGCGAAAGAUCAUGGUGUUUAUGAGAUCCAUUACGACUUUGGAGUUAUCUACAUCGUUGGAAUCUAUCCGGGAACAUCCAAAUCCAAGGUAUAUGGCUUUAUUCUCUAGAUCUAUGGUUUCUAUGGUAUUCUUAUUGUUUUUUAAUACCUAUUUAUCUGAUAUGAUAAAUUUAGAGAGCCUAGGAUAGAUUUGCAUACACCUUACACGAUCUAAGGCAUGGGAACGGAGUAAUCUAGGGUUCCCAACAUAUGCACACUUAGAUUCUAUUAAAACAUGGAAAUAUGUUUUAUGAUAUAAAAAUGAGUAAUUUGCUCACAAAUGGUAUGUAAUAACCCACUUCCAACAAAGUAGAUAUAGUCCACCUUAGGUUAUCUAGUUAGUUAAGAGAAGUUCAUACAUAUAUAACACUAGGAACAUUUUCCUCUAUCUAAUGUCAAAUAUUACAAUCACCUCCUUUCCCUUUCCUAAUAUAGAACAAACAUCCUCUUUGUAUCUCAUAGGAUUACAAGGCUAAAGAGAAAUGAAUGCCUUGCGAGGUAGAACAAAUAAAGAACACAUCAAAAUCAGAGAUUGGUUAUAAUACUAUUUGCAAUGACCCACUCCCAACCAAGUAGAUAUUGUUUUCUCUAGGUCUAAUGGGUCAUCAGGACUUUAAAGCACGUUUAUAGUUAAGAGGAGCUCAUAUAUAUAUAGUUUCAAGAACUUUUUCUCCUAUUCGACGUGGGAUAUCAUAUAAUAUGUCUAAUUAACAUUGUAGUCCUUAAAUGACAUCCUAAAUUGGUUUAAUAUUCAAGGACCAAUUCAAUAAAAGUCUUUCUCAUAUAAAAGAAUCACUUGACAAGUUUAAAUCUAUUAAAAAGUAGGUAAAAACUUCAAAAUGAUUAUUUUUGGGUUUAUUACACUUUACCCCCUAACCUAUAGCAUGUUUUGCAGAUUGCCUCUUCAAGUUUAAAAUUGAGCAAUGUACCCUCCAUACUUUAUAAUUGCAUACAAUGUACAUUUUUUUGAAUGACAGUGUUAUCUUAAUGGGAUGAAAGACGCAUGUGCUCUCCAUGUGACCUAUUUAAGUGAGGGAAAAAAUGUCAUUUCAUUUUAAAACCCUAACCGAGCCCUUCUCUGCCUCCGUUCUCUUCCUCUUCAUUCUUUUUUUCUCUCCAAAUUGCAAUCGAAGCAUAGCUAAAUCCCCAAAUUGCAACCAAAGCAUAUUAGAGAGUAAAAAUUGCAAGAAAAUGGUGAUGAUGCAAUAUUUUUCUAAACUUUAUUUUCUUUUUCUUUUUCUUCUCGCUUCACUCUUUCUCUUUCCUUCCCAUUUUUAUUGAAAAUUCGCAUGGUCGAUGCUUUGGGUUUUUUUCCAAAAGCUUGAUUUUUUUCCUUAAAUUUCCCUCAAAAUUUCUCCCAAUUUUCUGAAAUAUCAAAACGAAACCUAACCCUAAAACAAAAGUAUAACAUAAAAAUGAAACCCAUCACUAACCGUAACUCUAUGUUGUAUACAUGUGUCGUGUGAUUUGGAUGUUAUGUUAGGUUUGUUUGAUUGUUGCUAUUUUUGUGGGUUUUUGUACUUUGUUUGGUUGACGUGAAAAUCAAUAGAUUUUUUUUCCUUCAUAAAUUUUGAAUUUGAGACUAUUUGAAUUAGUUGAAGUGAUUUUUUAAUAAUGUUAGUUUUUUGAUAAAAUUUUUUGAGUUUGGUUCCAAUUACCAUAAGAUGUGUAGUCCUGUUUGCUGGAAUUCUAGUUUCUCAAGUCGGAAUUAUGGGAAAAUUACAAGCAGUAAUCGAAGGGGGAAGAAGAGAGUUGGGUUAGGGAUUUGGGUGUUUUUAAAUAAAAUGAUUGUUUUGCCCUUGAUCACGCAAAGACCACAUGUCUUUCCAUCUAAAAAAAUAAUGUCGUCUCUCAAAAAAUGCACAUUGCAUGCAAUUAUAAAGGAUGAAGGAUACAUUACUCGAUUUUGAACUUGAUGGGGUAAUGUGCAAAACACGGUAUAGAUUGAGGAGGUAAAGUGUAAUAAACCCAUUAUUUUUUUAUUUUUUGGUUUUUUGGCUUAUAAUGGGGUUCUUUGGGUAUUAAAAUGGAGUUUCACAAUCAGUUUUGAUGAAAUUGAGAUUUAUAAUUAUAUUCCAUAUUUAGAAAAAUCUAUUUCAACUAGAAGGAUGGAAAAUUUUAAUCAGCCAAACUUAUAUCCAAAGGUUACCUUAUUAAAUCCCUCAUUUACCCUUUCCACCAAAGUGCUAGUCCUAGAAUUAGAUCUUUGUCCCUUUCUAUAAUCAUACAUAAAAGCUACCUCAUCCUAAGAACACUCCAUGCCCAAGGAUGAGCUUAAGAGGGAGAUUUUGAUGAUGAGAAAUGCACAUCCACUUUCAUCAACUAAACAUAUAGACAAAGAUGAAGAAAAGACUUUACAAAGGAUCCCCACAAAGAAAUGAAUCAUUCUAUUAUGAAAAUGAGCUAAUAAAAGCUUAAAGAUUCUAUAAUGAAAAAAGUUCAUAAGAACGAGUCUCUUUUAAGACACUUGUUCUCAAAAUACAAGGAUUCUUAUCAAUUGAGUCUCCUAUUUCUAUAAAUAGGGUGUCUUUGUAUGUUUGAGGCACUUCACCCCUAUAUAGGGGUGAGGUUCCCUUUAAUUUCAUUUUUUUUUCUUUGCAUUUCUACCAUAAUGAAAAGCCCAUAAAUAUUAUAUGUUUUGCAUCAAUUAGAAAGACACUUCCUAGUAUAAUUGAUAAUUACACUUUAGUCCAUCAAUUUAUGGACAUUAGACUAACACCUCCUAUGAGAGUUUGUCUGCAUAAUGGUUAAUAGCAUUGAUAAAAUGUCUUUCUUCUAUUCCAUUAAUUGGGAUAUUCGGAACACGACUGUUUUACAUUUCUAAUUAUUCCACCUUAAAUCAACUUCUAUUUCAAUGCAAUUAUUUAAUUUCUAAUUUGAUUUUAAGAACAUCAACCAGUCUCAUUCUUCUUACUCUCUACUUCACCUUAUUCUUUUCCAUAUUUUUUUCUUUUCAUUUUCUUUUUGAAGUCAAAUUAUCUACAUCUUUUAUCAUUUUCUAAAUCUAUCAUCCUUCUUUUAUUUUUUCGUCUCUAAUAUUCAUCCCAUUAUUUCAAAAUUUUCCAACUUGAUUUCAAGAACCCUAAAUUGUUUAUCCUUCCACUUCCUAUCAUUGUUCACCCUCUUAAUUUUAAAAUUAUAUCAUUUACUUCUCAUCUUCUUCUUAAUCCAUUACUUCAAAAAUUUUUUAGAAGCCUAACUCACCUUUUUCAUUAUUAUUUUAAAAUCAAAUCAUCUUUAUACUCUCAUCUUCUUCAAAAUCUAUUGUUUUUAUUUUCAUAUAUAAUUUUAAUCCAAUUAUUUAUUUAUUUAUUUUAAUUUUAUAUAAUCUCUCUUAUCUUUGAAACCCAAUUCAAUAUUUUUGACCUAUUUGUUUCUUUUUUUAUUUUCCCCAAACUAGAAAAUCACCUCAUUUUCUUUUCUUUCCUUUUUCAAAAUUUCCACAGACCCAAAAGAAGAGAAAUCUAAUAUUGUAACUCAUUCAUCUUUUUUCCCUCAAACUUAAAAUAUUUUCAACUAUCCACAUGAAUGUUCAAUCUCAAUCUCAUUACCAUUUCACUUCAAAAACUUUCAAUCAAACAAGAGACAAAGGCAUCCAACAACAACAAGAAUUUAAGUUUUUGAGUUGUUGGUGUACAUUGGGAAGUGACUCAAAUUCCUAAAUAUAAAAAUUUUCUUAGUUUACAUAUGAUUGCAAUUAGAUUUCUCAUAGAAUAAAGAAAGGUAGUAGGAAUAUCUUUAUAAAUAUUUUAUAUCAUGAGGGAAAAAAAUUAAUGGGUUUUUGGGGACUAUAUGUGUUGGAUAGAUGAUUACUACUCAAAAAGUGCUAUUUUAUAGCUUGUAAUUAAAUCUUUUAAACACUUUUGAGUAGUAGUUAUUACCUUUUAACUCAAUUGGCAUGUUAAGGACCUUUGCAAUCAAUUCUAAUCAAAUUGUGUUAAGUUUUGGUGUUUUGAUAGCUUUUUGAUCACCAAAGCAAUCCGAGAUUGAGGAGAGUUAUUUGGAAUCCAUGGCAAAGCAAUGGAAAGCUCAAAAACAUGAAGAACCGAAGCUUUGAAGUCCUUUGCCAUAAGCAAAUCCGGAAUGCAAGGAGGGGAAGCAAAGAGAAAUCUGUCAUGAAGCAUUCUUGAUGACAGUCAUGUCAGCCACUUUUCGAGCACUUCUUGGAGUCCAAUUUAUGCAUGCUAUAUGUCAUUUCGAAGCUCAGGAAGUCAAAAAUCCAAUGCUUCAAACGGUGCCCAAUUCGGAGUUGAAAUCAAGGAGUUACAACUAUUGCAAGCCGAUCACUCCAAGCUGAAGGAAGAAUUUUGCACAGCGUUACGAAAUCACCCUUUUGCUGCGAAAUGAUUUCGCAGCCUUUUUGCACAGUGCUGUGGAAUUCCCCUUGAAGUUUCCCGACAUGUUGGAAGCCGAACACCGCAAGUUGAAAGACCGCUUUGCAGCGGUGCGAAGUCAGCCGUUUGCUGCGAAGUGAUUUCGCAACCCUUUUUGUGCAUUUGCGAAAUCUCGCAGACCUCGUUUUCACCUGCGAAAUGGUCCUUAGUGCUUCCCGAUAUUUGCGACCGACACUUUUGGAUAUUUUGCUUCAGAUUUUUGAUGUCUAAAUCUCCAUUUUCUCCUUGUAACCCACCAAUUAUAGGAUUCCUUAGUUAUUAAGUUUGGAAAAGGGGUGAAUAACCUCAGAUAUUUUGUUUUGUAAUUUUCUUUAUAUAUAGCUCUCGGGAGCCUGUUCUCAGGAGGAAGAGAAGGAGGAAGACGAACCUUUUGUAAUAGUAAGAAAUAUAUCUACAGAGCACUUGCUCUAUUUUUCAUAUAUAUUUUUGUUUUCUUGUUCUAUUUCUUUCUAGCCAACCAAACUCUGAGGAUUUUUCCUCAGAGGAUGAGAGGCUAGGCUCUUCGUCUCUUGGAGUGAGGAAAGCCGGGUAAGUUUCCGAAUGAAAAAUUGGAAGUUUUGUUGUUUUAGUUUUUAAUGAAGAGAAAGUGUGACCCGUUAAUGAUUUCUAUGUUUUUAGUUAACUUAAAACGCCUUUAAAUCACCUGGGCCAACACUUGGUAAGGCAAGUGAUUUCCGUCCAUGGAGCUUCACUAGUUUAUCUCUUGCGAGCCUUUGGGAGGUGGUUUGAAGGUAGGAUUUUCUAGAAUAGCCAACACUUGGUAAGCUUUUGGACUCCACGGAGACAUCCAUUAGUUAUCUCUUGCGAGCUUUUAACGGGUAAUCCAAGGUUAAAGAUCACCUUGAAUGGCAAGAGCUAGGUGAGAGGUAUGAGCUAUUGCAAGGUGCAUCAGUGAGAGGGAUUUAGUGUUUGAACCCAUUAAUGGGAAGCAUCUGUACAAUACCGGUUGGAGAAGGAACUAUAUGUUAAUUCUCUAAUGCGAGGAAAAGAAACAAGUGACCGGAACUCCCUUUUUGCAUGAGGAAUCUGAGCCUAGUGAUCUGAAACUCCAAGAAACACUUUUCUUUGUAAGUAAAAUUAGUUGCUAUUUUUGGUUAGUUUAAAACCAAACAUUUUUCUUUCAAACAUCUUUAUGUUUUCUUUUAAAGCUAACCUUGAAAUGAAAAGGCACCAAUUCAACUUUGAAUGAAUAUCAUUUGUGAAGUGAAAACCCAUCCCAGUGAACAAUCCUAGAGCCACUAUGCUAUAGUAGCUUUGUCUUUGCUACCCUAGUACAUGGUGUAAUAGUUUAUAAAUUUUGUUGAUUACUCCCUCAAUCAAGGAGCACCAGCUGGACAUGAAUCAGCUGAGACACCAAUUGGGCACGAAUCAAUAAAGAUGAGAAGAAAAUCAAGAGACACCUUAUUGAGCAAAAAGGCUCACUAGGGUGAAGAUGUGAAAAAAAGUGAAAAGCAUAUGGUGGAGUAAAAGGCUCAUACCUCGGGAUGGAGAUAUAAAGAGUGAGGAACAAUGAGAAAAAAUGAAGAGAGAUAGGCAAAAGGUAUAUUAAUAUUUUCUUCCAUUGAUAUGUUUGCAUUAAAUCUUCCUUAGACACAAUAAGUGGUAUCAAAUCUUCAAAUGGCACAACAUGUGGUUCGAGUCUUGGUUGAAGAUGUUUGGAGGAACCUUGGUUGAAGAUGUCUAUAAGAACUCAAUUGAAGUUGUCUAAAAGAGUCUUCGUUGAAGAUGUCUAAAAAAGCCUUGAUUGAAGAUGUCUAGAAAAGCUUUGGUUGAAGAUGUCUAGAAGAGUCUUGUUCGAAGAUUUUAGGAAGAGAAGAUGAAUGCAAAAAGGAAUUCUUGUUAAGGUGGGGUCAAUUUUUCUCUGAUCAAAAUGUGAUAUAAGAACAAGAAGAUCAUCAUGCACGAUAAGGUUGUGUUGCACGUAAGGAACUAUGACACAUGGAGAGAGCGGAGCACAUAAGGAAACUAUAUAUUAUGAAAAGAUGGAGAUUGACUUAAUAUAAUUUGAUUCAAGGUGGAGACUAUUGGAAAGUGUCUCAAAUUCAUAACUGAAAUAUAUUUCUUUUUAGAUGAAUAUCACAUAAACUAUUUCCUAAGUUUACAUGUGAUUGUAUAUUUCAUAUAAAAUAAGAAAAGCUAGUAAGAAUCUCUAUUUUAGGUCAUCAGGGAAAAAAAUUAUGAGAAAGAAAUGGGUUUGUGAGGACUAUAUGUGUGGUGGAUAGAAAUGUGAGGAACAACAAGAGACUCUAUUGGAUAAGAGGGCUCACUCUAGUGUAGAUGUGAGGAAGAGUGAGAGGCACCUAGUGAAACAAAUCAGCUUAUGGUUUAGGAUAGAGAAAAGUGGGAUGUUUUGGGACCUAACAAUUCUAUCUAUUUUUGUCCUCCGUAAUAUUUUCUAUCAUAUUCUUAUCCAUGAAGGUAAGCAUGAUUAGUUGGACCACAUUAUAACAUGUUUAUAUUGAUGCUUCCGUUUUGAUGAGGUUAAGGUUAGGACUAGGGUUUGCUAGUUAAAUUAAUAUCCUUCUUUUCCUCAAUAAAGGAAUUGUGAAAGCUUCUUCAUCAUAUUUAUUAAAAUUUUUGUUUAAUUUCAAUUCUUUGCUAUUUUUACAAGUGGUUGUGGCGUUCAUUUUGUUGGCUAUUGGUAUUAAUAAAGAAAGAAACUAUUACACUUUGAAUAACACAAAGGAAGACAAAUAGUUUAUUUGAUUUAGGAAAAAUAAAUGUAUAUAGAAGGUAAAAGCAUCAUUUAAUUGAUAUGGAAAUGGUAAUUGAAAUGGUAGUUAAACAAUGAUUAACAAUGAAAAAGGUAGGAUAAAUAUGAAACUAUUUAAUAAAAAUUUAAUUAGAAAAAAAUUCUUUGUUUUCAUUAUUUAAUAUUAUUUUAUAUGAUUAACAAUAAUUUGAGGUUAAUUAUAGCUAUUCUAUUCAAUAAAAAAUUUAAUUAAAAACUAUUUUUAUUCCAUAGUUGAAAUUUUUUAUCAUUUAAAUUUUUUAUAUUUAAUAGUAUUUGAAAAUUUUAGUUAUUGUUUGUAUGAGAUUAAUUAAUAUUAGUCCAACUAAGUUAAUAAUUUUAACUAAAAUCAAUUAGGUUUUGUAUAUAAAAAUUUAAAGAAAUUUAAUUACAAUUAAUGAGAGGAGGAUAUGAUGAUGGGAUAAAGUAAGAUAUGAUUGUAAGGGUAUUUUUAGAUAUUUUAUGUAGGAAGUAACUGAGGAAAUUUUUGGAAAAAACAAUGAUGUCUUUUAUUAGUUAACAAUUACCAUUAACAAAAGGGGAUAUGAUUGUGAUUUCAUGAAACUAAGGUACUUUUUUAUUAUUUGAUGAUAUCCUUUGUCAUAAUCUUCAUGUCUAGAAUGUUUCAAGAAUAUCCAAGAAAUGGGUGUAUUAUCAUAGAACAAGAGAUUUCAAGCAACCUAAAACGUCUGUGGGCAUUGAAUGCAAGCCACAUCAGUAGUGCCUCAGAUUAAUAGUAUGUGGAAAUUUUCAAGUAAUGCUAGUAAUGCAUUCAUAACUAUUAAAAAAUUACACUAUUCAUUUUGUUGUAAAAAUGAAGACUAUUUGAUAAGAAUCAGAGCGGAACCAAGCCUAGAAGAGAGUGCAUACAAUGAGUCAAUUUGGUUCUAGUAAAGAAAGACCCGAAGCUGCAUUUUGAAAAAAAAACUAGAAAUAUGCAUGUCUUAUUGUCAUCACUUGUUAGAGAGUAUACUAAUUUGAAACAAAGUACUAAGGCGCAACUUGGAUAGAUUGACCAAUCUGAACUUAACUUGAUGUUUGGGCAGACUUGACAAUCAAUUUUAACACCUAGGUUUGGUUUUGGUUAAGUUUAUUCAAUUUGAGCCAAUUUGAGUUAAGUUUGAGCCAACGUUGAGACAACCUAAGUCUAAUAUUUAAUGUUUUUAUAAUAUUUAUAAUGUAUAUUAUUCGAUAUGAUAAUAUCUAUUUUUUGUUUAGAUUUGUAAGAAAAAGAAAAUCAAAUUAUAUCACACUUUUUAAGUAUUUUUAUUAAAGAUAUAUAAAUUUAUUUUUACUUCUUUAUUGCUACCUUGAAAUUUGAUCUUAUUUCUUAUUGAAAUUUUUAUACAAAUAUAUAGAAAUAAACUUUAAAAAAACAUUAUAUAUGGAUUUUGUUAUCAACACAAUCAACUUGAUUAACCUGAACUCAAUCCAAGCUUAUAGAAAUGAAGUUGGAUAGGGUUUGAAUUGAGUACUUUGGGUUAAAGACGAGAUUUAAUUAAGUUUGGAUUGAUUGUUUCUUAAUUUGGAUUGGAAUUUGAUUAGUCAUCAACUUAACCAACCCACCUAAGUUGCAACCCCACAAAGUACAUAUAGCACUUACUUUGUAUAAAAUAUCACAAAUGAGAUAAGAAGAAGAUUGUAAAUACACACAAUAAAAGGAAAGCAAGUUAAUCGCACAUCAAAUGAUGGAGAAUUAUUGGCAGUGACUACUACUACUUGGCAACACUUAUCUUGAUGGAGCUUAUAGGGUAUAUAAGCACUCCAAAACUGUCUUAACAGUGUCCAUUGACAAAAACAUUUUAUUUUAAAACAUGAAUAAUUCCUUAGCUUAAAUUCCAAGAUUUGGAUUCAAUAGGCAUAUCAUGCUCUUCACACCUUUCCUCGUGUGCAAAUCAUCUUUUUUGGGUUUAUAAACAUGCAAAUGAGGAAACACGCAUGUAAAUUGCGGAGAGAUGGCUUGAACGCAUGACCUCUCAUUAAACUAAGUUCUGAUACCAUGUCAAACUAUCAAUUUUCUUAAAAGCUUAAACUUCCAAUUUUUUUAUUCAAUAAGUGUAUCAUGCUCUUAAUAAAACCAACUAAUGCUUUUCUCAAUCUAACAAUUAUGAUCAAUCGUAAAACCACAAGAUUUAUAAGGAGAGCCUUUAGAAAUAUAAGAUUAUAAAUAAAUAAAUGAAUAAAUCAUACCGUAUAGAAACCUUGCAUGGAAGCUUUUUUUUUACACUCGCUAUGGGUUGGUGCACAUUUCCAAUGGGAAUGCUUGACUAAUGGAAGUGAAUCCACCUACUGCUGCCUCUACCACCACUUUGGGACUACCAUCUACUCCAAUUCUUGAAAGAAGAUCAACCUCACAGAUCAUGGAAACAUAAAACUAAGAAUAUGUUUGGUUCCCAAAAAAUAUUAAGAAAAGAAAAGAAAUAUUAAGGAAAAUGAUUUUUUUUGUACACGUUUAGUUAUAUUAUGAAAAACAUGAAAGAAAGUUAAAUACAAUUAAAAUUAGUAAGAAAUACAUAUAUUCUAAAAUUAUUUAUUCUUUAUAUAAAUAGUUUAAAUAAGAAAAAAGAAUUUGAAAUAGUAUAUAAAAAUAAUUUAUUACUUUUAAAUUUAUUUUUUAUUUACCUUCACAUUUUAAUCUUUUGUUCCAUUUUUUAUUUUUACUUUAUUUCUCUUAUAUUUUCGUUUUAAAAUUUUCGAGAAUCAAAUAUAUAUAGCCUAAAAAGAUACUUCCAUUAGGGCACUCUGGGACCACCUAUUGGAAAAUUUUCACAUCAUAGUAUAUAUUCCUUGUAGUUUUUUUAAAACUUUCUCCAUCAGCUUUAAUAGAACCUUCAAUAGGCAUAUAUACUUGAUAAUGGAUGCUCCAAUGAACCCCUCAGUGACCAGUGCAGGAUGCAUGAAAAGUAAAAAAUAAAAAAAUAGAAAGACAAAACAACUAUUAGCUAAAAAAAAUGUGGGUAGCUCAAUAUAAAAGAAAUAAUUAACAUGUAUAUAUACAUUCACUUGGACAGAUUCCUAUAUACAUAAUGGCAAUGUAUAUAAAAUAAAAUUUUAAUGAAAUUACAAAUUUACUGGAUACUACAUACAUGACAAAAAUCAAUGUUUUUUCAUAACAGGCUCCUUGAUACAUUGUUUCCCAUCUUUUUUUUUUUUUUUCUUACCUUUUUUUCACAAUCCUUUGAAAGGAGAUAAAACCCUUUUGAUAUUGUUUCAAUCUUCUGGAAAGAAUCUAUUUUAAAUGUCAGUAUUUUUUAAUAUCAUUUUGAUAUUAUUGCAAUAUCAGUUGUAAUUCUAAAAAUUUAAUUGUACCAACAUUUAAGUGUUUUGUAGACUUCUUUUGGUUUAAGAAUAAUUUUAAAUAUCUAAAGAUACAAGAAAUUUAACUUUUUCAAUCUUUUAAAUUUUAGAAAGAGUUUCAAACAACAUAAAGAGUAAUUUUUUUUGCUUUUUCUAUAGAGUUUUUAUACUUAUAUAUAUAUAUAUAUAUAUAUAUAUAUAUAUAUAUAUAUAUAUAUAUAUAUAUAUGUUAAAGUAAAAAAUAAGAAAUUUAUCAAGCAUACACCUAACCUUUAAAAGUGGUUUGAUUAAUUUGAUCAUUAAAGUAUUAUGAAUAUGUGUAAUAAUCAAAAUAAAUGCAAGGAUGUUAAAAUUUCAAACAAUUUCUCAUACUUCAAUGUGAGAAUGACCCUUUAAUUAAAUAAAUUAUUAUAUAAUUUUAAAACUAAUGCUUGAUAUUUUUAUUUUCAUUUUCCUUUUUUUUAAAACAUAAUUCAAGUACAUGUAUAUGAAAUAACAAUAUUUUUUUUGCAUUUUUAACUUUAAAUAAAUUUGAAAUAGCAUAUAAAAAUAAUUUAUUAACUUAAAAUUUAUUUUUUCAUUUCUUCAACUUUUUAUCUCUAUUUUCUUUCCCUUUUUCUCUCUACUUUCUUUCCCGCAUAUUUUUCCCUCAAAUUUUUAGACAACCAAACAUAGCCUAUAUAUUCAUACCAAAGAAUGGGAAUUACAAAAAGGGAUUCCCCUUUUUAAGCCAUGGAAAUCAUAACACUACAUGCCUCUCAUUUUCUUUCUAUAUGAAAAAAAAAAUGUAAUUCUUUCAAAUUCAUUAUACACAAACAACAAACAAAAUCAACAGAAUCAAAAAUACCAUUUUGGUCUCACUUCCACUUCUUUCUCAGUCAAUUCCUGGUACUGGUACCACUCUCCUCCACCCUUUCCCACUGGAAUUAGAACUCGAAUGGAUAACUUCAAUUGUUUGGCAAUUUCUUCUAAAUUUGAACCAGAAGUUCUGAGUGAUCUCCCCAUUGGUUCAACAGGAAUCCAUCUUAGGCUCGAGAUGUUAAGAUAUGGCAUCACACAUAUUUAACAAUGGUACAUGACUAAGCUAUUCGCCUUUGAUAUUUAUUUUAUAUCGGUUUUCCACAGUAUGGGUCACCUUAUGUGUAGAGCCCAAAGCCAUCACGAGCCUUAGAUGAUGGGCCUAAGACUCGUGAGGCCCAAUAGCUAAAGGGUAUGGUUCCUAAGGUAGGAGGGUAUAAAUCCAUAGUGUGUGUCUAUUCAUUUUGAUGACAUCAGUUUUGGAAUAAGAACAGACACGUUCCUCUUUGGCUCCCAUCUUCUGAGAGAAUUUAGAAAGAGGUGGUGCCCUCCACAACCUUAGAAGAUCCAUACCUUGUCCAAAGGAAAAGCAACAAAAUGGAUUCAGGUUCGUUCUUUCCCUAUCUAGAGAUCAUAGCAUGCUUUUAAAAUUGAUAUAUAUAUAUAUAUAUAUAUAUAUAUUUCUGUUUGUAUUGUUGGUAAUAAUGGAGAUCAAAAAAUGUUUAUCAAUUGGUAUCAGAGCCUCCCAUUUUUCACCAAAAACUCUUAUUAAAUAAGAAACAAUAGAAUAAAUCUGGGGCAAUUUCAGGCGCCGUUAGGAUGCCGUUCAGGCAUUCAUAAUGUAUGCAGUUUUGGCGUCAUUCCGGCAUUCAAAAGGCACCAUUUGAGGCGCCAUUCAUGCGUGCGUUACAGGUGUUACAGGCACCAUUCAGGCAUCCGUUUCAGGCGUGGUUUAGGUGACACUCAGACACCAUCUCAUGCCAAUAAGGAGUGCCACUUUGGCGCUGUUGUGGGCUCCUAGCGAUGCUGCUCUUGGUGUCGUUAGGGAAUAAAGAGGGUGAUGCCGCCUGGAGGAGCUCCAUUCUGGCGCCAUUUCAGGCGAUUAGAGAAGCAUCAUUUUGGAGGCGCCGCUGAAGCACCAUUUUCAAGUGCCGUCACGGGCGGCGUUCGUAUGUCGUUCAGGCGCGAUUGGAGGCGAUGCAGGCCUUGUCUACUUUGUGCCUCUAACGCCGACUGGAGCAGCAUUAUUUCAGGCGCCGUUUUCAGGCGAUCUAGACGGCGUGUAGCGCUGUUCUUCAGGCAUUUCAGAUGCCGAUGAGAAGCGCCAGUUUUGGGCUCUGUAGGUGUCCGUUCUAGGUGCUGUUCGGGUAUCAUUCUCCCACCAUUUCGGCGCCGUGUUGGCGCCACUGAUUCCCACCGUUACGGCGUCAUUUUAACGCUGAUUUUGGUGAUCGGAGGUUGCAUUAUGGCGUCGUUUGGUGGCGUUUCGCCGGCGGCAACUUGUCGUUCGAAGAUGGUUCCGGUGUUGCUAUUGACACCACUGUCGGUUGGAUGUUAGAUGGAUCCCUUUUACAGCGUCUGAAAUUUCCAAGUUUUAUAAAUCAUGCCAUAAUGAAAGAUGGAAUAAUCAGAGUAUUAAAUGAUUAUGUCCUAUUGUGCUGUGGGAAAUUUAUAUUAUUUGUGUUGCAUGUAAAGUAAUCAGGUACCUUUUAAUGUCUUAUGAAUCAUGCAUAAAAUGGGCCACUAAAUCAUGCAUUCAUGAAUGAAGCCUUAUGAAUGGUUAUGAAUUGUUAUAAAGGAUUGUAUAUAUACAUGGGUUUGUGCAUAAAUUUUUUUUGAUUGAAUUAAUUCUUGUUGUAUUUACGUUUAAUAUUUUAAAAUAAAUGAAUUAUGUAUAUUUGUUGCCAAAGUAACUUGUAUUAUGUAAUUUUAUUUAUUUUGAAAUAUGUAAGCAUGUUAUUAUUGUAUGAAAUAAUCAACCCAAAGGAGGAUUAUUUUUUAUAUAAUAAUAAAUAAAGUAAUCAUGAAUGUGUGACAUAUAAGGUUUAUCUUGCAUUUGAUAUGUUAGUCCAAAGACAAACAUAUUGUUUUCGGUUUAUUAUUGUCAAUAUUUAUGAAUUAAUUUGUAAAAGGAUGCCAAUACAAGUUUAUAUUUCCGUCCAAAGGCUGAAUAUUGAUGUUUGUGCUAGGUAUCUUGUUGUAUGUCCACAUGCAUAUAUAUGUUUAAAUUUUUAUUUAUUCAUGUGUGUGAUGUUUAUAUGACUGAUUGUGAGCUUCAUUAUUAUUUCAGCAUCUUCUAUAUCUGCAAAUGUCAAUAACAUUCCUGUGCUUAAUGGCACAAACUUCAAGAAAUGGAAGGAGCAUGUUAUAAUUGUGCUCAGGUGCAUGGAUUUAGACUAUGCAUUAAGAGUGGAUCGCCCUUCAGAUCUUACUAGUGUUAGCACUACUGAGCAAAGGUCUGCUAUGGAAAAAUGGGAGUGAUCCAAUCGCAUGAGCCUAAUGAUUAUGAAGCACUCAAUUCUAGAAGCUAUAAGAGGUGCAAUACCUGAGGAAACCCAAGCCAAGGCAUUCUUGGACCAGAUAGCAAACCGAUUUGCUACAAACGAAAAGGUUGAGACAAGCACUAUUCUUAGUAAGCUUGUCUAUAUGCGGUAUAAAGGGAAAGAGAAUAUAAGGGAGUACAUUAUGGAAAUGUCUAAUCUUGUAACUAGACUCAAGGCACUAAAGUUAGAGUUGUCGGAAUACAUACUCGUGCACUUGGUCCUGAUCUCUCUGCCUACACAAUUCAGUCCAUUCAAAAUCAGUUACAACUCUCAAAAGGAGAAAUGGACUUUGAAUGAGCUUAUUGCUCAGUGUGCACAAGAGGAAGAGAGAUUGAAACAAGAGAAGAUAGAAAGUGCUCACUUGGCUUCCACAUCUCAGGGAUUUCGUGCCAACAAGAAAAGAAAGAGGGACAAUAAAGGAAAACAAACUGUAGUUUCUGAGACAUCAAAGCAGAAGGUGCAGAAGAAACAAGAUAAGGAGAUCACUUGUUUCUUUUGCAAAAUGGCUGGUCAUAUGAAGAAAACGUGUACUAAAUACUCUGCUUGGCGUGAAAAGAAAGGUACACUUCUCAACUUUGUUUGUUCAGAAAUUAAUUUAGCUGUAGUGCCUACUGACAUUUGGUGGAUAGAUACGGGUGCAACUACUCACAUAAGUGUCACUAUGCAGGGUUGCCUAAGGAGCCGAAUGCCAACUGAUGGUGAAAGAUACAUCUAUGUAGGAAAUGGCAACAAGGCUAAAAUCAAGGCUAUUGGUCUUUUUAGAGGACAAUUGGACUCUGGAUGUACUUUAGAUUUGGAAUAGACUUUUGUAGUACCGUUGUUUAGACGAAAUUUAAUUUCUAUUUCAUGUCUGGACAAAUUUGGAUAUUGUUGUUCAUUUGGAAAUGGAAUGGUUAGUCUUUAUCUAAAUUCAAAGGUUAUUGGUACAGGUAGUUUAACAGACAAAUUAUACAAAUUGAACAUAAAGGCCACUAAUGGAAAUGAAACCUUGCAUUCAAGUAAUUAUGGCAUUAAGCAAAAAUUAAUAAAUGAGAAUUCAUCAAUGUUAUGGCACAAGCAUUUAGGUCACAUUUCAAAUCAACAGAUUCAAAGGCUUGUGUCAGAAUGAAUUCUUUAUCCAUUUGAUUUCUCAAACUUUCAAGUCUGUAUAGAGUGCAUUAAAGGUAAACAAACAAAUAUGAGGAAAAAGGAUGCCAAUAGGUACAGUGACGUCUUGGAAUUGAUACAUACGGACAUUUGUGGUCCAUUCCCUACAGCUUCUUGGAAUAGACAACAAUAUUUUAUCACUUCCAUUGAUGAUUACUUGCGCUAUGGCUAUCUUUAUUUGAUUCAUGAGAAAUCUUAUUCAUUGGAUGUGUUCAAGAAUUUCAAAGCUAAAGUUGAGAACCAACUAAGCAAGAAAAUAAAGGUCGUCAGAUCUAACCGUGGAGGUGAAUACUAUGGUAGAUAUGACAGAUCAGGGGAAUAAUGUCCAGGGCCAUUCGCCAAAUAUUUGGAGUGUGGUAUCGUUCCUCGGUACACCAUGUCAGGGACUUCGAGCCAAAAUGGUGUAGUAGAGAGGCAAAACCGUACUCUUAAGGAUAUGGUAAGAAGUAUGAUCAGUCAUUCCACCUUACUAGAAUCACUUUGGGGGCGAAGCUAUCAAAACUGCAAUUUAUAUUUUGAAUAGAGUACCAAGAAAAGCAGUAGCCAAAGCCCCAUAUGAGUUAUGGACUAGCAAGAAACCUAGUAUUAGGCAUUUGCAUGUUUGGGGUUGUCUAGCUAAAGCUAGGCCUUACAAGCCAAAUGAAAAGAAAUUAGACUCCAGAACAGUGAGCUGCUACUUUGUAGGGUAUUCUGAAAGGUCGAGAGGUUUCAAAUUUUAUGAUCCCUCAUCUAGAUCCUUCUUUGAAGUGGGUAAUGCUAAGUUCAUUGAGGAUGUUGAGUUAAGUGGGAGAGAACCAUUAAGAAAGGUGGUCUUUGAAGAGGAAUCUGUUAGUAUUCCUAUGACUUGACAUGGUCAUAUUAUGUUUGAUGACACUAUUCAGAAUGUACAGUCGAUAACAGAAAUUCAAGACACACCUAAAGUUCCUCCUGCUCAAGUUAUCGAACUGAUUCAAGUUCAUGAAGAGGUAACUCAAGAACCUCAAGAACCUCAAGUGUAAGUGCCACUGAGGAGAUCCACUAGAGAAAGGACAAGUACAAUUUCAUAUGAUUAUGUUGUAUAUCUCCAAGAACAUGAGUUUGACAUAGGUCUGGAAGACGAUCCAAUUUCAGUUAGUCAAGUCAAACAAAGUUCUAACUCUGAAAAGUGGAUAGAAGCCAUGAAGGAAGAGAUGAAAUCAAUGAAAGACAAUGGUGUUUGGGACCUAGUAGAGUUGCCUGAAGGUAUAAAACCGAUUGGUUGUAAAUGGAUUUUUAAGACCAAACGGGAUUCAAAAGGCAACAUUGCUAGGUAUAAGGCAAGCCUAGUCGCAAAAGGUUUCACUCAAAAGGAAGGCAUUCAUUAUAAGGAGACUUUUUCACCGGUUUCGUCAAAGGGCUCCUUUAGAAUCAUCAUGGCACUUGUAGCUCAUUAUGAUUUAGAGCUACAUCAAAUGGAUGUUAAAACUGCGUUUCUUAAUGGUAACAUUGAUGAAACAAUAUACAUGGUGCAACCAGAGAACUUUGAGUCUAAUGAUUCAAAGAAACUUGUAUGCAGAUUAAAAAGGUUCAUAUAUGGUUUAAAGUAAGCAUCCUGACAAGGGUACAAAAAGUUUGAUCAGGUGAUCACUUCAUUUGGUUUUAAAGAGAACACUGUUGAUCAAUGCAUAUACCUCAAGUUCAGUGGGAGCAAAUUCAUUAUCUUGGUGUUUUAUGUUGAUGAUAUUCUACUUGCAAGUAGUGAUGUGGGACUUUUACAUGAAUCCAAGCGAUUUCUAUCUAGUAAAUUUGAUAUGAAAGAUCUUGGUGAUGCAUCUUUUGUGCUGGGUAUACAGAUCUAUAGGGAUUGUUCAAGAGGUAUACUUGGGUUAUCACAAAAGAGCUACAUUGAUAAAGUGUUGAGUAGAUUUGACAUGAGCAAUUGUAUACCAAGAGACAUGCCUAUGGCAAAAGGUGAUAAAUUUAGUUUGCACAAAUGUUCGAAAAAUGAACUUGAGAAGAAGGAUAUGGAGAGGUUUCCCUAUGCCUCGGCCAUAGGAAGUCUCAUGCAUGCACAAGUUUGUAUGCAUCCGGAUAUUGCGUACAUUAUUGGAAUGUUAGGCAGAUAUUUGAGUAACCCAGGUAUGGAUAUCUGGAAAAAGGCAAAACGGGUUAUGCGGUAUUUACAAAGAACUAAAGACUAUACGCUCACAUACCAUAGAUCCAGUCAUUUGGAGAUCGUGGGAUAUUUGGACUCCGAUUUCACGGGAUGUCUUGACAGUAGGAGAUCCACUUCAGGCUACAUCUUCAUGUUGGCUGGAGGAGCAGUUUCAUGGAAAAGUGUUAAACAAACACUUAUUGCUUCUUCCACCAUGGAGGCAGAAUUCAUAGCUUGCUACGAGACAUCAAACCAUGGGAUAUGGCUGCGGAAUUUUGUCACUCAGUUGUGAAUUAUUGAUGGGAUUGAGAAACCAUUGAGAAUCAAUUGUGAUAAUAAGGCUGUAGAAUUGUAUUCUAAGAACAAUCGAAGUUCGUCAAAGUCCAAACACAUUGACAUCAAGUUCUUGGUUGUGAAAGAAAGAGUUCAGAGUCUUCAAGUAUCAAUUGAACACAUAAGCACAAACUCCAUGAUUGUGGAUCUGCUCACUAAGGGUUUGCCACCCAAAGUAUAUCAUGAGCAUGUCACACAUAUGGGUGUUGUACACAUUGAUGAUGUGCCAGUAUAGUGGGAGUUUGUAUUUAGAUUUUGUGUUUUUUUCUUGAUGUGAUAUCAUGUUGUGUUAUCUGUACAUACCUUGAUUUAAAAAGACUAUUGUGUUUGAAUACUUUAAAUUGAAAUGAUGACUUUCAGAAGCAAUUUAGCAUCAAGUGUUGAAAGUAGAAUUUGACUAUUUUUUUAGUCAUAAAGUGGGACCAAUUGGAAAUAGACAUAUUAGAGAUCACAUUCUAUGUAAUUUCCAUGCUAUACAUCCAUACUUGAUCCAUGUUGCUAAUUUUGUUCAUAUUAUGAUCAUUGAUGGGUAUAGUUAUAAUUAUGAUUAACGAAGACUGCUUUGAUCCUACAUUAGCAUAACUAGUAAACCGAAUUGUUUAAGGAUAUUAAGAUAGAAUAGCAAGAUGAGCUCAAUAAAGUCCUAUCAUGAACAUUGCUUUGUAAUAUAUGUGGUCCAAGUGGGAGAUUGUUAAGAUAUGGACUCACACAUAUUUAACAAUGGUACAUGACUAAGCUAUUCGCCUUUGAUAUUUAUUUUAUAUCGGUUUUCCACAGUAUAGGCCACCUUAUGUGUAGAGCCCAAAGCCAUCACGGGCCUUAGAUGAUGGGCCUAAGACUCGUGAGGCCCAAUAGCCAAAGGGUAUGGUCCCUAAGGCAGGAGGGUAUAAAUCCAUAGAGUGUGUAUGUUCAUUUAGAUGACAUCGGUUUUGGAAUAAGAACAGACACGUUCCUCUUCGGCUCCCAUCGUCUAAGAGAAUUCAAAAAGAGGUGGUGUCCUCCACAGUCUUAGAAGAUCCAUACCUUGUCCAAAGGAAAAGCAACAAAAUGGAUUCAGGUUCGUGCAUUCCCUAUCUAGAGAUCAUGACAUGUUUUAAGAAUUGAUAUAUAUAUUUCUGUUUGUAUUGUUGGUGAUAAUAGAGAUUGAAAAAUGUUUAUCACGAGAUUGCCAAAUCGCAUGCAGGCUUGCACAAGCACAAACUCAGAAAUUUCUGAUCAAUGUACAUAGAAGAGCAAAAUCUAGCAAUAAUAAGCAUCAAAAAAAUUCAUACAAACCUGUCGCUAUCUUCAAAUUUUAUUAACAGUUGUCACUCUGUUUCAAGCCCUAUCCAGUCUUCCGCUCUCUGUUUUGCAGUUGGCAGUGUCAAAAGAACUCCAAGUUCUUUCUGCAUCAAUCAGGUUUAAAGCUCCCAUCACAUAGUACAUAAACAUGAUAACAAAAGUAGAGAUAAAUGGAUCUAAGAAUAAUAGAACUAGUGAGCUUUUAUGUAGGCAAAAGAAAGGAGAGUGCUACAUGAAUUUAGUUUAUUUACCAGAAUUCAGAGCCUCUCCUGCAACGCAUACAGACACAAGAAACAACAAGAAAUUGUAUAAUAUUGAUUUAUAUCUUUAGGACAUCUAAAAGCUGAUUUUAGUUUUACUUUUAUUUGGUAAACUCGUACACACAUGAAAUCAGCUUCCAAACCUAUAUUGUAUGCAUGCAACAUAUGGGACAAUUCAAUGAACCAAGCAAACACAUUUUUUGGCAGCUAGGUAAAUGAAUACUUUAAUUUAUGAAUUCUCUAAGAUCGAAUAUUCAUAAGCCAAAUAAGGGCAUUUACUUGAGAAUAACCAAGACAAUGACAACACCAGACACGUGCAUUGGCUCCUAGUAUUUUCCAAUUUCAAGGGUAGACAAGCAAAUGAUAUAGAAUAUUGAAUCAUUCCUUCUUCAUUGUAUGGAACACAUAAAACCCAAAACCUCCACCCAAUCGAACCUCCUACAAAUAUUUGGCUUCAUUGAGCUAGUAGGAUAUCAUUUUCUUGAGAAAAAUAUAUAUAUGACUCAUAAUUCAAUUUUCUGUUUUUUGAAAGGAUUUUCUCAACAACUAAACAAGGUACUCUUGAGUUCAUGUAUGCUAGCUAAACAAAUGCCAACUUUAUAUCUAAUGAAUACUUGGGAGACAACAGCACAUUACCACCACUUACAGCUAUAAAAGACCAACCAAGAGUACUUUCUAGCAUUUGUUAAAUAAUUGAUAAAUAAUUUUAUUAAAUUAUUAAAUAAUUUUAUUAAAUUAAUAUUAAUAAGUAAUUGAUAAAUAGCUAGAUGAUUUAUUUAAUUAUUGAUUAGUAUGUUUUUAAUUUUUAUAUGAAAGUAGCAUACUAUAAAAUAGCACAAUAUAUGUUUUUUCAGCACUUAAUAUUUAUACUAUAAUAUUUUAUUUGUAUUAAUUUACUUUUAGUGACAAAAUUUUAUUUUGCCCCUAACUUUUCACUGAGAAAAGUAUGUUUUCUUGUUAUUGAUAAUUUAUCAAUUUCCAAGGUUCAACUACUCUUUCAUCCACUUAUUGCAUCAUUGUUUGAAUCUAUUGUCACAUUUUUUUCCCAUGCUAAAACAUCUUAGGAAGCUUGGGAAUGAUUGACCAAAAUCUAUGCUAAUUAUUCUUUCUCAAUCUUAAUGUAUUCAAAGGAUAAACUUGCCUUUAAUACUCAUGGCACUAAGAAGGUGUUUGAUAAAUUAGCUUAGUGAUUGAAUGGCUUAAUUUAGUUAUUAAAUAUAGUAAAUAUGUUUGAUAAAGUAUCUUAAUAUUAUAGUAUAAAAUGUCUUUUGAUAAAUCAACUUAAUGACUUAAUAAGCUCAUUAUAAUAUAAUUUAAAGUCACUUUAAGUCAUUAAACAAUAAUUAUUAAGUUAUAUCAAAUGCUCUGUAAGUCAUUUUUUUAUUAGAUGUAAGUCAUCAAAGGAUAGUUGAUGAACUUGCUAUCAUUAGGGCCUAAAAAGAUAUAAUGAUCUUCCACUUUAUGAGAAACUUAUGAAGACUUCCUUAUAGGAGAAGAGUUAAUGUUUGAAUCUCAACUAAUUAUAACCAAGUUUGCAUGUGUACCUAAUCAAACUAAAAGAAUAGAAAUAAUUGCAGUAGACAUGUAAAGGAUGGUUGAAAUGGUUAGGCUAAUAGUAGAUCAAGGAUUGGUGUAGAGAGAACUAAUCCUAAAUAUCAAGGAAGUCAUAGAUUAGGUGUUGGUCGGGAAGUGAAUAUUAUGAUUUCAAAUGACUAUAGUUAGCAUAGACAAUUCACUAACCAUAGCUUCACUUGAGUAUAGGUGGUUCACCACAAAGUUACCAUACCAUUAGAUAGCAUAAAACUCAUUGUAAGUAGGGUAAAUGUGGGGGAAGGUUUGAUUGGCUCAUCUAGAAGUUGAGAGUGUGCUUAGCCAAGUGAACUAAUCAAAACGACUAGUAACGAGAUUUACUUGAGUUAUUCCUAAAGUGUAAGUGAUGAAAAAUAAGGUUUCUGGGUUACCUUCUUAAAUGCCUAGGAAUUCCGAUUGAUUGUUUCACUAACUAAUUUUCUCGCUUCAAAUCAUGAAUGGAACUACAAAUGUGAGAACCAUUCUUUUAUCACAGCACAAGAGCCUUGACCUUCAUUUUCAUAGAGAAAAACAAGAAUAACUUUAAGAGAAAAGACUUUUUGUUUCUUCAGAAGAAUUAUAUUCUUUCUUUUAUUUUCCGAGGAGAUAAUAAAAUGUAUUUCUUCACUUUUAUUUUCAGAAAGAGAGAGAGAAGAAAACAUAUUAUUUAUCUGUUUUGUAGGGAGAGAGAAUUCUUAGAGAGCGAGAGUAAAAAAAAAACUUAUUUUAAUUUUAAUAGUGGCAGUUUCUGGGUAGUUUUAAAACUACUAAAAACUUCUCCCCUUAUUUCUCCCAUUUAUUAGGUUGGGUCGGGUCAGCCUACUUGGUAACCCAAACUUAACUCUAACAUUUCCCACUUGCACAAGAUGGGUUGAAAUAGCCCAAUCACUCAUCCAACUCCAUUCUAUCCCACUUUUGAAGGUCAUUCAUACAGGCAAAUGGGUCGUGUGACCAUGCGAGCACACCUACAAUUUGGGUGGAUCAUAUGACCAUGCAAGCACACCUACAAUUUCGGAGCUAUAAUCUUAUGCACCUGUUAGGGAUACAUAGUAGCUCAAUCCCAAAAAAUUGUGAGUGAACAAUAAUAAUCUUGUCUCGUUGUACCCCAAGUUUAUUUAGUUACAUUUUAAUGUAUACACUUAAUAUCUCAAAGUUGUAUACUAUCCAACAUUAUAAAUGCAUUCAUAAUUCUAUCAAUUACAAAAGGAAUAUAACCAGUUGACCAUGAACACAUCUUUAUCAAUGUAACUCAAAUAAGUCUUCCUUAUGAGCUCAUGCCUUUUAUAUUCAAAUUAACUACUUGCCCAAUAUGUCCCAUAAGGAUAAAUUAUUUCAUUUUCGUCGGAAACAUACCAAAGUAGCAACAUUAAUUUGUCACCUCAAAACAUAGUCAAAUAGUACAAAGAGUACAAUAAUAGGCUAUUAUAAUUGUAAUAAGCUCUAAGGAUCUCACACAAUGAAUUUAAAUGAGGUAUGUUAAUGAUUGAUUGAAUAAAAUAUAAAUCAAGCUAGCUUUUUUAGUUAGUUUUUGAAUAAUUUUUUUCCAUCUUAGUUAUUAUUAUUAUUAUUACUAUUAUUACUAUUAUUAUUUAUUAUCAUUUCUAAUCUCAAGUUAAUUUUCAUAUAUAUUUGCUUUGGAUGAUUUGGGAUGACAAUUUAAAAGUUAGUUUUUUUAUUUACUAUUUGUUUUAGAUAAUUUAAUGUUAAUAAAAGUUAGAAUGUUACAAAUAGUAGUUUUGAGUUAAUUUUUAGGUUUUAGGUUUUAAGUAUUAAGUAAAAUAAUGUGUAGUUGUGUGUGAGUUAGUGUUUUAGGUUUUAGAUAUCAAAUAAAUUAGUGUAAUCAAAAUGUAAUGGUUGCUUUAUAAUGCAUGUUGAUGAUAGUGAAAAGUGAUAUAUAAUGAUUUUUUUUUAAGAUAAAAAUUCAUGUUGGAGGUUAAUUAAAGUUAGACUUUUAAAAUUUAAGUUUUAGUUAAGUUUUUUAUGUUAAUAGGAAAGUUGGUGUUUUUAAAAUAUUUAGUUUUAGAUAUUAGUUUAAUGUAGAUAAAAGUUAGAGUUUUAAAAAUUUUUAGUUCUAGUUUUUUCUUUAGUGUUAAUGAAAGAGUUGAAUUUUAUUUUUUUAGUUUUAGAUAUUUUCUUUAAUGUUAAUAAAAAUGUUAGAUUUUAAAACUUUUAGUUGUAGCUAGUUUUUAAUAUUAAUAAAAGUUAAGCAUUAAAUAUUUUAGUUUUAGUCAAAUUUUUUUAUGAUAAUGAAAAAAUUAGUCUUUAAAAUCUUUAGUUUGGUUGGUUGAUUUAAGUUACUGUUCUUUUCAUUAGAUUAGUUAGUUAUGUGGUAAAAUGCCUUUUACUUUGCUAUUUGAUUGGGUCAUUGUUGAUAAUUCUUGGCUUUAAACAUCUUAUUAUGAUUAUGCAUGUUACGUUUUACUCUCCUAAUUAAAUGUCAUCAUUUUUUGUCCUAACCUCUCUAUUUGUAUUACAAGUGUAUUUACAUUUAGAAUAUACUAUUUAGGUACACUCUCCAACUUUCACUUUCUUUUAAUGGCAUAAAAAAUGCUUUGAGUGAACUAUAUCAAUGUUUGAUAUUGACCUUGGGUGCCUAGAUAUAACGCAUGUUGAGUGAUAUAAUACCUGAACUAAAUUUGGUGUUUUGUAAUAGCAUUUAAGUUGCAGAUCUAGGUACACAUAUUGUCAAUACUUUAUGAUUAUGGUUUGAAUCCUUGUUUGACAUGCUAGAGUUAUCAAACUUUUGAAAUCACCUUAAUAUAUCUAAGUAUUCAUAAUCGAUUGAUUAAUUGUCAUAUUUCCCUCAACUUAGUUAGUAGAGACCUCGUUAGGGCUUAGAGGAGUGCUACCUCUUUGGAGGUACCUUCCUGAUAGGUAGCCUGAUCCCCGAGCCCAGAUUUAAAUUUUUCGCAAAUGGUUUCUCCAAAAGUUAGGAGUCAUUUUAGGGGUUUUGUUCUUACUUGAUUUCCCUUUAAAAAUAAAUAAAAGUAAGUGACGACUCCAGAUUUCACAAGAAUACAAUUUUUUUUAUUAAAAGAAAAUGAGUCUUGCUAAUCGAGUGGCAACUCCGACUUCAACAAAAAUAAAUUUUCACCCUAAAAAAAACGAGUCUCACCAGUUGAGUGGGAACACACGUGAAAAAUAAGGGUCCAGAAGAGAACUUCCAGAUUUAUCAUAUCCUUACAACUACUCUCAUGAAUUAGAUUAAGCAUGCUAUAACAUGAACUAGGUAGCCAAGAAAUUUAUCCAAAAAAACCAGUUUGAUUUAUGAUACCAAGAACUUUGGUUUCACAUUUUCUCUAUGGGUGUGAAUUGGGUUUAAUAUCCUUUUUCAAGUUAAAAUUAAUGAUCACCUUGAUUGAAAAUAAGCAACUAUAUCAAAAUAGUGGUUGUGAUAUAAAAUAAUGUUAUUACAAAUUUCCUUUUUGCCUAAGUGAUGAACAUUUUUUUUUACUUGUCUUGCAGGACUUCAACUCUUUCUUAUCUUAUUAUAAACAUGUUAUGGCAUAUUAUCUAAUGUGAGAUAAAUGCAUGCUUGAAUGCAAUUAGCUUUAUCCUUUCAACUUCUCAUCCUAUGAUUGAUUUUAGGAUGUAAUAGGUUUCUUGCUUUAUUUUGAUGAUCGCUUAUAUUCUUAAGGUGUUUAUUGUAUCUUUUAUUUGGAGAUUUGUGGACAUAUAAUCUCUAUUCUUUCUUAUACAAUGCUUUUGUUUGUAAUUUGAUGCUCUAUGAUUUAUCCAAACAACGCUAUAUGUAUAAUUUUUUUUAUGUUGGAAGAGUGCAAAUGUGAGCGUGUUGGAGUGCAAGUGUUUUAAGUUGCCAAUCCAACAUUAAAAGGGAUUGAAAAUUUUUGCAACUUAUUUUGUAACCCACUUUCAUAGCCUCUCGAGGUUAUGGAGAGGGAAGUGGAAGUCUUGUGUAAUCCAAUGGGAUUUCAAGUGGCCAACUCUAAGAACCUUACUACGUAGUAAGGAGCCCACUACCCCAUUGAUGCAAUGGUAAACUAUAUGAUUCCCUAUUUGUUGUAGUCUAGUCCACCAUACUAGUCAACCAUAUUCCUUGCUACUACAAUCAAGUUGACCAUAGACGACUAUAGUGAUCGCUCUUACUUGCUCGUAGUCCUUUGCCAUUGACAAUGCUAUUGUUGAAUCUACUAUAGCCACUAGUGUUGUCUACUCUAGUUGAGUCCACCAUUGCCACUGGUGUUAUCUUUGUACAAUCAUACCCAUUUCUAUAGCUUUCCUAUAGCCGCCUUUUGUCCUUACAUCUUUUAGAGGAGUUUUCCAUUGUUUGAGUUAUACUAUACCUUGUCCAAGGAGUGUACCUUAGAUAAGGAUUUUAGGCUAUUGAAUAUUGGAGUUAGGACACCAAUUCUUUAAUAUUUCAAGAUUGAUCUUAGAGAAGGGUGGAUUUAAUUUAAGAAUAAUGCUCUAUCACUCAAGCCAAACUAAUCUCAUAAGUGUCUAAGCUACUUUUUUUCCUCUUGUUUGUUGGUAUUUUGGGCUCGGUCUUGUUUAAACUCAAUUUCAACCAUCUAGUAUUUUGAACCAACAAUCUUAAAGUAGACUUAAUUUAUAAAGACUUCCCUAGUUCACAACCAUCCGGACACCUCUAAUAUUGAUCCCUUUAAUGGGACCUUCUUUAAGAAAUGGUAGGAAAUGGCCUUUUCUUCUAUUAACAUUAUGAACUUGGGACAUAUUUUGACUAACCUAAAACUUGAGGACAAUUUGCCUACAUGGGAAAUUGGAAAUAGACAAGUUAGGCGUGUUAUUCUUUGUACACUUUCUAAGGAUGUAUAUUGUCAAUAUUAGAUAGCUAAAGAUGCUUGGGAUAUCAUAUAUAAGAUAUAAGUUAUGAAAUACGCAUGAAUAUAGAAAUAUGCCAUGGGGAAUUUUACGAAAUUUUGGAUGACUAAGGAUAUAAAUGUAUCAUCUCAAAUCAAUUAUUAACACUUGUUAAUUAAUAACUUAUCUAAUGAGGAAAUAAAAUGAUUUGAACCUUCAAUGGCUAGAAAUUUGAUAGAAACUCUUCUACAUUCUUGGAAAGAUUAUAAAAACAACAAGAAGCGCGAAAGGAAACAAAUGUCCCUAGAAAAAUGUUGUAAUCCAUAUUUUAGGACUAGUCCUUAAAAAUAAUCAAGUGGUUGUCAAUCAUCCUAAUGUAUACUAUUUGAGUUAUAUUAUACCUCAUAAACAAAUGUCCCUACUAUUCGAGUUAUAUUGUACCUAAACCAAGGAGUGUACCUAUAGUUAGGAUACCAUCUCUCUGCUACAUCAAGAUUGAUAUCAAAGUAGGGCAAACCUGCUUUAAGAACAAUGAUCUAUCACUCUCCAAGCCACCCUAAUUUGAAAAGUGUCUAAACUUUUUUUUUUUUUUUUUUUUUUUUUUUGCCCACUUGUUUGUUUGUGUUUUAGGCUUAGUCUUGUUUCUACUUAGUUAGUUUCAACCCUUUAGUAUUUUGAACCAACAAUCUUAAAGUUGAGCUUAAUUUAUAAAGAUUCUUCCUUAGUUCACACCCAUCCCUAACCCUCUAAGAUUGAUCCUUUCAAUGGGACCUUCUUCAAGAGAUGGUAGGAAAGGACCUUUUUUUCCAUUAACAUUGUGAACUUGGAACAAAUUUUGAUUGGCCUAAAACUUGAGGAAAAGUAUGAAAAUUUUCCCAUGUAGGAAAUUGGAAAUAGACAAGUUAGGCAUGUUAUCCUUAGUACACUUUCUAAGGAACUAUUUGAUGUAUAUUGUCAAUAUUAAAUAGCCAAAGGUACUUAGGAUAUCACAAAUAAGAAAUAUGUUAUAAAAGAUGCAAGAAUCCGAAAAUACGUCAUGGGGAAUUUUAAGAAAUUUUGGAUUAUCAAGGAUAUAAAUGUAUCAUCUCAAAUCCAUGAUUAACACUUGCUAAUUAAUAACUUAUCUAAUGAGGACGUAAAACUAUCUGAACCUUUUAUAGCUAUAAAUUUGCUAGAAACUCUUUCAGAUUCUUUGGAAAGAUUAUAAAAACAACAUGAAACGUAAAAGGAAACAAAUGUCCCUAAAAAAAAAUGUUAUAAUCGAUAUUUUAGGACUAGUCCUUGAAAAUAAUCAAGUGGUUGUCAAUCAUUCUAAUGCCUACUAUUUGAGUUAUACCAUACCUCAUAAACAAAUGUCCCUAAUAUUUGAGAUAUAUUGUACCUCAACUAAGAAGUGUACCUAGAGGUAGGAUACCAACUCUCUGCUACAUCAAGAUUGAUAUCAAAGUAAGGCAGAUCUACCUUAAGGACAAUAUUUUAUCACUCUUCAAGCCACCCUAAUUUGAUACAUGUCUAAACUCUAUUUUUUUCCCACUUUUUUGUUUGUAUUUUAGGUUCAGUCUUGUUUCAACUUAGUUUCAACCCUCUAGUAUUUUUGAACCAACAAUCUUAAAGUAGAGCUUAAUUUAUAAAGAUUCUUCCUUAGUUCACUCCCAUCCCAAACCCUUUAAGAUUGAUCCCAUCAAUGGGACCUUCUUCAAGAGACGAUAGGAAAGGACCUAUUUUACUAUUAACAUUGUGAACUUAGAACAUAUUUUGAUUGGCCUAAAACUAGAGGAAAAUUAUGAAAAUUUGCCUAUGUAGGAAAUUGGAAAUAAAAAAGUUAGGCAUGUUAUCAUUGGUACACUUUCUAAGGAACUAUUUGAUGUAUAUUGUCAAUAUUAAAUUAAGAAUAUUUGGGAUAUCAUGAAUAAGAAAUAUGUUAUGGAAGAUGCAGGGAUCCGAAAAUAUGCCAUGGGGAAUUUUAUGAAAUUUUAGAUAAUCAAGGAUAGAAAUGUGUCAUCUCAAAUCCAUGAUGACCACUUGCUAAUUAAUGACUUAUCUAAUGAGGAUAUAAGAUUGCCUAAACCUUUUAUGGUUAGAAAAUUGAUAGAAAUUCUUCUAAAUUCCUAGAAAGAUUAUAAAGACAGCAUGAAGCACAAAAAGAAAUAAAUGUCCUUAAAAAUGUUAUAAUCCAUAUUUUAGGACCAAUCAUAAAAAAGAAUCAAGUGGUUGUUGACCAUCCCACUUAAGAACUUAUUUGGAUAUGUAGUGAUCUACAUUAUAUUUUUGUUUUGACAAUUUAAGAGGUUUGUUCUUGGUUUUCUAUUUUCUUUCCAAUUCCUUCUUAAAAGAAAUUAGAAUACUUUUAGGCUUACUUCACAUUAUGGAGUUAUAGGUAGAUUUUUUAAUUUCUUUGUCCUACCUCAAUUGUACUCCACCAAUGUAUUUGAUUAAUUGGUACCCUAUUUGAAUUUACAAGGCUAGCAUUAGCAGUGGAGAUGACUCUUGUUAAUUCAAGUUUGUGUUGAAAAUAUGCUUAAUCCAUAUUUGAACUAUUUAAUAGUUAUGUUAGAAUACCUCGAUACUUACACCACCCAUUUACUAAAUAAAUAACAUGGCAUAACAUGUUUAUAAAUAGGUUGGAUUGAAAUAUUAUUUAUGAAUUGAUACUUUUUACCCAUAACUUGAUAACAUGAUUCUAACUUGUUAAAUCAGUUAACAUGAUUACAAUCCAUUUAACCUCUUUAUGAUUUUGAAUUAAUAAAAUGUAUUUUGAAUUUUUUUUAAUUACUUUUAAGUUUUAAUUUCAAUUUUUUUCUAAAUCAUAAUUAAUUUAAUUAAUUGUAAUAUGCAAUAUGCUUAUAAGAUAAGAGAAAAAACAAACUUUAAUUUACACUUGUAUAGAGUUUUACUUUAAUUUUUCAAUUAUAAAAUAUUUUUAAUCUUUAUAAUUUUUUAAAUAUAUAAAGCUUUACUCUAUUAGUUAUUUAAUUUUUUAAUUAAUUAAAAACUAUCAUUUUUUGAAUUUUAAUAUAUAUAAAAUUUAAUAAAUAUAAUGGUUAAACGAAUUAGUAUAUAAAUAGGUUAUUUCUUGAACGUGUUAAAUUAGUCAAAAAUAAUUAUGGCAUAAACACAAGAAUGUCCUAUCCAAACCUACUAAAAUUCACAUCAUCUUUUAGUCGCAUUGUGAAAUAAUGCCAAAUUUGUUAGAAAGAAAUAACCUAGUAUUAAAGAUGUUAUUAAGAACCAUAACUUGCUAAGAAAUAACCUAGAUUAUAUCAAAGAACAAUUAGCUAGAGAAGAAAAUUUUGUUAGAAAUGAGAUAGAACAAAUAAAAUUAGAACAACAAAAUUUAAGAGAAACUUUAGAAAAAGUUAACCAAAAAGUAGAUAAACUUUUAGAACAAAGAAAUAUAGUAUCAUCAAAUGAAAAAAAAUUAAAUAACCUUUUAAAACAAUUUGAAAACUUUAGUUUAGGAGAGAAACCAGUAAUUAGAACAUAACAAAAAAUAAAUCCUUUUGAACCAAAAAGUUUAGCAAUAAAACCAUGGAAAUAGUAGAAGCAAUAAACCCCAAUGAUAAUGUAAAAGAAUUUAUUGAAGAAAAAUUAAAGAAAGUAAAGAAAGUAACACUUUACAAAAAACAAUUAAUUUAAAAUUCUAAAAUAACUAGAUUUUUAAACCAACAUACUAUAAGUUCAAUAGGAAAUAUUGUAUAUUUAGACUUAAUAUCUCCAAAAAUAAAACAUAAAUUAUUAAAAGACAAAACCGAUAAAUAUAUGCACUUAGGAAUAAUUUUAAUAGGAAUAAUAGGACUCCAUCAUAAAGAACUAAGAGCACUUAUAAAUAUUAAUUUUUUAGAUACUAGAAACAAUAUAGUAGGACGAGCUCUUUUAGCUAGCGAAGAAGUAAAAAUGAACCAAAAUUACACAGUUAUUGGCUGUAUACCACAAUUUUGUAUAGAUCUUAAGGAAUUCAUAAAAAAAUUAAAAUAACUAUAAAUACUAAAGGAUAUGAUAUGGAAUUAGGAAGCAAGAACCUUAGUAUAACAAUAGGAUUUAUAGGAAAAACUACCAAUGCUUUAAGUUUAAAAUGAAUGAUGGAAUUUGACGAUUCAGUAAAAACCUUUGGAAGUAAGGCUGUAAAUAAGAUAGAAGCAAAACUGUGAAUAUAGACUAUUUGUUAGGACGAGAGUGGGAAUUAACUCAAAUAAAUAAACUAGUAAUAAAAUAUCCAACAUCUAGUAGUUUAUAUGAAAACCAAGAUGGAAGUGUAAGUAUAACCUUUGGAAAUUAUAAAACUAUAAAUGUAGAGGUAGAGUCAGAUAGUGAGAUAGAAACUGUAAAUGUUAUACAAGAAAAUAUUUUACUAAACAUUGAAACAGUAGAAAACCUAUACAAAACUCAGAGCUAGUUCAUAUAAUGAUAAAGGAAUUUAGUAACCUAACAUUACUAGACGAACAGGUAGAUCAAGAAAAAUUUGUUGAUAUAAUGUGUAAAAACUAUACAAAUGAGCAAAUAAUAAAACAACUUUAUAAAACCAAUUUAAUAAAAAAACCUAUAGAUAUAGAAACAAUAAAUCAAUUUACUAUUCAACCAAAAGUUAAAGAAAACAUAGAAAUAGUCUUAAACGAGUCAGUAAAUAUAAUAAAUGAAGAAAAAGAAUUUGUAAAUGUAAAAAAUGAAAUAGUAAGAUAUAAUAAGUCGUACAGUAAGCCAAAAGGACCUCAAUGGAAAACUAAAACAAAACCUUCUAGUUCUUGGCAACAAAUAUAUGAAUAUGGAACAAUAUUAGAUAUAGAUAAUACAUAAGAUCUUAGGAAAACCAUAGAAAAUUGGGAACAAUCCUUAAAUUCAGUAGGUGUAGUAGUAUCCUUUGAAAACCAACAAGAAAUUUAUGAAUUUUGUAAAAAUACCCUUAGAGGAACUGUAUUGCAAUUCUUUAAAAACAUGGAACAAGAAAACAAUAGUUAUUUUCAAGAAGUUAGAAAUAAUUUUAGCAUAUCUGUAUUUAUAAAUCUAAUAAAGCUUUAUCUUUUAGGAACAACUCAAGAACAUGUAAAAGAACCCGCAAUAUACCUUCAUAAGUUAGAAUAAUUAAAAUUAUGUAACCUUUUGUAUAUAAGGGAAUAUGAACAAAAAUUUAGAAAAUAUGCAAUCCUUACUAGAGUAGAUAGAACCCUUGAAUAUUUAAAUAAAUAUAUAUUAAAAAUACAAGGAACGGUAGGACUUAGACUAUGGAAUGAAUUUACUACCUCCAAAUACAAAAACUCUCCUUAUAUGGGUGCUAGAAUAGAAUCUGUAAAAAAUUGGUUAGAAAGAGAAUGUGUAAGUAUAGGAGAAAGAAGUCAAAUAAAGAAACAAGGCAUAAAUCAACAACUUUGUAGAAAAUUACAUAUAAGAGAGAAUUUAGACAUAGGAUGUGGAGAAUAUAAGUUUAGAAAACCCAAGAAAUAUAAUAAAUUUUUAAGAAGAAAGUCAAGAACCUUUUAUAAAAAACGACCAUAUCAAAUGAUAUAUAAAAAACCUAGAAAGUUUUGGAUAAAAAGAAAAAGAACUACGGAAAGAAAAAUACAGUGUAAAUGUUAUUUGUGUGGCUAGGAAGGCCAUAUAAGACCUGAAUGUCUUGAGCUUAAAAAACCAUUAAACGAACAAAGUAGAAAAACCCAAGUAAAAAUAAACCUAAUAAAUGAGUAGCACGUAGAUAGUGAAAAAGAAGAACUCAUUAGUGAAUUAGAUUUUGAAAGUGAAAAUUCAAGUAUAUAUAGUAUAGAUGAUAGUGAAAUUGAAAAAGAAGAAAUUUGUAUGAUCAUUGAAAAAAAAGAAAAUCAACCUAAGAAAACCCCUUUAAAUUUAGAAAACCUUGUACAACCUUUAGAAACUAAAAUAAAACCUUAUAAUAUAUGGAAAGAUUUACAAAUAAUAAUUAAAACAAAAAUCUCAUAAGAAGAAGGUAGUUGUUCAAACCCUAAAGAAAUAGAAGAAUCAAUAAAAAGUCCUGAAAAAGAAAUAAAAGAACUAAUAGAUCCUAAAAAAAGAACCAUACAAACAAUAAAACAAGUAAAUACUACAAAUAAAGUUAAAUCUAUUAUUUUUCCAACAACAAUUAAAUUAAAAACCAUAGAAUUAAAGGUAGAUGCAAUGUUAGAUAUUGGAGCCAGUAAAAACAUUUUAUUUGAAACUUUAGUACCUCAGGAAGACCAACAAACAUUAGUUCAACCAGUAGAAUUAGUCCAAUAUAAUCAACAAAAACUAAUACUAACCAAGUAUAUUUCAAACGUACCAACCAUAAUUAAUAACAUAACCUUAGUAUUACCUCAAACUUAUCUUGUACCUACUAUAACUUUAUAUCCUUUUAUUUUAGGUUUAACUUUUGUACAUUCUUUACAAGGAGGGAUAACAAUACAAAAUAACCAAGUCAUUUUUCAUCCUAAAACCACAACAAUUGUUUAUACAAACAUGGAAAAUGUAUUAAAUAAAAAUCAUAAUGUAACAUCUCAUCAAAUUAACAAAGUAGAAGCACAAAAGGAUAGCAUAAUUAAUGAUUACUCAGAACAAUUAAGAAAUGCAGAUAAAUUAAAAAACCUUAUAUUAGAAGCAGAAAAAAUAGGAAUUAUAGGGAAGAUCCACAAAAACAUUGGAAUAAAAAUAAAACAACCUGUAAAAUGCUAAUUAAAAACCCGGAUUUAACAAUAAAAACAGCAAACAUAGCAUGUAACCUUAUAGAUACAAAGGAAUUUAAAAUUCAAAUAGAAGAACUGUUAUAGAAUAACCUCAUAAAACCAAGUUUCAACCCCUAUAGAUCCUCAGCUUUUUUAGUUAGAAACCAUAAUGAAGAAAAAUGAGGAAAAACUAGGAUGGUUAUUAAUUAUAAAAGAUUAAAUGAUAAUACAUAUGAUGAUGCCUAUAAAAUUCCAAAUAAAGAUUCUUUAAUUAAUUCUAUUCAAGGAUGUAAAUACUUUUCUUAGUUAGAUUGUAAAAGUGGAUUUUGGCAAAUUAGAUUAGAAGAAGAUAGUAAACCAUGGACAACGUUUUCAUGUCCUUGUGGAUUAUAUGAAUGGAAUGUAAUGCCAUUUGGACUAAAAAAUGCUCCUCAGAUAUUCCAACGAAUGAUGGAUAAUAUUUUUGGUAAAUAUUCUUUUGUUCUUGUAUAUAUUGAUGAUAUUCUUGUUUUUUCAUAUACUCUUCGGGAACACAUAAAGCAUUUAGAAUUUAUUUUUAAAAACUAAUUAGUCAUGGAUUAAUAGUAAGUAAAAAGAAAUUGAAAUUAUUAAAGAGCCAAAUAGAAUUUUUAGGAUUAGAAUUAAGAGGAUGGACAAAUAAAAUUGUAAGAUCAUAUAGUACAAAAAAUAAAUAAUUUUCCGGAUAAACUAGAAGACUUAAAAACCCUUCAAAGUUUUUUAGGAUUAUUAAAUUAUGCUGGGUCAUAUAUUAAAAAGUUUAGUAGAUUAGUUGGACCCCUUUAUAGUAAAACAAAAAACACAGGGCAAAGAUAUUUUAACCAAGAAGAUAUUAAACUUGUACAGAAAAUAAAAGAACUUGUGAAGCAUCUCCCAACCUUACAUUUACCCUUAGAAAAUGAAUAUAAAAUAGUUCAAAGUGAUGCUAGUCAAACAAGAUGGGGAGGUAUACUUUUAGCAGUAACUAAUAUAGGAAAGGAAAAACUUUGUAGAUAUUGUAGCGGAACUUUUAAGGAUUAUCAAAAGAACCUUAGUUCUACAGACUUAGAAAUUGAAGCAAUAAUAUUAGUCUUAGAAAAUUUUCAAUUAUUUUUUAACCAAGAAUAAUUUACUUUAAGAACUGAUUGUGAGAAUAUUAAAAAAUUCUUUGAAAACAAAAAUUCUUCAAAAUUGUCUACCAAAUGAUGGAUAAAGUUUCAAAAUUCUUUAAUUGGUUUCAAACCCAAAUUUGAACAAGGAAAAGAUAACAUAUUAGCAUAUUGGUUAAGUAGACAAAUAAUUAAUAAUGUUGAUAAUAUUAAUGAUUGAUUUUAUGAUUAUAAGAACAUGGCUCAAAGAAAACCCACUAAAGCUAGAACCUUUCAAUAUGGAACCAUAUGUCUGAACGAAGUGUUGAAUCCAAAUUUGAGGUUUAACUCUUUAUUUUCUCAAAACCUUUUUGAAGAACAAAAGGUUAUUGUAGAUAAAUUUUGGUCUCUAAAACUAUAGAGUUUUCCAAACCAAAAUUUAGAAUACGCUUAUGGAAAAACCAUGUCAGCUUUAGCCCAACACUUACAAAACCUUCAAAACCAACUAAUUGCUUUAGAAACCCAAAAUUUUCAAAACCUCAAAAUCCAAGAAAAUCAGGAAAAAUUGAUAGAAGAUUUGAAAACCAGUACAGUGUCAACCAAUCAAACUAGUUGUUCAAACAUUCAACCUGAAGUAAUUAGCUUAAUUAAGAAAUCAGCUCUUCUAAUCGAACAAUAUGAAAAACGUGUUGUUAAAAACCUAAUUGGAGUUGAUAACUACUCUUUAGUCAAAACCUUUUUUCUGCAAACCCAAUAUAAGAAAGUGUUUAAAAAUCAAGAACUUUUGUAUAAACAUUUUAGAAUAAAAAAUGUCAAGAUAAAAACAGGGUAUAUGGCAUAUCAUGACCCUGAAUUUUUCUUUGUUAUAUAUUUAGCUUAUGUAAAUAUGUCUGUUGUAAAUAGAGAAAUUUUUUAUUUAGUACCCCAGCUCAUGGAUUAGGGAAUUUUAAAAAAUGUUUUUAUGAACCAUGGAUUUCAAAUCCUUGAAAAUUUCCUAGAAAAAUUGAAAGAUAUUUUAAGCUAUCUUUUUAAAACCGAAAAACAGAUAGAUAUUUCUUUUGAAACCAUUCCACCUUUAUUUCAAACCGAUGGAUCAGUAGUACCAGCCUAUCACCAUGUAUAUAUAAAGCAUAAUAAAGAACCACUCAUCCCUCAACAAGAACUAGAAUGGGAAAUGACCUGUUCGAAUGAAUUUCCAGAAUUUUUUACUCGCUUUAGAGCUUUUCAGAUUUAUGAUCUUAGACCAACCCGAAACAAGUUAUUUCAUCUCAUUGGUGAAACAAAAACUAUGUCUAUAUGGAGAAACAAACCGUUAGAACACAUCAUUGUUCCAAAACCCUUUAUUACUUCUAAAGAAUUGGAUUUUAUAACCGAACUCAGUGUAGAUAUACCAUAACCCUCUUCCUACCUCAGCGAUGAUGCAUUAUUUUGGGAAAACCUGGACGAUGAAAGUUAUCAUAAUCUGCAAAAUGCAAUGGAAGGAUGAUGUCAGCAAUGACGAUAAUGAAGCAGUAAAUGCGUCUCUAACUGCAAAAAUUUAAUAUAGUAGUAGAAGUUAAAAAAGAAGGCCAUGUAUUCGGCAUGUGAUGGAAAAGAAAAGAAAAAGACAAGGAGAAAGUGGAAGAAGUAUCAGACGGAUGGUUAAAGAAAAACCAAAAGUCAAACCUCAUAAUGACUUUACCAUCCUUGUAUUUAUUAUCAACCAAACCUGUAAAUAUUUUUCCUGCCAUCCAACCACUUGAAUUAAUUUUCACUUGUCAUUUGUAAAUGCUUUGUCUAUAAAUUAGUUGUAGUAAAAGAAAGAAAAGUGUGUCUGAAGAAGUGUAGAAAAAAGUGUGUGAAAAGUGAGAGCAAAGUAGCAAGUGGAGCAAUCAUCUGUGUCUUCAUUCAUCUUGUAAAUUUAUCAACAACAAGAAAGUAAGAAUUUUCUGUUAAAUUUCUGCUUUCAUUUAGAAUUUAUUUUAUUUUGUGUAUUUUUCUUACCCUUAGGGGGUAAAAGUGGUAAAAAAGUAAAGUGGGGAAAUGAAAAUUAUUUGAAUUAUUUUCCAAUUUUCUUUACUAGUUAAUAUCUACAAUAUACAUGGAUCCUUUAUAUAUAUAUAUAUAAUGUUCCCGUCAAUAUAAAAAAAAAAUUUGGGUUAUUUAGAAAAUUUUGGGUGUAAAAUCAGGUUUUAAAACUAGAGUCUUUAGUCUUAACCCUUGACCUAUGACCCGUUUUUGCCGAAAAAAUUGGCAUGUUAGGAAGACUUUGUCUGGUCAGAAGGGGGGUAUUACCUUGACACAAAGUGAUGUUUUAAAAUUUAUAUUUUUAUUACCUGAAUUUUUUAGAUAUCCGAUUUCAAAAACUUAACUUUUAUGCAUUAAAUGGUUUCAUACUAUAAACUGGGAGCUUUAAGUUAACUAUAUAUUAAAAUAAUAAGUGUUUGAAAAUGUUUAUAUUAAAAUAAUGAGUGUUUGAAAUGUUUAUAUUAAAAUAAUAAGUAUUUUGAAAUGCUUAUAUUAAAAUAAUGAGGAUAAUAAAUGCAUUCACACUUUAAUUGAAUUUAAAACUUUCAUUUUGAACGGAGAUUUCAAAACCCCUACCACUGUGUGUCAAUAGCAAACUGUUGUUGAAAUUGAUGCUGUUGCUAAUGGGAAAAGUUUGUAUCAGAGCCCCUCUGUGUACUGCUGUAUAUUAAUUAGCAAAGGAAACUGUAGAUUCAAAUUAAUUUUCAGAGUACGGAACUUUAUCUUGCCCUAUUUAAAUAUUUGCUUGAUUUAUUCUGCAUCUUUAUUUAAUCUGUUAUGUAUUCGCUCAUUUGAUAUGAAUUAAUGUCUUCUUUUAUUCCUUAUCCUCCUGGUAUAUAUAAUAUAGAUUAUGAUCGUAUAAAAGAACUUAAUAAUAGGUUGUAUGCUCAACGUAAAGACUUUAGAGAAACUUGUGAUAAAUUGCAUAAUUUAAGAACUACUGUAAAAGAUUUAACCACAGAUAUCAAAAACCUAACUUCUCUUAAAUAUUUGAACGAAUACGAAGUAGCUAUACAAGAAGCUUUUGACGAACUUUUUGCUAUAGACCCAAGAGGUAAAACUAUAGUAUUGCAAGAAUAUAAGAAACAAAUUUAUAUGCUAGUUCAUCUCAUUAGGAAAUAUUAAAAACUAAUGAACCCUCAUCUACAAAUCCAAGAGGUAAAAAAUAGUUAAAAUUUUUAGUAGAGUCACAAUUAAAAAUAACAAACGUAGUAUUGCAAGAAUAUAAGAAACAAAUUGAGGAAGAAAACCAAAAUAAUAUAGAUUGUUUAAAAGAAAUCUAGAGAAGACAAAUAAAAUUCGUAGAAAAACUAAACACGGUCUUAGGAAUUAGAAAAGAAACUGGAAGACUUUAAAAACCAUAACUUGCUUAGUAUGAAAGUAAGAUUUUCUGUUAAAUUUCUGCUUUCAUUUAGAAUUUAUUUAUUUGUGUAUUUUUCUACCCUUAGGGGUAAAAAGGUAAANNNNNNNNNNNNNNNNNNNNNNNNNNNNNNNNNNNNNNNNNNNNNNNNNNNNNNNNNNNNNNNNNNNNNNNNNNNNNNNNNNNNNNNNNNNNNNNNNNNNNNNNNNNNNNNNNNNNNNNNNNNNNNNNNNNNNNNNNNNNNNNNNNNNNNNNNNNNNNNNNNNNNNNNNNNNNNNNNNNNNNNNNNNNNNNNNNNNNNNNNNNNNNNNNNNNNNNNNNNNNNNNNNNNNNNNNNNNNNNNNUAUUUUCUAUUGAACUUAUAGUAUGUUGGUUUAAAAAUCUAGUUAUUUUAGAAUUUUAAACUAAUUGUUUUUUGUAAGGUGUUACUUCCUUUACUACCUUCUUUAAUUUUUCUUCAAUAAAUUCUUUUACAUUAUCUUUGGGGUUUAUUGCUUCUACUAUUUCCAUGGUUUUAUUGCUAAACUUUUUGGUUUAAAAGGAUUUAUUUUUUGUUCUGUUCUAUUUAUUAGUUUUUCUCCUAAACUAAAGUUUUCAAAUUGUUUUAAAGGUUAUUUAAUUUUUGUUCGUCUGAUGAUACUAUAUUUAUUUGUUCUAAAAGUUUAUCUACUUUUUGGUUGACUUUUUCUAAAGUUUCUCUUAAAUUUUGUUGGUCUAAUUUUAUUUGUUCUAACUACAUUUGUUAUUUUUUUUUUAAAUAUUUUAUAAAGCAAUAAAAUUUAAGUAACUAUGAAAGUCUUAAAAAAAUUAUAAAACAAAAUAAAUUUAAGUAAAAGUAUAAUAUUUUAUUUUAUUUUAAAGUUUAUUUUCAAAAAAUUAACAAUCCAUUUCAAUAUUUAUUAGAUAUAAAAAAUGUAACACUUGUCUUUUUAUUUCUAUUAUUAAAACUACAAACAUAAAUAUUAAUUUUCUGAGUGAAUUAAAAUCAAUAAUAUGUUUAUUUAUAAUUUAUUGAUUUUUAAUUAUGGUAAGAUAUAUCUUUUUUCGGUAAAAAAAUUGAUGUGGUAUUUUUCUUAAAUUAUAAUUUUGGAAUCUACCCCACAUCAUUACAUUUAAAGAAAAAUAGAAGAUCUUGUAUCCUCUUAUGAAUUAGACAUGAUUUUAAUCCGAGAGUAAAAAGAAAAAUGUUCUAUCCUCUUAAGGAUUGUAUAAGAUUUUAAGGCAAAAUAUAGAAUAAAUCUAGUUGGAAUCUCUUAGGAAUUAUAAUGGGCAUUAAUGUGAAUUUGAUUUUUUUUUUUUUUUGACAAGUGAACUCCUAUCUUGCAAUUUUUUUUCCAUUUUAGAUUAUCAAAACAUACUUUUCCCAAGCUUAUACACAUUCUAUUCUUGAUCAUUUGUGUAGAUAUGUAGUGUUUUAAAUUUGUACUUCAAAAAUUCAAGAUAUUUGAUAUUGGUUUUCCAUAUCCCUUUCAAUUGCCCCUUAACAAAAAUUAAGAAUCCUUCUAGGUUUACUUUCCAUUAUGGAGUUAGGGAUAAAAUGUUUAAUUUCAUUUCAUAAUUCAAUAGAUCUAGCUAUUGUUUAAGCCUUAAUAAAUUUAUUUGCUCUGUACCCAAUUUGAAUUCAUAAGCUUAGCAUUUGUGGUAAUGGUCGAUGUUCUUGAGGUAGGUAUAUAUAUCUAUGUGCAUGAAAAUUAAUUCAAUCCAUAGAUGAACCAUUUAAUAAUCAUAUCUAAAUGAAUGAAUAACAUGAUCACAUAACUUAUUUAAUAAAUGAGUUUUUAGCAACAAUUUUUCGUCAAAAUCUGUUGCAAGAAAUGGAUAAUCCAUAAACCUAGCAAUAUCGUUGCACUCUUUAAAAUUUUAAAUUUAUAAAAUAAUAUUUCAAAAUUACUAUUUAAUUCAUUUUAAGUUUUUUAAAUAUUGAUUAAUUUAAUUAUUUAUUUUUAAUUAUAAUAUUUUUAUAUGAUAAAAGAUAAAUUAAAUUUUAAAUUCUAUUUAUAAAAGAUAAUUAUUUAAAUAUAUAUAUAUAUAUAAGUUUAUUUUAUUUGCUAUUUAAUUUUAAAUUUAUAAAAUAUUUAUACAUCUUUAAUUUAUAUAAUUUUUUAAUAUAUAAAAUUAGUAAAUUUAUAUGGUUUAAAGGAUAAAACAGUUGGUGUAUAAACAUGUCAUUUUGACAUGAAUAAGUUAAUAGGUUAACUAGAUUAAUAAAAUAGGUUUGAGUCAUCAAACCCAAACAUGAGUCAUUUAUUGAGCAUAUUAAAUUAGUUGAUACAAUUUUGAUAUAAAUAAAGUUAUGCUCUAUCCAAAACUAAUAGAAUUCAUAUCAUUUCAAAUUGUCAUGUGAUGUCAAAUUUGUUAUAUACAAAAUAGACCUAGCCAAAAGUAGAGAUGGCAACGGGACUAGUCACCUUCAUCCCAACCCCGCUUCAUUUAUUCAAAAUAAUUCUCAUCCCCGUCCUAUUAAAAAAAUUAAACGAGAUAGGGCAAGUAUGUGAAUUUCCCAUACCCGCCCUGCCCCGUUUAACUUCUUUUUUUUUUUUUGAAAAAUUUUAUUUUUUUUAAUUGCAUUAAAAUAAAUAUAUUUUAUAAAUAAUUAAAAUAUUAUAAUUUUAUAUAACUUAUUUUAUCGAAAAGUAUUAUUAUUAUUAUUAUUAUUAUUAUUUUAAAAUUAAUUUUUAUAUAUAAUUGAUGUAGGACAAGACAGGACAAGGCAUAUUUGAACCCACCCUCUUGAGUAUAAAAAAAAUCUUAAACUCCACUCCUAACCCAUUUACUUAAAUUUCAAACCUAUCCUUUUAGGGUGGAUAGGUACCCAAAAAAACCGCCGCUAUUACCAUCCCUAACAAAAACUAAUGAGUCAACCUUGUCAAAAGUCUUCAAAAAUUUAAGGAAAAGAGAAAAAAAGAGAUUAGUGGGGCCUUACUAGUUAUGAUUUUAGAACCAAUAGUGUGAGAAGGGACAAGCUUAAUGUUUGGAUUGGACAUAGAACCAUUCAGCUGAACAAAGUUGCUAAAAUGGUUUCAUAAAUUAAUAUAUAUAAAAGUGGAGAUAUUAAUUUGUCGAGAGCAUGUAGAUAAAUUAAACAUAUCCAAAUAUAUUAUAUAAAAUGUCAAGUCAAUAUAUAUGUGAUUUUUUCAUGAGUUUCCUUUUUAAUCAAAUUCUGGUAAAAGAAAUAUUAAUAUUUGGGUAUGGUUUAAAGAUAUUGCUUUAAAGUAUAAAGAAUUUUUGAUAAUUUACCUUCAGUAUUUAAAGCACCAAUAUAUGUUGGCUUACGAGAACCUUUAUUGGAGCUGGAUUCACUUGGUACUUUCAACGUGAGAGAAGUUUCUAGGAAAUUUUUUACAGUAUAAGAGAAAAAAAAUGUACAAUUUUCCACAGAAGACCAUGAAAUUGAAUGAGUUUGCAUAGACUAUUUAACAAGAAAAUGUACUAACAAAAUUUUCCACACGAUGAACAGAUAACGAUGAACUUGAAUGAGUUUCCAUGGACUAUUUAACAAGAAAUGAACAGAUAUUUUCCAUUGACUUGGAUGUUUUAUAAGACUUCCAUGUGGAAUUUUCAAGUGCCACGUGGUUUCGGGAGGAAUGAAUGGAAAUUUUUGACGAGUUAACAUUGUUGUAUUUAACGUGGGCCUUCCUACACAUAUGAUCUUCCAUUGACUUGGAUGUUAUAUAAGACUUCCAUGUGGAAUUUUCUAGUGUCGCAUGGUUUCGAGAAGAAUGAAUGGAAAUUUUUGAUGAGUUAACACUGUCGUAUUUAACGUGAGCCUUCCUACACUCAUGAUAUUUAGAGUUAUAACAUCAUCGAUCGUGCAAAACAAUCCAGUAAAAGUUAUAAUAAUGAUAUCAGACAUAAUUAAAAGGGUGGGACAAGCGUGAGAAAUAGAGCGGUUGGCUUAGUAGAGAGAGAGAGAUAGAAAUUGCUUGGUCCUUUCUGCAUGUUCAGUCGUUCAAUCUAUCGACCUUCUAAUUCCAAAGUGUCAAAUGGUGAGAGAUUGUCUGCACAACAAAACUAGCUCUCACAUAUUGAAACACAAAGAAAUUAAGAAGGCAUUAGGCUUUUGUGUGUUGUUACCACAUGAUUUGGUAUUACUGGUAAUUUAUUAGAAAUAUUUUAUUUCAUUUUGCUUUAUUUGCAUCAACAUAAUAACAAACUUAUAUUUAUAAUAAACAAAUCAUCGUUGUAUAUGACUCUAAUAUUUUUCAAACUCCUAAAAUACUUUGAAUUUGAAGUAAGAUACCUAUGACCUGUGGGUUAUGAUGAUUAUACUUGAGUGGUAACCUUGUAAGUUAUGAUGAUUAAAUUUAAUAAUAUAAUGAUCAAAUAUGGUAUGCAAAAAUAAAAAAAUAAAAAUAGGAGUCUUUGAUGUUACCAAGUGAUAAAUAGUGAUUAAAUAAAAAUGAAUAAAUAUAAAAAUAGGAGAAACACAACAAGAAAAGUUGAACAAAAAGUGAUAUACAAGUCUUGCUCUUUCAGAAAAGUAAAGUUGAAUUGUGGAUGUCUCAAUCCACUAAAUUGGCUUCAAAAGCGAAGAUGCAAGGGUGCUUUAUGCCCUUGAGAUCAUGAGAUAAUUUAAUUUAUUACUUAUGAAUUAAAAAAUUAGGUAGACUUACAAGAAGGUAAAAGACUAAUAUGGUUAUAUGACUAUUAUAAAAAUAAAAAAUAAAAAUAAAUAUUGUAACAUCUCUUUCUUAUUCUUUGCUCGGGGGACAUGUCCUAGUUGUUUCACUUGACUUUGAAUCAUUAUACAAUCAACUUUCAUAAGUUAGUUGGAAACUAAAGUAAUGAUGCAAUCAACUUCUUUAUUUUUUUCCCUAGUUUGUGAAGAUAUCUUGAUUAAUGUGUUUUUCUUUGUAAUGGAGUUUCAAUAGGUUGAUAUAACUUAAAAUAAGAGAUUAAAGAUUUGUAAUUAUUUUUGGUAAGUAGAAAACUAAAAUAAGAAAAUCUUUCUUCCUCAUUUGUCAUUAAUUAUUAAUUAAAUUUGAUUUUGGAUCUGUUGUAAACUGUAGACAUAAUGCAAUUCACUCACAAUAUGAGAAUGAGUCUUAUUCAAUUCAAAACAAGCUAUAGGCUUAUAUAAGCCUUACAAAAGAAAUUAAAAAGGAAACAAACAGCCCACGUAAGAACGUGGUAAAUGGCUAAGGAAAUAGUCAAAUCCUACCAACAUGUCCCAAAAAAUAGGAAUUAUUAACAGAAUGAAAUUCUAACAACUUUGACUACUUUAACUGAACAUCCCAACAGGAUCAAGAUAUGUUAAUGAAUUUACAUAAGUUGAGCUUAAGGAAUCAUAUCAAACAUUGGAUAUUUGUCAUUAACUAUUAAUUAACAAAAUUAGAGAUUUGCUAGAAUUUCAAUUAACUUAAACAAAAGUGAUUUGAAAAAACAGUUUUUAUAAGAAUUUAUAACAUUUAAAAGAAAAAACAGUUUAAUUCAAAAACUUUUAGGUAACUUUUAAAAGUUUACGUGUCCCAACCUUGCCCUAAUUAUUUAAAUCAAUUUCCAGUCCCAAUAAAUAAAGAAAAAAGAAAAAAAAUGAAAAAAACCUUAAUGGAUAAGGUGAAUAUAGACAUUUCUUUUGUAGAAAUGGAAUUAAAGCUAAGUGUGGGCAUGUCUUGUAUUUUGUAGACAUGUCUUAGUGAAUUGACUUGACUUAUUGAAUGAAGGUUUUCCUAUUACCAUAUUUGUUAGAAAAUUAAUAAAUUUAUGUAUAUUUUAAUAAAAAGUAGAUUUGAAAAUUUACUUUAUAUGUUUAAAAAGGGAAAAUGAAAAUAACUAAAGUAAAUAAUAUUUUAUUUGAUUUUAUAUGGAAUCUAGGUAUGGUAGGGCAGUAUAAACUUUCAUUGUAUCUUACAUUUUGAAAAAUAAAAUCUCAAAUGAUGACAACAAGGUGGGUUUGGAGUCGAUCAACCCUAUCCCAACCUUACCCUGAUUGUUUAAAUCAAUUUCCAUUGCCAAUAAAAAAGGAAAAAAGAAAAAAAAAGAAAUAAACCGUAAUGGAUAAGGUGAAUAGAGAAAUUUCUUUUGUAGAAAUGGAAUUAAAGCUAAGGGUGGGUAUGUCUUGUAUUAUGUAGACACGUCUUAGUGAAUUGACUUGACUCAUUGAAUGAGGUUUUACUAUUACCAUAUUUGUUACAAAAUUAAAGCUAAAGAUAGUGUAAUCUGUCUUUCUUAUCUUCUAUUUUCUAGACACAUCUUAGUGGAUUCACUUAACUCAUUGAAUUAACAGCACCAGCAUAAUGCAUAAAAACCUAACAUGAUUAAACUUUUAAACAUAUGAAAACGUAUUUUUAGGGAUGUCAACAAAAUGGUCAUCCAUUCUUGACCUACCUUAUUUUUCAAACACAUUCUCAUCACUUUUCCAACCGCAGAAUGAGGUAGAACGAAGUAGAAAAGUGAAUUCCCAUACAUGCUUGGAUUAAAAAUUCUCUAUUGCAUUAUUUUAAAUUUUCAAUUAUACUAAAAAAAAUAUAAUUUAUAAAUAAAAACAUUAUGUUUUUAACAAAUUUUUUUGUAUAUUUUAAUAAAAAGUAGCUUUGAAUAUUUACUUUAAAUGUUUAAAAAGGGAAAAUGAAAAUAACUAAAGUAAAUCAACUUUUAUUUUAUUUUAUAUAGAAUCUAGGUAUGGUACGGUAGUAUAAAUUUUCAUUGUAUCUUACAUUUUGAAAAAUAAAAUCUCAAAUUAGGGAUGACAACAAGGUGGUUUUGAAGUCGAUCAACCCUAUCCCAACCUUGCCCAGAUUAUUUAAAUCAAUUUCCAUUCCCAAUAAAAAAGGAAAAAAGAAAAAAAAAAAGAAAUAAACCUUAAUGGAUAAGGUGAAUAGAGACAUUUCUUUUGUAGAAAUGGAAUUAAAGCUAAGGGUGGGUAUGUCUUGUAUUAUGUAGACACGUCUUAGUGAAUUGACUUGACUCAUUGAAUGAAGGUUUUACUAUUCCCAUAUUUGUUAGAAAAUUAAAGCUAAAAAUAGCGUAAUCUCUCUUUCUUAACUUCUAUUUUCUAGACACAUCUUGGUGGAUUGACUUAACCCAUUGAAUUAACAGCACUUGCAUAAUGCAUAAAAACCAAACUUGAUUAAAGUUUUAAACGUAUCAAAACGUAUUUUUAGGGAUGACAACAGACUGGUCACCCACUCUUGACCUACCUUAUAUUCCAAAUAAAUUCUCAUCAUUUUUCCAACCAUAGAAUGCGGUAGAACGAUGUAGAAAAGUGAAUUCCCAUACAUGCUUGGAUUAAAAAUUCCCAUACAUGUAGAAAAGGGAUGUUUCUAACAAAAAAUUUUAUGUAUAUUUUAAUAAAAAGUGUAUUUCAAUAUUUACUUUAUAUGUUUAAAAAGGGAAAAUGAAAAUAACUAAAGUAAAUCAAAUUUUAUUUUAUUUUAUAUAGAAUCUAGGUAUGGUAGGGUAGUAUAAUUGUUUAUUGUAUCUUACAUUUUGAAAAUUAAAAUCUCAAAUUAGGGAUGACAACAAGGUGGGUUUGGAGUCAAUCAACCCUAUCCCAACCUUGCCCUGAUCAUUUAAAUCAAUUUCCAUUCCAUAUAAAAAGAAAUGAAAAAUGAAAAAAAAAAAGAAAUAAACCUUAAUGGAUAAGGUGAAUAGAGAAAUUUCUUCUGUAGAAAUGGAAUUAAAGCUAAGUGUGGGUAUGUCUUGUAUUUUGUAGACACGUCUUAGUGAAUUGACUUGACUCAUUGAAUGAUGGUUUUACUAUUACCAUAUUUGUUAGAAAAUUAAAGCUAAAGAUAGUGUAAUCUCUCUUUCUUAUCUUCUAUUUUCUAGACACAUCUUAGUGGAUUGACUUAACGCAUUGAAUUAUCAGCACUUGCAUAACUCAUACAAACCUAACUUGAUUAAAGUUUUAAACAUAUGAAAACGUAUAUUUAGGGAUGUCAACAAAGUGGCCAUCCACUAUUGACCUACCUUAUUUUUCAAACACAUUCUCAUCACUUUUCCAACCGCAAAAUGAGGUAGAACGAUGUAGAAAAGUGAAUUCCCAUACAUGCUUGGAUUAAAAAUUCUCUAUUGCAUUAUUUUAAAUUUUCAAUUAUACUAAAAAAACAUAAUUUAUAAGUAAAAACAUUAUGUUUUUAACAAAAUUUUUUGUAUAUUUUAAUAAAAAGUAGAUUUGAAUAUUUACUUUCAAUGUUUAAAAAGGGAAAAUGAACAUAACUAAAGUAAAUCAACUUUUAUUUGAUUUUAUAUAAAAUCUAGGUAUGGUAGGGUAGUAUAGAUUUUCAUUGUAUCUUACAUUUUGAAAAAUAAAAUCUCAAAUUAGGGAUGACAACAAGGUGGGUUUGAAAUCGAUCAACCCUAUCCCAACCUUGCCCGGAUUAUUUAAAUCAAUUUCCAUUCCCAAUAAAAAAAGAAAAAAGAAAAAAAAAAGAAAUAAACCUUAAUGGAUAAGGUGAAUAGAGACAUUUCUUUUGUAGAAAUGGAAUAAAAGCUAAGGGUGGGUAUNNNNNNNNNNNNNNNNNNNNNNNNNNNNNNNNNNNNNNNNNNNNNNNNNNNNNNNNNNNNNNNNNNNNNNNNNNNNNNNNNNNNNNNNNNNNNNNNNNNNUUUUCAAAUACAUUCUCAUCAUUUUUCCAACUAGAGAAGGAGGUAGAACGAUGUAGAAAAGUAAAUUCCCUUACAUGCUUGGAUUAAAAAUUUUGAAUUGAAUUAUUUUAAAUUUUCAAUUAUACUAAAAAAAAUAUAAUUUAUAAAUAAAAACAUUUUGUUUUUAACAAGAAAUUUUAUGUAUAUUUUAAUAAAAAGUAGAUUUGAAUAUUUACUUUAUAUGUUUAAAGAGGGAAAAUGAAAAUAACUAAAGUAAAUUAAAUUUUAUUUGAUUUUAUAUAGAAUCUAGGUAUGGUAGGGUAGUAUAAUUUUUUUAUUGUCUCUUACAUUUUGAAAAAUAAAAUCUCAAAUUCGGGAUGACAACAAGGUGGGUUUGGAGUCGAUCAACCCUAUCACAACCUUGCCCUGAUUAUUUAAAUCAAUUUCCAUUCCAUAUAAAUAAAAAAGAAAAAAGAAAAAAAAAGAAAUAAACCCUAAUGGAUAAGGUGAAUAGAUAAAUUUCUUUUGUAGAAAUGGAAUAAAAGCUAAGGGUGGUUAUGUCUUGUAUUAUGUAGACACGUCUUAGUGAAUUGACUUGACUCAUUGAAUGAAGGUUUUACUAUUACCGUAUUUGUUAGAAAAUUAAAGCUAAAGAUAGUGUAAUCUCUCUUUCUUAUCUUCUAUUUUCUAGACACAUCUUAGUGGAUUGACUUAACUCAUUGAAUUAGCAGCACUUGCAUAAUGCAUAAAGACCUAACUUGAUUAAAGUUUUAAACAUAUGAAAACAUAUUUUUAGGGAUGUCAACAAAGUGGCCAUCCACUCUUGACCUACCUUAUUUUCCACAGACAUUCUCAUCACUUUUCCAACCGCAGAAUGAGGUAGAACGAUAUAGAAAAGUGAAUUCUCAUACAUGCUUGAAUUAAAAAUUCUCAAUAGCAUUAUUUUAAAUUUUCAAUUAUACUAAAAAAUAUAUAAUUUGUAAAUAAAAACAUUAUGUUUUUAACAAAAAAAUUUAUGUAUAUUUUAAUAAAAAGUAGAUUUGAAUAUUUACUUUAUAUGUUUAAAAAGGGAAAAUGAAAAUAACUAAAGUAAAUCAACUUUUAUUUGAUUUUAUAUAGAAUCUAGGUAUGGUAGGGUCGUAUAAAUUUUCAUUCUAUCUUACAUUUUGAAAAAUAAAAUCUCAAAUUAGGGAUGACAACAAGGUGGGUUUGAAGCCGAUCAACCCUAUCCCAACCUUGCCCGGAUUAUUUAAAUCAAUUUCCAUUCCCAAUAAUAAAGGAAAAAAGAAAAAAAAAAGAAAUAAACCUUAAUGGAUAAGGUGAAUAGAGACAUUUAUUUUGUAGAUAUGGAAUUAAAGCUAAGGGUGGGUAUGUCUUGUAUUAUGUAGACACGUCUUAGUCAAUUGACUUGACUCAUUGAAUGAAGGUUUUACUAUUACCAUAUUUGUUAAAAAAUUAAAGCUAAAAAUAGCGUAAUCUCUCUUUCUUAACUUCUAUUUUCUAGACACAUGUUAUUGGAUUGACUUAACCCAUUGAAUUAACAGCACCUGCAUAAUGCAUAAAAACCAAACUUGAUUAAAGUUUUAAACAUAUCAAAUCGUAUUCUUAGGGAUGUCAACAAAGUGCUCAUCCACUCUUGACCUACCUUAUAUUCCAAAUACAUUCUCAUCAUUUUUCCAACCAUACAAUGCGGUAGAACGAUGUAGAAAAGUGAAUUCCCAUACAUGCUUGGAUUAAAAAUUCUCUAUUGCAUUAUUUUAAAUUUUCAAUUAUACUAAAAAAAAUAUAAUUUAUAAAUAAAAACAUUAUUGUGUUCACAAAAUUUUUUUGUAUAUUUGAAUAAAAAGUAGAUUUGAAUAUUUACUUUAAAUGAUUAAAAAGGGAAAAUGAAAAUAACUAAAGUAAAUCAAAUUUUAUUUGAUUUUAUAUAGAAUCUACGUAUGGUAGGGUAGUAUAAUCUUUUAUUGUAUCUUAAAUUUUGAAAAAUAAAAUCUCAAAUUAGGGAUGACAACAAGGUGGGUUUGGAGUCGAUCAACCCUAUCCAAACCUUGCCCUGAUUAUUUAAAUCAAUUUCCAUUCCCAGUAAGAAAAGAAAAAAGAAAAAAAAGAUAUAAACCUUAAUGGAUUAUGUGAAUAGAGAAAUUUCUUUUGUAGAAAUGGAAUUAAAGCUAGGUGUGGGUAUGUCUUGUAUUUUGUAGACACGUGUUAUUGAAUUGACUUGACUCAUUGAAUGAAGGUUUUACUAUUACUAUAUUUGAUAGAAAAUUAAAGCUAAAGAUAGUGUAAUCUCUCUUUCUUAUCUUCUAUUUUCUAGACACAUCUUAGUGGAUUGACUUAACUAAUUGAAUUAGCAGCACUUGCAUAAUGCAUAAAGACCUAACUUGAUUAAAGUUUUAAACAUAUGAAAACAUAUUUAUAGGGAUGUCAACAAAGUGGUCAUCCACCCUUGACCUACCUUAUUUUCCACAGACAUUCUCAUCACUUUUCCAACCGCAGAAUGAGGUAGAACGAUAUAGAAAAGUGAACUCUCGUACAUGCUUGGAUUAAAAAUUGUCAAUUGCAUUAUUUUAAAUUUUCAAUUAUACUAAAAAAAAUAUAAUUUAUAAAUAAAAACAUUAUGUAUUUAACAAAAAAAUUUAUGUAUAUUUUAAUAAAAAGUAUAUUUGAAUAUUUACUUUAUAUGUUUAAAAAGGGAAAAUGAAAAUAACUAAAGUAAAUCAACUUUUAUUUGAUUUUAUAUAGAAUCUAGGUAUGGUAGGGUAGUAUAAAUUUUCAUUCUAUCUUACAUUUUGAAAAAUAAAAUCUCAAAUUACGGAUGACAACAAGGUUGUUUGAAGUCGAUCAACCGUAUCCCAACCUUACCCGGAUUAUUUAAAUCAAUUUCCAUUCCCAAUAAAAAAGGAAAAAGAAAAUAAAGCAGGAAUAAACCUUAAUGGAUAAGAUGAAUAGAGACAUUUCUUUUGUAGAAAUGGAAUUAAAGCUAAGGGUUGGUAUGUCUUGUAUUAUGUAGACACACCUUAGUGAAUUGACUUGACUCAUUGAAUGAAGGUUUUACUCUUAUCAUAUUUGUUAGAAAAUUAAAGCUAAAGAUAGUGUAAUCUCUCUUUCUUAUCUUCUAUUUUCUAGACACAUCUUAGUGGAUUGACUUAACUCACUAAAUUAACUGCACUUCCAUAAUGCAUAAAAACCUAACUUGAUUAAACUUUUAAACAUAUGAAAACGUAUUUUUAGGGAUGUCAACAAAGUGGUCAUCCACUCUUGACCUACUUUAUUUUCCAAAUACAUUCUCAUCACUUUUCCAACUGUAGAAUGAGGUAGAACGGUGUAGAAAGGUAAAUUCCCAUACAUACUUGGAUUAAAAAUUCACUAUUGCAUUAUUUUAAAUUUUCAAUUACACUAAAAAAAUAUAAUUUAAAAAUAAAAACAUUAUGUUUUUAACAAAAAAUUUUAUGUAUAUUUUAAUAAAAAGUAUAUUUGAAUAUUUACUUUAUAUGUUUAAAAAGGGAAAGUGAAAAUAACUAAAGUAAAUCAAAUUUUAUUUGAUUUUAUAUAGAAUCUAGGUAUGGUAGGGUAGUAUAAUUUUUUAUUGUAUCUUAAAUUUUGAAAAAUAAAAUCUCAAAUUAGGGAUGACAACAAGGUGGGUUUGGAGUGGAUCAACCCUAUCCCAACCUUGCUCUAAUUAUUUAAAUCAAUGUCCAUUCUCAAUAAGAAAAGAAAAAAGAAAAAAAAGAUAUAAACCUUAAUGGAUAAGGUGAAUAGAGAAAUUUCUUUUGUAGAAAUGGAAUAAAAGCUAAGGGUGGUUAUGUCUUGUAUUAUGUAGACACGUCUUACUGAAUUGACUUGGCUCAUUGAAUGAAGGUUUUACUAUUACCAUAUUUGUUAGAAAAUUAAAGCUAAAGAUAACGUAAUCUCUCUUUCUUAUCUUCUAUUUUCUAGACACAUCUUAGUGGAUUGACUUAACACAUCGAAUUAAUAGCACUUGCAUAAUGCAUAAAAACCUAACUUGAUUAAAGUUUUAAACAUAUCAAAACGUAUUUUUAGGGAUGUCAACAAAGUGGUCAUCCACUCUUGACCUACCUUAUUUUCCAAAUACAUUCUCAUCAUUUUUCCAACCACAGAAUGAGGUAGAACGAUGUAGAAAAGUGAAUUCCCAUACAUGCUUGGAUUAAAAAUUCUCUAUUGCAUUAUUUUAAAUUUUAAAUUAUACCAAAAAAAUAUAAUUUAGAAAUAAAAACAUUAUGUUUUUAACAAAAAAUUUUAUGUAUAUUUUAAUAAAAAUUAUAUUUGAAUAUUUACUUUAUAUGUUUAAAAAGGGAAAGUGAUAAUAACUAAAGUAAAUCAAAUUUUAUUUGAUUUUAUAUAGAAUCUAGGUAUGGUAGGGUAGUAUAAUUUUUUAUUGUAUCUUAAAUUUUGAAAAAUAAAAUCUCAAAUUAGGGAUGACAACAAGGUGGGUUUGGAGUUAAUCAACCCUAUCCCAACCUUGCUCUAAUUAUUUAAAUCAAUGUCCAUUCUCAAUAAGAAAAGAAAAAAGAAAAAAAAGAUAUAAACCUUAAUGGAUAAGGUGAAUAGAGAAAUUUCUUUUGUAGAAAUGGAAUAAAAGCUAAGGGUGGUUAUGUCUUGUAUUAUGUAGACACGUCUUACUGAAUUGACUUGGCUCAUUGAAUGAAGGUUUUACUAUUACCAUAUUUGUUAGAAAAUUAAAGCUAAAGAUAACGUAAUCUCUCUUUCUUAUCUUCUAUUUUCUAGACACAUCUUAGUGGAUUGACUUAACACAUCGAAUUAAUAGCACUUGCAUAAUGCAUAAAAACCUAACUUGAUUAAAGUUUUAAACAUAUCAAAACGUAUUUUUAGGGAUGUCAACAAAGUGGUCAUCCACUCUUGACCUACCUUAUUUUCCAAAUACAUUCUCAUCAUUUUUCCAACCACAGAAUGAGGUAGAACGAUGUAGAAAAGUGAAUUCCCAUACAUGCUUGGAUUAAAAAUUCUCUAUUGCAUUAUUUUAAAUUUUAAAUUAUACUAAAAAAAUAUAAUUUAGAAAUAAAAACAUUAUGUUUUUAACAAAAAAUUUUAUGUAUAUUUUAAUAAAAAGUAUAUUUGAAUAUUUACUUUAUAUGUUUAAAAAGGGAAUGUGAUAAUAACUAAAGUAAAUCAAAUUUUAUUUGAUUUUAUAUAGAAUCUAGGUAUGGUAGGGUAGUAUAAUUUUUUAUUGUAUCUUAAAUUUUGAAAAAUAAAAUCUCAAAUUAGGGAUGACAACAAGGUGGGUUUGGAGUUGAUCAACCCUAUCCCAACCUUGCUCUAAUUAUUUAAAUCAAUGUCCAUUCUCAAUAAGAAAAGAAAAAAGAAAAAAAAGAUAUAAACCUUAAUGGAUAAGGUGAAUAGAGAAAUUUCUUUUGUAGAAAUGGAGUAAAAGCUAAGGGUGGUUAUGUCUUGUAUUAUGUAGACACGUCUUAGUGAAUUGACUUGACUCAUUGAAUGAAGGUUUUACUAUUACCAAAUUUGUUAGAAAAUUAAAGCUAAAGAUAGUGUAAUCUCUCUUUCUUAUCUUCUAUUUUCUAGACACAUCUUAGUGGAUUGACUUAACUCAUUGAAUUAACUGCACUUGCAUAAUGCAAUAAAACCGAACUUGAUUAAUGUUUUAAACAUAUGAAAAGGUAUUUUUAGGGAUGUCAACAAAGUGAUCAUCCACUCUUGACCUACUUUAUUUUCCAAAUAUAUUCUCAUCACUUUUCCAACCGUAGAAUGAGGUAGAACAGUGUAGAAUGGUGAAUUCCCAUACAUGCUUGGAUUAAAAAUUCUCAAUUGCAUUAUUUCAAAUUUUCAAUUCUACGAAAAAAAAUAUAAUCUAUAAAUAAAAACAUUAUGUUUUUAACAAAUAAAUUUAUGUAUAUUUUAAUAAAAAUUAUAUUUGAAUAUUUACUUUAUAUGUUAAAAAAGGGAAAAUGAAAAUAACUAAAGUAAAUCAACUUUUAUUUGAUCUUAUAUAGAAUCUAGGUAUUGUAGGGUAGUACAAAUUUUUUAUUGUAUCUUAAAUUUUGAAAAAUAAAAUCUCAAAUUAGGGAUGACAACAAGGUGGGUUUGGAGUCGAUCAACCCUAUCACAACCUUGCCCUGAUUAGUUAAAUCAAUUUCCAUUCCCAAUAAGAAAAGAAAAAAGAAAAAAUAGACAUAAACCUUAAUGGAUAAGGUGAAUGGAGAAAUUUCUUUUCAAGAAAUGGAAUUAAAGCUAAGUGUGCGUAUGUCUUGUAUUUUGUAGACACGUCUUAGUGAAUUGACUUCACUCAAUGAAUGAAGUUUUUACGAUUACCGUAUUUGUUAGAAAAUUAAAGCUAAAGAUAGUGUAGUCUCUCUUUCUUAUCUUCUAUUUUCUAGACACAUCUUAGUGGAUUGACUUAACUCACUGAAUUAACAGCACCUGCAUAAUGCAUAAAAACCUAACUUGAUUAAGGUUUUAAACAUAUGAAAACGUAUUUUUAGGGAUGUCAACAAAGUGGUCAUCCACUCUUGACCUACCAUAUUUUCCACAGACAUUCUCAUCACUUUUCCAAUCGUAGAAUGACGUAGAACGAUAUAGAAAAGUGAAUUCUCAUACAUGCUUGGAUUAAAAACUCUCAAUUGUAUUAUUUUAAAUUUUCAAUUAUACUAAAAAAAUAUAAUUUAUAAAUAAAAACAUUAUGUUUUUAACAAAAAAAUUUUGUAUAUUUUAAUAAAAAGUAGAUUUGAAUAUUUACUUUAAAUGUUUAAAAAGGGAAAAUGAAAAUAACUACAGUAAUCAAAAUUUUAUUUUAUUUUUCAUAGAAUCUAGGUAUGGUAGGGUAGUAUAAUUUUUUAUUGUAUCUUAAAUUUUGAAAAAUAAAAUCUCAAAUUAGGGAUGACAACAAGGUGGGUUUGGAGUCGAUCAACCCUAACCCAACCUUGCCCAGAUUAUUUCAAUCAAUUUCCAUUCCCAAUAAAAAAAAGAAAAAAGAAAAAAAAGAAAUAAACCUUAAUAGAUAAGGUAAAUAGAGAAAUUUCUUUUGUAGAAAUGGAAUUAAUUAAAGCUAAGCAUGGGUAUGUCUUGUAUUUUGUAGACACAUCUUAGUGAAUUGACUUGACUCAUUGAAUGAAGGUUUUAAUAUUACCAAAUUUGUUAGAAAAUUAAACCUAAAGAUAGUGUAAUCUCUCUUUCUUAUCUUCUAUUUUCUAGACACAUCUUAGUGGAUUGACUUAACUCAUCAAAUUAAUUGCACUUGAAUAAUGCAUAAAAACCUAACUUGAUUAAAGUUUUAAACAUAUUAAAACGUAUUUUUAGGGAUGUCAACAAAGUGGUCAUCCACUCUUGACCUACUUUAUUUUCCAAAUACAUUCUCAUCACUUUUCCAACCGUAAAAUGAGGUAGAACGGUGUAGAAAGGUGAAUUCCCAUACAUGCUCGGAUUAAAAAUUCUCAAUUGCAUUAUUUCAAAUUUUCAAUUCUACGAAAAAAAUAUAAUUUAUAAAUAUAAACAUUAUGUUUUUAACAAAUAAAUUUAUGUAUAUUUUAAUAAAAAGUAUAUUUGAAUAUUUACUUUAUAUGUUAAAAAAGGGAAAAUGAACAUAACUAAAGUAAAUAAAAUUUUAUUUGAUUUUAUAUAGAAUCUAGGUAACGUAGGGUAGUAUAAAUUUUCAUUGUAUCUUACAUUUUGAAAAAUAAAAUCUCAAAUUAGGGAUGACAACAAGGUGGGUUUGGAGUCGAUCAACCCUAUCCCAACCUUGCCCGGAUUAUUUAAAUCAAUUUCCAUUCCAAAUAAAAAAAGAAAAAAGGAAAAAAAAAUAGAAAUAAACCUUGAUGGAUAAGGUGAAUAGAGAAAUUUCUUUUGUAGAAAUGGAAUUAAAGCGAAGUGUGGGUAUGUCUUGUAUUUUGUAGACACAUCUUAGUGAAUUGACUUGACUCAUUGAAUGAAGGUUUUACUAUUACCAAAUUUGUUAGAAAAUUAAACCUAAAGAUAGUGUAAUCUCUCUUUCUUAUGUUCUAUUUUCAAGACACAUCUUAGUGGAUUGACUUAACUCAUUGAAUUAACAGCACAUGCAUAAUGCAUAAAAACCUAACUUGAUUAAAGUUUUAAACAUAUGCAAACGUAUUUUUAGGGAUGUCAACAAAGUGGUCAUCCACUCUUGACCUACUUUAUUUUCCAAAUACAUUCUUACCACUUUUCCAACCGCAAAAUGAGGUAGAACGAUGUAGAAUGGUGAAUUCCCAUACAUGCUUGGAUUAAAAAUUCUCUAUUGCAUUAUUUUAAAUUUUAAAUUAUACUAAAAAAAAAUAAUUUAGAAAUAAAAACAUUAUGUUUUUAACAAGAAAUUUUAUGUAUAUUUUAAUAAAAAGUAUAUUUGAAUAUUUACUUUAUAUGUUUAAAAAGGGAAAGUGAUAAUAACUAAAGUAAAUCAAAAUUUAUUUGAUUUUUUAUAGAAUCUAGGUAUGGUAGGGUAGUAUAAUUUUUUAUUGUAUCUUAAAUUUUGAAAAAUAAAAUCUCAAAUUAGGGAUGACAACAAGGUGGGUUUGGAGUUGAUCAACCCUAUCCCAACCUUGCUCUAAUUAUUUAAAUCAAUGUCCAUUCUCAAAAAGAAAAGAAAAAAGAAAAAAAAGAUAUAAACCUUAAUGGAUAAGGUGAAUAGAGAAAUUUCUUUUGUAGAAAUGGAAUAAAAGCUAAGGGUGGUUAUGUCUUGUAUUAUGUAGACACGUCUUAGUGAAUUGACUUGACUCAUUGAAUGAAGGUUUUACUAUUACCAAAUUUGUUAGAAAAUUAAACCUAAGGAUAGUGUAAUCUCUCUUUCUUAUCUUCUAUUUUCUAGACACAUCUUAGUGGAUUGACUUAACUCAUUGAAUUAACUGCACUUGCAUAAUGCAAUAAAACCGAACUUGAUUAAAGUUUUAAACAUAUGAAAAGGUAUUUUUAGGGAUGUCAACAAAGUGGUCAUCCACUCUUGACCUACUUUAUUUUCCAAAUACAUUCUCAUCACUUUUCCAACCGUAAAAUGAGGUAGAACGGUGUAGAAAGGUGAAUUCCCAUACAUGCUCGGAUUAAAAAUUCUCAAUUGCAUUAUUUUAAAUUUUCAAUUCUACGAAAAAAAUAUAAUUUAUAAAUAUAAACAUUAUGUUUUUAACAAAUAAAUUUAUGUAUAUUUUAAUAAAAAGUAUAUUUGAAUAUUUGCUUUAUAUGUUAAAAAAGGGAAAAUGAACAUAACUAAAGUAAAUCAAAUUUUAUUUGAUUUUAUAUAGAAUCUAGGUAACGUAGGGUAGUAUAAAUUUUCAUUGUAUCUUACAUUUUGAAAAAUAAAAUCUCAAUAUUAGGGAUGACAACAAGGUGGGUUUGGAGUCGAUCAACCCUAUCCCAACCUUGCCCGGAUUAUUUAAAUCAAUUUCCAUUCCAAAUAAAAAAAGACAAAAGAAAAAAAAAUAGACAUAAACCUUGAUGGAUAAGGUGAAUAGAGAAAUUUCUUUUGUAGAAAUGGAAUUAAAGCUAAGGGUGGAUAUGUCUUGUAUUUUGUACACAAGUCUUAGUGAAUUGACUUGACUCAUUGAAUGAAGGUUUUACUAUUACCACAUUUGUUAGAAAAUUAAGGCAAAAGAUAGUGUAAUCUCUCUUUCUUAUCUUCUAUUUUCUAGACACAUCUUAGUGGAUUGACUUAACUCAUUGAAUUAACAGCACCUGCAUAAUGCAUAAAAACCUAACUUGAUUAAAGUUUUAUACAUAUGAAAACGUAUUUUUAGGGAUGUCAACAAAGUGGUCAUCCACUCUUGACCUACCUUAUUUUUCAAACACAUUCUCAUCACUUUUCCAACCGCAAAUUGAGGUAGAACGAUGUAGAAUGGUGAAUUCCCAUACAUGCUUGGAUUAAAAAUUCUCUAUUGCAUUAUUUUAAAUUUUAAAUUAUACUAAAAAAAUAUAACUUAGAAAUAAAAACAUUAUGUUUUUAACAAAAAAUUUUAUGUAUAUUUUAAUAAAAAGUAUAUUUGAAUAUUUACUUUAUAUGUUUAAAAAGGGAAAGUGACAAUAACUAAAGUAAAUCAAAUUUUAUUUGAUUUUAUAUAGAAUCUAGGUAUGGUAGGGUAGUAUAAUUUUUUUUUGUAUCUUAAAUUAUGAAAAAUAAAAUCUCAAAUUAGGGAUGACAACAAGGUGGGUUUGGAGUUGAUCAACCCUAUCCCAACCUUGCUCUAAUUAUUUAAAUCAAUGUCCAUUCUCAAUAAGAAAAGAAAAAAGAAAAAAAAGAUAUAAACCUUAAUGGAUAAGGUGAAUAGAGAAAUUUCUUUUGUUGAAAUGGAAUAAAAGCUAAGGGUGGUUAUGUCUUGUAUUAUGUAGACACGUCUUAGUGAAUUGACUUGGCUCAUUGAAUGAAGGUUUUACUAUUACCAUAUUUGUUAGAAAAUUAAAGCUAAAGAUAACGUAAUCUCUCUUUCUUAUCUUCUAUUUUCUAGACACUUCUUAGUGGAUUGACUUAACACAUUGAAUUAAUAGCACUUGCAUAAUGCAUAAAAACCUAACUUGAUUAAAGUUUUAAACAUAUCAAAACGUAUUUUUAGGGAUGUCAACAAAGUGGUCAUCCACUCUUGACCUACCUUAUUUUCCAAAUACAUUCUCAUCAUUUUUCCAACCACAGAAUGAGGUAGAACGAUGUAGAAAAGUGAAUUCCCAUACAUGCUUGGAUUAAAAAUUCUCUAUUGCAUUAUUUUAAAUUUUAAAUUAUACUAAAAAAAUAUAAUUUAGAAAUAAAAACAUUAUGUUUUUAACAAAAAAUUUUAUGUAUAUUUUAAUAAAAAGUAUAUUUGAAUAUUUACUUUAUAUGUUUAAAAAGGGAAAGUGAUAAUAACUAAAGUAAAUCAAAUUUUAUUUGAUUUUAUAUAGAAUCUAGGUAUGGUAGGGUAGUAUAAUUUUUUAUUGUAUCUUAAAUUUUGAAAAAUAAAAUCUCAAAUUAGGGAUGACAACAAGGUGGGUUUGGAGUCGAUCAACCCUAUCCCAACCUUGCCCUGAUUAUUUAAAUCAAUUUCCUUUCCAUAUAAAAAAAAAAAGCAAAAAAAGAAAAAAAAGAAAUAAACGUUAAUGGAUAAGGUGAAUAGAGAAAUUUCUUUUGUAGAAAUAGAAUUAAAGCUAAGUGUGGGUAUGUCUUGUAUUUUGUAGACAUGUCUUAGUGAAUUGACUUGACUCAUUGAAUGAAGGUUUUACUAUUACCGUAUUUGUUAGAAAAUUAAAGCUAAAGAUAGUGUAAUCUCUCUUUCUUAUCUUCUAUUUUCUAGACACAUCUUAGUGGAUUGACUUAACUCACUGAAUUAACAGCACCUGCAUAAUGCAUAAAAACCUAACUUGAUUAAAGUUUUAAACAUAUGAAAACGAAUUUUUAGGGAUGUCAACAAAGUGGUUGUCCACUCUUUACCUACCUUAUUUUCCACAGACAUUGUCAUCACUUUUCCAAUCGUAGAAUGAGGUAGAACGAUUUAGAAAAGUGAAUUCUCAUACAUGCUUGGAUUAAAAAUUCUCAAUUGCAUUAUUUUAAAUUUUCAAUUAUACUAAAAAAAAUAUAAUUUAUAAAUAAAAACAUUAUGUUUUUAACAAAACAUUUUAUGUAUAUUUUAAUAAAAAGUAGAUUUGAAUAUUUACUUUAUAUGUUUAAAAAAGGAAAAUGAAAAUAACUAAAGUAAAUCAAAUUUUAUUUGAUUUUAUAUAGAAUCUACGUAUGGUAGGGUAGUAUAAAUUUUCAUUGUAUCUUACAUUUUGAAAAAUAAAAUCUCAAAUUAGGGAUGACAACAAGGUGGGUUUGGAGUCGAUCAGCCCUAUCCCAACCUUGCCCGGAUUAUUUAAAUCAAUUUCCAUUCCCAAUAAUAAAGGAAAAAAGAAAUAAACCUUAAUGGAUAAGGUGAAUAGAGACAUUUCUUUUGUAGAAAUGGAAUUAAAGCUAAGGGUGGGUAUGUCUUGUAUUAGGUAGACACGUCUUAGUGAAUUGACUUGACUCAUUGAAUGAAGGUUUUACUAUUACCAUAUUUGUUAGAAAAUUAAAGCUAAAGAUAGUGUAAUCUCUCUUUCUUAUCUUCUAUUUGCUAGACACAUCUUAGUGGAUUGACUUAACUCAUUGAAUUAACAGCACUUGCAUAAUGCAUAAAAACAUAACUUGAUUAAAGUUUUAAACAUAUGAAAACGUAUUUUUAGGGAUAUCAACAAAGUGGUCAUCUACUCUUGACCUACCUUAUUUUCCAAAUACUUUCUCAUCACUUUUCCAACCGCAGAAUGUGGUAGAAUGAAUGUAGAAAAGUUAAUUCCCAUACAUGUUUGGAUUAAAAAUUCUCAAUUGCAUUAUUUUAAAUUUUCAAUUAUGCUAAAAAAAUAUUAUUUAUAAAUAAAAACAUUAUGUUUUUAACAAAAAAAUUUAUGUAUAUUUUAAUAAAAAGUAGAUUUGAAUAUUUACUUUAUAUGUUUCAAAAGGGAAAAUGAAAAUAACUAAAGUAAAUCAAAUUUUAUUUGAUUUUAUAUAGAAUCUAGGUAUGGUAGGGUAGUAUAAUUUUUUUUUAUUGUAUCUUACAUUUUGAAAAAUAGAAUCUCAAUUUAGGGAUGACAACAAGGUGGGUUUGGAGUCGAUCAACCCUAUCCCAACCUUGCCCUGAUUAUUUAAAUCAAUUUCCAUUCCCAAUAAAAAAAAAAGAAAAAAAGAAAAAAAAGAAAGAAAGAAACCUUAAAUGGAUAAGAUGAAUAGGGAAAUUUCUUAUACAUGUAUUCCACUUUAUUUAGUUUAUAUUUUAUUUUUUAUUUCAAAACAAUUAAAGUUUAUAAGUGAAUAAAUGUUAUAAUUUUAUAAAUUAUUCUUAUGGGAUUUUUUUUUAAUUAUUUUAGAUGUAUUGAAAUGGAUAGCAAAAAAAAUUGAAUUAUUAUUUAGUUAAUUAUAUGUAUAAUUGGGGUAGAGCAAGAUAAGAGAAGGCAAUACCCAAACCCAUUCUAAAUCAAACCUAGGUUUUUUUCUUUUUACAAAAUAAAUAAAAAUCUAUGCUCAUCCCUAUCUUGUUUGUGUUUCUUUCAAACUCAUCCCAUAAGGGACAAGGCAAGGAGCAAGAAAAAUUUGUCCCAUUGCCAUCUCUAUCUCAAAUCCUCUAAGAUACAAUUAUGCCUUCUUCAAGGCUAUCUUUCCUCUUUGUACACCAGCCUCAUUUGAAAAGAAACAAAGAAAAGUAGGUGUAAAGGGAAGAAAUGUGGGUACAAUUAUAAUUGUCUUUAUGGUAAACAUAAAUAUUUGCUCACAAUUUCUAAACACGUUGAAUCAAUCAGUUCCUUUUCAUUCCAUUUCUUCGAAAUCUUGUAAACAUUUUAAUAGAAUUUAUUGUUCUCAACUUUUAUUCAUUUUAUCUCAUUUCUUUUCUAUUUUAAUUUUUUCCUUCAAUUUCCUAUAAAAAAAAUAUUAAUAAUCAUGUCAUAAUUAAGUUUGUUUGAAAUUAAAGUAAUGAUGCAAUCAAUUUUUUUCCCCCUAGUUUAUGAAGAUGUCUCAAUUAAUGUGUUUUUCCUUGUAAAGAAGUUUGAACCAUAACUUAAAAUAAGAGAUCAAAGAUUUGUAAUUAUUUUUAGUCAAUAAAAGUGGAAAGCUAAAAAGCCCUCAUUCACACACCUUUAAUGACUUGUCAAUUCAUAAAACAUCUUUCUUCCUUAUUUGUCAUUAAUUAUUAAUUAAAUUUGAUUUUGGAUCAAGAUGUGUUAAUGAAUUUACAUAAGCUGAGCUUAAAGCCAUCAUGCAUAAGAAAAUGAAACAUUUGUAAUUAAUAAAAUUGGAGAUUUUCUACAAUUUCAAUUAACUUAACAAAAGUGAUUUGAAAAUAUAGUUGUACAGAAUUGCUAGCAAAUCCUUCAACACUAUUAAUAUAAGAAGCCAAAUCCUUCAAUACUCAUUAUGCCAUUGAGAUGGAUGUCAUUUAAACACAAUGAUGUUAUUAUUUAACACUUUUAUGGGGGUAGUAUGUUAAACAUUUAUAUUUCAUUUCAUUUCAUUUUUGUUCUGACAAGGGUGAUACUAAUUGUACCCAUCUUUUCUAUUUGUAUGCUCAACCUCAUUUGAAAAGAAACAAAGAAAAGUAGGUGGGUACAAUUAUUAUUUUCUUUAUGGUAAACAUAAAUACUUGUAGAAUAGUGGCCUUCGAGGUAAUGAGGGAAAAGUCCUUACUUGCGGACUUUGAGGAGUGAUGGAAAAGUCCUCCCUCUAUUCCUUGCGGAAUAGCAGACUUUUUGAGGUGUAAGGAGAGUUUGAAGAAGUUAAGGCCUUACUCUAUUCUUACCCUUCAGUAAGGAAUAAUGACCUUAAUUUUUUUGUUUUUUUUUUUUGGGUCAAAGCCUGACUCUAUUCUUGCCCUUUAGUUAGGAAUAGCAGACUUUGGUUAUUAGGGAGAGGCCUUACUUUAUUCCCUUCAGGAAUAGCAACCUUCAAGGAAGAGAAGUUGUAGUUCACAAUUUCUUACCACAUUGAAUGAAUCGAUUCUUUUUCAUUCCAUUUCCUCAUAAUCUUGUAAAUAUUUUAAUAUAAUUUUUUGUUCUCAUUUUUUAUUCAUUCUAUCCCAUUUCUUUUCUAUUUUAAUUUAUUCUUUCAUUUCCUAUUAAAAAAAAAUUAAUAAUCAGGUCAUAAGUUAGUUAGAAACUAAAGUAAUGAUAUAAUCAACUUCUUUUUUUUCCCUAGUUUGUGGAGAUGUCUUGAUUAAUUUAUUCUUUAUUGACUUGUCAAUUCAUAGAACAUUUUUCUUCCUCAUUUGUCAUUAAUUAUUAAUUAAAUUUGAUUUUGGAUCAAGAUAUGUUAAUGAAUUUACAUAAGUUGAGAUUAAGGAAUCAUAUCAAAGAUUGGAGAAAUUUUCAUUAAUUAUUAAUUAAUAAAAUUAGAGAUUUGCUAGAAUUUCAAUUAACUUAAACAAAAGUGAUUUGAAAAAACAGUUUUUAUAAGAACUUAUAACAUUUAAAAGAAAAAACAGUUUAAUUCAAGAACUUUUAUGUAACUUUUAAUAGUGCUGAAAAGAACUCCCGAAUAUUCAAAAUUUGGGUUCUAAAGAAAUCAAGGGUAGUGAAAACUGAAAAGCUACUAUCUCAGCUGUUGGAGGCCUUCCAACUGUGCAAAACCCAAAGGUAAAAACGACGUCAUUUUCUCAAACUGGGACGACACCGUUUUGGGUUAGGACGCAGUGAAAUAAGAUUGAAUUCACAGUCGUUUCUCAGUCUUUCAUUAUUUGCCGCUUUUUCCAGUUGCCGGAAACCACAAAGCUUCACGGACUGAGUGAUAUAAGAAUUUCAAUUAACUUAAACAAAAGUGAUUUCAAAAAACAGUUUUUAAUACAAAAAUUAUGAAUUUCACUCUUCAAUAAAUAAAAGUGGAAGGAAUCUUGGUAUUGCGUUCAUAUGGUAGACUCAAACAGAUACUAUAUAUAUGUGAGUGCUUGGUCUCCUCAGAAUUCAUAAGAAAAAAACAGCAGUUGCAAAGCCUCUCUUCUAUUACUUGCAGACCAUGGCAGGACGGUCCUUUCAACACCUUCUUAGCUUUCUUAUGCUUUUGCUGCUAUGUGCCAAACCUGGCCUGGGGAAUGUUACUGGGUGCAUAGAGAGGGAGAGACAAGCUCUCCUUCACUUCAAACGUGGCCUUGUCGAUGAAUUUGGCCUUCUUUCCUCUUGGGGAGACGACAACAGAGAUUGUUGCCAAUGGAGAGGAGUCCAGUGUAGUAACCAGUCUGGUCACAUCAUCAUGCUUCAUCUUCCUGCCCCGCCAAAUGAAGAAUAUGGUGAAUUUGUUAUUUACCAAUCUCUUAGAGGCGAUAUAAGUCCUUCGCUGCUUGAAUUGGAGCACUUGACUCAUUUGGAUCUCAGCUGUAAUGAUUUUGAAGAGAGGCACAUACCUCCAUUCCUUGGUUCCCUCAGCAGAAUGCAGUACCUCAAUCUCUCUCAUGCAUAUUUCGCUCAAACUGUUCCCACUCAACUGGGAAAUCUUUCCAACUUGCUUUCCCUUGAUCUCAGCAAUAAUUAUUUGAAGUUUGGGAACCUUGAGUGGCUUUCUCGUCUUUCUUCUUUAAGACACCUUGACCUAAGUUCUGUCGACCUUAGUAAAGCCAUCCACUGGUCCCAAGCAAUUAAUAAACUCCCUUCUCUCAAUUCACUUGGAUUUACAAAGUUGUGGUCUCCCUCCCAUCCCUCCACUCACCAUUCCGUCUCUUUCCCAUGGGAAUUCCUCUGUCCCUCUUGUUUUCCUUGAUCUCUCUUUUAACCAUCUCACUUCUUCAAUAUACCCAUGGCUGCUCAACUUUAGUACCACCCUCCUUCAUCUUGAUCUCUCUUUGACUGAUUUAAAUGGUUCGAUUCCGGAAUAUGCUUUUGGGAACAUGAGUUCCCUUGAAUAUCUUGAUCUCUCUUCGAAUCAACUGCAGGGCUCAAUUCCAGAUACAGUUGGGAAGAUGGUUUUACUUUCCCAUCUUGAUCUCUCUUUCAAUCAACUGCAGGGCUCAAUUCCAGAUACAGUUAGGAAGAUGGUUUUACUUUCACAUCUUGAUCUCUCUGUCAAUCAACUGCAGGGCUCAAUUCCAGAUACAGUUGGGAAGAUGGUUUUACUUUCACAUCUUGAUCUCGUUGUCAAUCAACUGCAGGGCUCAAUUCCAGAUACAGUUGGGAAAAUGGUUUUACUUUCACAUCUUUUUCUAUCUUACAAUCAACUGCAGGGCUCAAUUCCAGAUACAGUUGGGAAUAUGGUUUUACUUUCACAUCUUGAUCUCUCUAGCAAUCAACUGCGGGGCUCAAUUCCAGAUACAGUUGGGAAUAUGGUUUUACUUUCACAUCUUGAUCUCUCUCGCAAUCAAUUGCAGGGCUCCAUUCCAUAUACAGUUGGGAACAUGGUUUCUCUUGAAAACCUUUAUCUCUCUCAGAAUCAUCUUCAAGGUGAGAUUCCAAAAUCCUUGAGUAAUUUAUGUAACUUACAAGCAUUAAAGUUGGAUAGAAACAAUCUCUCUGGACAGCUUGCACCAGACUUUGUGGCCUGUGCAAAUGACACAUUAAAGACUCUGUCUUUAUCAGAUAACCAGUUCAAUGGAUCAGUUCCUGCUCUUAUUGGAUUUUCAUCCUUAUGAGAGUUACAUCUUGAUUUUAAUCAACUAAAUGGAACUUUACCUGAAAGUGUUGGACAGCUGGCCAAACUUGAAUCCUUGGAUAUUGCCUCAAAUUCAUUGCAAGGCACUAUCUCUGAAGCCCAUCUCUUUAAUCUAUCCCAGUUGUCCUAUUUAAACUUAUCUCCCAACUCUCUCACUUUCAACAUGAGCUUGGAGUGGGUUCCUCCAUUUCAACUGUUUGAUCUACUAUCAGCCUCCUGCAAAUUGGGACCUCAUUUUCCUAGUUGGCUUCGUACUCAAAACCGGUUGAGUGAGCUUGAUAUCUCCAAUUCUGAAAUUUCAGAUGUCCUCCCAGACUGGUUUUGGAAUGUAACCUCAACUGUCAAUACCUUGAGUAUUUCCAACAAUCGGAUCAAAGGAACCUUACCCAAUUUAUCAUCAACAUUUGAACGUUUUUCUAACAUAGAUAUGAGCUCAAACUGUUUUGAGGGUUCAAUACCACAACUUCCUUAUGAUGUGCAAUGGUUGGAUCUCUCCAAUAACAAGUUAUCGAGGUCCAUUUCUUUAUUAUGUACAGUUGGUACUGAGUUACUUCUACUUGACCUCUCAAACAACUCGUUGUCGGGAGGGCUGCCCAAUUGUUGGGCGCAGUGGAAAAGCUUGGCAGUCCUUAAUUUGGAAAAUAACAGAUUUUCUGGGCAAAUUCCAAAUUCAUUUGGCUCCUUGCGAUCAAUUCGAACACUACAUUUGCGCAACAACAAUUUAACUGGAGAAUUGCCUUUGUCUUUUAAGAAUUGUACAAGUUUGAGGUUCAUUGAUUUGGCAAAAAAUAGGUUAUCAGGAAAAAUACCAGAAUGGAUUGGAGGAAGCCUCCCAAAUCUGAUUGUUCUAAACCUAGGAUCUAAUAGAUUCAGUGGAGGUAUAUCUCCAAAGCUAUGCCAAUUGAAAAAUAUUCAAAUAUUGGACCUCUCUAGCAACAAUAUGUUAGGUGUUGUACCGAGAUGUGUUGGUAGUUUCAUUGCCAUGACUAAGAAAGGGAGCUUGGUCAUUGCUCAUAAUUAUUCAUUUACAGACUAUGAUAAUUGUAGUUAUUUCAAUUGCAUGCCUACAAAUGCCUCUUAUGUUGAUAGGGCAUUGGUUAAAUGGAAAGCAAGAGAAUUUGAUUUUAAAAGUACCCUUGGGCUUGUAAAGAGUAUUGACCUUUCAAGCAACAAACUAUCGGGGGAAAUUCCAGAAGAAGUAAUUGAUCUUGUAGAAUUAGUUUCAUUAAACUUAUCAAGGAACAAUUUGACUAGACUGAUUCCUGCAAGAAUUGGUCAAUUGAAAUCAUUGGAGGUUCUUGAUUUGUCUCGAAAUCAACUCUUUGGUGAAAUUCCAGCUAGCCUUGUUGAAAUAAGUGAUCUAAGUGUCUUAGAUCUCUCUGACAACAACUUGUCCGGUAAAAUUCCACAAGGUACUCAACUUUAAAGCUUCAAUAUUGAUUCCUACAAGGGAAAUCUUGCACUCUGUGGAUUGCCUCUUCUGAAAAAGUGUUCUGAAGUUAAAAUAAAGCAGGAUUCUCCCACUCAUAACAUUGAAGACAAAAUUCAGCAAGAUGGAAAUGACAUGUGGUUUUAUGUUAGCGUUGCUCUUGGAUUCAUUGUUGGAUUUUGGGGAGUGUGUGGAACUUUACUACUCAACAACUCCUGGAGAUAUGCCUAUUUCCAAUUCUUGAAUAAAAUAAAAGAUUGGCUCUACGUGAUUAUAGCAAUAAAUAUGGCUAGAUUACAAAGGAGUCUCCAAAGCUAAAUGGUACAAUUCUCUCCCUCUUUCCCUCUUUUUCAUUUGUACUUGUUUUUGAAGGCUAACAAUUGUCAAAGAAAAGUAGGCCUUUACAUAUCCUUGGGAUAUACUUUAUAAAUCAUGAAUGCUAAUGCAAAUUUUCUUUGCAUGCAACUAAUUGAAGGGAUUUUUUCAAAUUGAUGAACACUGAUUUUUACUUUGUGUUAAUUAUAGGACUGCAACUCUUGUUCUUGCCAUAUUAGCAUGGUUGAAUGCAAAUCGUUGUGUCCUUCCUUCUGUGAUUGAUCUUGGGAUGUAAUAGGUUUCUUGUUUUAUUUUAAGGAUUUCUUAUGUUCUUUAAAUGCAUAUUUUAUAUUAUAUUCAGAAAUUUCUGUGACAUAUUAUCUCUUUUCUUCCUUACAUAAUGCUUUUAUUUGGUAUUUUGGAUACUUUAUGAUUCAUCCAAACAAUAUUAUAGAAGGAUAUCAAAGGUAUAUUAGAGUCCAGCUUUCUAAUUUUAAAAAUAUUUCUUUAGCUCUAAAACUAAUUUGUAUUCAUUAAAAUUAAAACAAAAAUAAAGGAUAAUGCCAUUUGGUUAUGUAUGACAUAAGUUUUCAACCAAUUAUUAAUAAUCAAAUCAUAAUUUCAACACUAAAGAAAAAAGAAUUUUUUUUUCACAAGUUAUUAAUGAUCUGUUUCUCUCUUUCUAAAAAAAACUAAAUUACUCUAAUAAAUGGGAAACUCUUUCUUUCUUGUCAUCAAAGCUUUUUCACUUGAAGUUGUCUCACAUGCAGAUAAUUUUUGUGAAAUAUUUUGUUUUCAUCAAUUUUAUAGAAUAUUAAGUCUAACUUCUUUUCUUAAUAAAAGGUUUUUUUUAAGCAAUUAAAAAAAUCUCGUGUUAUUUUCUCUAUUUUAACAUAUUUCAACUCUAGGAUGACUAAAAUAUGAUUGAAAAAUAUAAAAUAAGAGAGAAUAAUUAUAUUCUAUAAAAGCCAUUAAGAAUCAAGUCCUAUCAAGUUUUUAAAGUGGUAAAAAUGAAAACUUUUAUAUUACCAUUCUUUUAUAAGUUUUUGUAUUUAUUAGUUUUUAUUUAUUUCUCUAUGAUAAAAUCUUUUAUCUAAAAUAUUUUUCAAUAAUUCUUUAUUAUGAUUUUUUAAAUUUAAAAAUAGAAAAGACUCUAAUUCUUAUUAAAAAUAUUAUUUAUAUUAAUAUUUUCUUCUAAGCUCUUUCUAUUGGAACAAGUAGUGACUAUGUAGACCCCUCAUUUUGGUUCUAGAGGAGACUUAAUUCUUUCUGGUUACCUUUCGUUCUGUUUUCGCCUUUUGGAAGGUGAGUUGUAAAAGACAGGUGGCAAAAGAGGAUAUUCUGGUGGCAGACUGUGAGGGUAAGACAUGUGGCAGUGAGGUUUUGGUUUUUCUGCUAGUCAUUUUAGAGUGAGUAGUGGAGUGUCUUGGUAGUAGGAAGAGCCGGGGGGUUGUUAGAGGGUAGUAGAAAAUGUCCUUUGCAGGGAUGACACGUAUUAGAGGGGAUAUAUUUUGGGUUAUUUGGUUAAAGGUGCCAAAACAAGCUGGUAUUUGGAAAAAUGACCUCUACCUUUUUAAAACCUGAAGAAUGACCCCUUUUGGACUAAAUUACCCCUGAAAAAAAUUAAAGAGAAACCUUUGAAAUUCAAAAGUGCAGAAAGAAAGAUAGAGAACUAACUAAGGGUUCUCUUUUGAAUGGUAGACUGCAACACACUCUUUGGUCUUCUAAUAUUUUUUUUUGUUUUUUUGUUUUUUUGCAAAUUUUCGUAUUACUGCUGAUUAUUUGUCUAAAAGGAUUCUAAAAGGUUAUUCAUUUGAUUAAAGUGUGAAUUUUUUUUUUCUCCAGUUUUUGAAAAAAUGCGGGAAAGGAAGAGAACGAAAUGAAGUGGAAGAGAACCAAAAAGGAUCUUGAAAAGUAAGUUUAUUACUUUGAAAUAGUUUUUUUUUUUAGAUUUUUCUCUUGUUGAUUUCACAUAUUCGCUUGAGGUGUGUAUUUUCUUUCUGCAUUGUUUCAGAAAAAAUAUGGGAGAAAGUAAUGGUUUAUACGUUCACUUUUUGUUAAGCAUAAAUAUAAGGGUUUUUCUUAAAUUUGUUAGCUUAUUCCUCUUUGAUCUUGAACUCUUAAAACACAUUGGUCUACCAAAGAAGAUAUCUAGUUGAAUUGAAAAAAAAAGUCUUUAAUUAGAUUUCUUAGCUAUUUUAUUUUGAUGUUUUGCUCUAGUUGUUAAGAUUUUGAAGCAUGGUGUUGUGACAAAUGCUUUGUUUCUAUAGUGUAGAAAAGUGACAAAUGUGUUUACCAAUUUGGUCUUCUAAAGAGUUGAAUCAUAAUAAGAGAAAUAGAAUUUGCCCCCAUUUUGAUAUCUCCUCCCUAGUGAUUAGAAGAAACAUUUCAUUUGUCCCAUAGGAAAAUGAAUUUGUUUCCUUAAACCCCCAAGUGGAGACAUUGAAGGUGUUGCUAAAGUCUUUUUUCAUAAGCAGUGUUGGAAGAAUGGUUUCGAUUUCUUUUCCAAAAUUCAAAACCCUUCUUUUAGAGUAGUUUUGGCCUUUAUCAUAAAGUGAAAACAACACUUCUUCUAUGAUUCAUGUCAAUUAUUCUCCUUUUGUGUUGCUUAACUUUUAAGUAAUGGAACCAAUAUGAUAUACAUGAAUAGUGUGAAACCAAGGUUUGGUUAAUCUUGAUUUUGAUGAUAACAAAACAAGGUUUAGAACUAAUGAUCAUAUUUCAAGUGUGAUUAGGCAAGACAACUUCCAAAGUGGUAAUCCAAAGACAAAUCAAGCCAAGGAGAAAUCAUGAAGAAGAAGACCACCUCAAAGAGAAGAGUUUUUCAAGACCAAAGCUUCUUAAGAUCUCUUUGUAAGGUUGUUGGUGCACUAGGACUUUCAUGUAUUUCAUUCUUUAUUUAUGCACCAAAAUCAUCCAAGAGUAAUAUUGUUUUAAAUAUCUUAAGAAUUGGAUGAUUUCAUGUUUUUUUAACUAAAACCUUGUGUUAAAUGAUUUUCAAACUUGUGUUAAAAGGUUUUAAGUUGAAAAAGGUUGAGUGUUGAGCCAAAAAAAAUGGCUCAACCGGUUCAACCGGUUGUGCUCGUCCGGUCGAGGACCGGUUGUGCUUCUCCGGUCGAGGACCGGUUGAGGGAGGCGAAAAAGUUUCUCUCUCUCUCAGUGGCCUUCUCUUCCCAGUCAAGGUUGAACCUUAACCGCUUGAGGUCCGGUCGAGGUCCGGUUGAGGCCUAACGGUCACUUUUCCUAACGGCUAGUCAACCGGUCAAACCCCCAACAGCUAGUUUGGCUUUUUUCUUCUAUAAAAAGACUCCAAUCUUCAUUGUUUCAUAAGCUUAACCUUCCCAAUUCAUUCUUGAUUAUAUUUGAGCCUUGGAAGAGUGUUUUUUGAGUGCACCAUUGUUUCAUAACUUGCAUAUCUUUAGUGCACCAUUAAAUCCUAGUUUUUUUUGUAUCUUUGAGCCUAAAGUUCUAUUACUAGGAUUUUGAGAGAUCAUUAUUUGUAUGUCUUUGUGAGGAAUUUUCUCAAGUGCGAGGUAUCACUUGAGGGGUUGUUCAAGAGUGGGAUAUCUCUUGAGAAGUGUAAAGGGUGCUUGGAGCCAAAAGUCCAAGAGGGUGAAUUGGAACCAUAAUCCAAUUGUAAAGAGAUUAGAAGCUUGGUUGAAGCUUCAAGAUAGUGGAACCCUCACUCGGUUAGGAGGUUGAGGAGAGUGGAUGUAGGCAAAGAAGUGCCGAACCACUAUAAACUCUCGUGUUUGCACUCUCUCUUCCCUAACUCUUUUAAAUUAUAUGCAAUUGUAUUUAUUUUGUUUAUUAUAUACUUGCAUAUAAUUGUUUCUUAUUUUUGCAUAGUUUAAAUUUGUGAAAAAGAGACCAUCACCCUAUUUACCCCCCCUCUAGGGUGAUUACCAUAGUUUGGAGUAGCCCUAUUUUUCUAACAAAUAGUCAUUCUUUUCUAUUAAUGACAAAAUUGGAGAUCAUUGUAGUCUUUGCCAAUUGGGUGUCUAGUUUUUUAGAAAUUUAGGGGAAAAAUUUGUGCCUAUUUGUAGUUCUUUUCCCAAGGGAUAGAAAGGUGGUUUAACUGAAAAUCUCAAUUUUCAUCAAACUAUUUGCAUCCCUUGCCUAUCUAUAGUCUCGAUUUCACUUGUAUAUAUUGAGAAGAAAAUCACUACUCUCCCUUAGAGGUAAACCAACAUUAAGAAGCACCCCAUCAAGGUCUAAACCCAGUUUGCUUUUACUAGAUCAUAAGUGACAUUUGCUAAAUUUGGGACCCAGUUGGUCCUACAAUGCAAACCACAACAUUGAAAUAGUAAUCUCUAACAAAAGUCAUGACAAAGAACAAUCCCAACUGAGGGCUGAAAUAUUACUCACAACUAAAAUAUUGAGUGAGAUGAUGCAUAUGCAUAGCUAGAAUACUUCUGCCAUAUGCUUUCUAUAAGUAAGGAUAGUCCUUUAGAACUUCACUUAUAUCUAGAUAUAGAUGCAAGGAAAAGCAAUAUGACAUGGAGUCAUGAUUAGUUCUUAAAAUUUAGGCAUGAAUAACCAAAGUGUUUGAACUCUUUAGAAAAUCAUGUGCAUUAUGCAAUCUCUUUAAUCAAUAAAAGAUUUAAAAGAAUUGAAUGAAAAAUGUAGUGUAAGUUUUAUCAAAAUGCAAAUUUCUAAAACUUGUUUCUAAGGUGAUGUAAAAUAAUGUUAUACAAUGGUCUUUAUUUUUUCUCUCUUUUAUAUAAAUAUACAUAUAUACUUAGUAUAAACUUAUGGAUUUUAAUAAGUAAAUUCAUGAUUUUAAUAAGUGGUCUAAGUGUCUUAGAUCUCUUUGACAACAACUUGUUCAAUAAAAUUCCACAAGGUACUCAACUUCAAAGCUUCAAUAUUGAUUCCUACAAGGGAAAUCCUGCACUCUAUGGAUUACCUCUUUCGAAAAAGUGUUCUGAAGAUAAAAUAAAGCAAGAUUCUCCCACUCAUAACAUUGAAGAAAAAAUUCAGCAAUAUGGAAAUGACACGUGGUUUUAUGUUAGCGUUGCUCUUGGAUUCAUUGUUGGAUUUGGGGAGUGUGUGGAACUUUACUACUCAACAACUCAUGGAGAUAUGCCUAUUUCCAAUUCUUGAAUAAAAUAAAAGAUUGGCUCUACGUGAUUAUAGCAAUAAAUAUGGCUAGAUUACAAAGGAGUCUUCAAAGCUAAAUGGUACAAUUCUCUCCCUCUCUCCCUCCCUUUCAUUUGUACUUGUUUUUGAAGGCUAACAAUUGUCAAAGAAAAGUAGGCCUUUACAUAUCCUUGGGAUAUACUUUGUAAAUCAUGAAUGCUAAUGCAAAUUUUCUUUCCAUGCAACUUACUAAAGAGAUUUUUUCAAAUUGAUGAACACUGAUUUUUACUUUGUGUUAAUUGCAGGACUUCAACUCUUGUUCUUGCCAUAUUAGCAUGGUUGAAUGCAAAUCGCCGUGUCCUUCAUUCUAUGAUUGAUUUUGGGAUGUAAUAGGUUUCUUGUUUUAUUUUGAUGAUUAUCUAUGUUCUUUAUAUGUCUAUUUUGUCCUUUAUUCAGAAAUUUGUGUAACGUAUUAUCUCUUUUCUUCCUUACACAAUGCUUUUAUUUGGUAUUUGGAUACUUUAUGAUUCAUCCAAACAAUAUUAUAGAAGUAUAUCAAAGGUAUAUUAGAGUCCGACUUUCUAAUUUUAAAAAUAUUUCUUUAGUUUAUUCAUUAAUUUUUUUUUUAAAAAGGAUAAUUGGUUAUGUAUGACAUAAGUUUUCAACCAAUUAUUAAUAAUCAAAUCACAAUUUCAACACUUAAGAAAAAAGAAAUUUUAAUCGCAAGUUAUUAAUGAUCUGUUUCUCUCUUUCUAAAAAAAUUAAAUUACUUUAAUAAAUGGGAAACUCUUACUUUCUUGUUGUCAAAGCUUUUUCACUUGAAGUUGUCUCACAUGCAGAUAAUUUUUGUGGAAUAUUUUGUUUUCAUCCAUUUUUUGCUUGUCUCAAGUUAACUUCGUUUUCUUCUUAGUGGUUGAUUUUAUGGAUCCAUCACUAAAUCUGAUUAUUAAAGAUCAUGCCCCAACUUUCUUUUGAUUCCACCCUAGUGUAGCUCAUUGACAAUCCAUGAAAUAGGGCUAAGAUUCAUUGAUGUUUCGUUUAUUUGUUCGUUUGUGCUUUGCCCCUGUUUUGUUCUUCCCUAUAUUCCUCUAUUUCUGGUGUCUCUGGGUGAGGAUACAAUAACUUUGGUCAGACAGUCUUUGAGAAGUAUACAGAUUCCUGGUAUCAUCACCAUUUUGUUGGCGUGUUGGAGAAGUAUUGCAUUGGACCAGGAUGAGAAGGUAAGAAACUUCCAGCUUCGGAGCAAUACCUUUGCUUUCUUACUGAUUUCCAAAGCUGGGACUGGAAAUCUGAUCACUAAAAAGAAUAGUGAGCAUUUCGGGUUGAAUGAGGGUCCUUCGAGAGUCUACGGAUGAUGGCCACUUGAUUUUGGAGUUGGGGAACGAAUUUUCUCACUACCGAUGAUAUGAGUGUCAUACUAGUUGCAAAACUGAAGAGAAGAUUGGGAUGUGAAAUGUGGGCAAAAUUACAUUUGACUGGCAUGCAUGUUGACUAGGGUAUCAAGUUCCACUGGAGAUCAGGUAGAGGCAAUGGCCUUUCUAGGGGGUUUUAGACAUAAAAUGUGCUUUAAUGGCAUGAGAAUUUCUGGGUCCCUUUCAUCUAGUACUGUUCAUUUGUUAAUUUGGAGACCCAUUUUUGGUUUUGUUGAGGGUUCUGAGUUGAAGCUGGCCUGUGUUCAUGUGCAAAGCUAUCUUAUAUUUGUUUUGUUGAUAGAAUGUUAAAAUCAUUAAGAGUGAUAGUUUACGCCGAGCCACAUUGUUCAGAAAGGAGAAGUGGUUUUGAAGGAAUCAAUCCCAUGAAGUAGUUGCCUCCAACAAAGAUUUGGGCAUUUUGCAUGAAUAUAGAGUGGUGAUAAUUGAAGGAGUCUGGGGCUCUGAGCAUUGACACUUGAAGAAUGGCUUCAACAGGGCCACCAGACUUUAAAGAGAUUGAAUUCCUCGUUAACAAGAGAGGGAAUCCAGCUGAUUAUCACCCAUCUUGGUACUGGAAAUGAAAUGGGCUGUUCCUGUGCCUACACGUCUUAUAAAGGGAAAACCAUAUUGUUUGACUCUGGAAUUCUUCCCACAUACACAGGCACGGUUGCUUUGCCAUACUUUGACGAGAUUGAUCUUUCAACCAUUGAUGUCCUUUUGGUGAUACCCUUUCACUUGGAUCAUGCUGCAUCCCUUCCAUAUUACCUGGGAGAAGACAUUUCUGUGCAUUCAGACAGUAACAUGAAAGCUCGGUUCCUGAAACAGCACUUGCAGCUGCAAUCAAUCAAGCUCUUUCCCACCCAAGCCCUUGGUGCAUGUGACUUCUUCUGCAUGGCCAACCAAAGUUUCUACAAAGCCCUCCAUCAAAAUCCUUCCUCUAUCCAAUCCAAAUCCCAAGCCAAACAACUCCGUGCCUAAAACCUGAAGACAAACUCACUAUCUCCCCAAUCUUCAUACCCACCAAAUUCAUCAUGACAUACCCACCACCAUCAGUUUGUUUCCCAUCACAAUACUCAACACAAUCACUCCUCACACCCUCUACCUUCAACUUCAAACCCAUCAUACUCUCUCCAUGAUCCUCACUUUCCUUUCUCUCCCUAACAUGCUCUUCAGACGGUAACCAUAAAUCAACCAGAAGCAGCUCCUGGGUGGGCCCUAGUGGGCUAACCUCUCUCAUCCGGUUUCUCAUCAUUGCCCAAGACGACCUUGACAUACCAGUAGCCACAGUUCAGCUAGUAGAUGCGUCCAUGUGUGACGUUACUUCCACUCAGCAUGAAGAGAAGUCCUAUAGUUUAUUGCAUCCAGUCAUCACAAUUCUUGAUGGAAAAGAACGAGAUAUUGCUUGUCUUGUUACUAAAGUCGAGGAUUUAAUAUUGGAAGAUAACAAUAUGAAGUUUAGGCUAAAAUGGAUGAUUCUAUACUGGUUUUCGUACCCGUUUAUUCAUCCAAAGACGAUAAGCUACAUGUGUGAAGACAUUGGAAUCAUCUCAAGAUCCCAAAAUAGUCUCCAUGCUAAUGGCAGUAGCAGAGCCAGUGGAGCCAUGGAACCUCAAGCCUCUAGGAGCAUAGGACUGUCGGAGGAAAAUUCGAUGAGAAGAAGCACAAGGUUGGAUGCCGCCUUCAACUGAGCAUGUAAUGCUAUUUAGUUCUUCUCAUUCUCAGCACCCAAAAAGCUAGAAGGACGAUUUGAGGUGACUCAAGUUCAACAAGCUGUGAGCCUAGGAAUGGCCCCACGUGCAUGAAGUUUCGCACCACCCAAGAGCACGUGGCCCUUUUGAAUCCGACAGUGUUCUUGUUUAUAAUAGUGAAAUAUUUGGAGGAAUUCAUGUUGGCAGCAACUAUAGAUGCUCAGAACUCAAUCUGGACACAACUAUAUUACUCAUAAACCUAUUGCUAAGAAAGUAAUAAUGGAAUACUGAAAAUGGCUUGCCAACCUCUGAUAAGCAACUUCUGGUAAUCAUAAAGAAGACGAGAUACGGAAUGGAAAUCAAAUCAUGGUGCCCGAGCCUUUGGGAAACUCCUCAUUACCAAAGGAGAGAGAACCUGUUAUUGAUGCCGAUAAGCUUUCUGUCACCAAUAUAUCACCAUCGGGAUGCUUGGCAAACCUCCUUGAAGACCACUCUGGUAGAAUUGAUGCUCUCAUAGUUAAACUUCCAAAGUGGGUUGCUACAUCUGCACUCAAUCAGUUCAUGUUGUUAAAGGCUGAUAAGCUUGACAAGGCAGAAGCUCCUCAAUUGCCUAUAUGGCCCCAUCAUGCAUUCCCACAAGUUGACACAAAUCCAUGGUGGUGCUUAAGGAUCAGAAUCAGACAUAGCUUAGGCACGCUGAAGAUUGCUAGAUGAGAAGCAGUAUCCAAGCAUGGUGAUUGGUUUAGAGGCCCAUCUACCAAAAAUCUGAAGACUAAAUGUUUGGGAAGGAUUAAGUUGAGGUAGGCCUACAGUCAAAAAGCUGAAAAGCAACAGAAAACAGGUUGUGAUUGCUUCGGGGAGUGAUUGGGGCAUUUAAGCAAAGAUUCCCUACUAUCCUGAUGAGAAUCAGUAAGGCUGGAAAGACCAUGCUGAUGAAUGUUCUAGAAGAAAGACAAGCUAGAGGUCAUAUUGAAAGGAAACAUUAGAAUAUCUGGGUUCUCCAAGCAGCAUUAAACUUUUGCAAGAAUUUCCAAUUGAGCAGAAUGAUAUCCACUCUCCUCCAGUUACUGUUAUUGAAUCUUUGAUCUACUCAUUUCUUUCCUGGAGCUCAUCUUUUAACUCUUUUAUCUUUGUAAGGAUUUACAUGCUGCCUUAAAUUGAGUUUUCAAAACUUUUCCAUUAAAAUAAUUCCUCUUUUCUAAUUUCAUCCUUAGGAGUUUCUAGGUAAUAAAUUUUAGCUUUCAUAAAAGCUUGCUGCCGUAUUUCACUCCGACAGGCACUUCUUAUCAUCUCCCUUGUCUUUUUUAACAAUUUUCUUGAUUUUUAAUAAGCACGAUUAAAUUCUCUAAUUCUAGAAAAUGGAACUUAUAGAAUUAAUUCCUGCAAAAAUAAUUCGGGUAGUGGUGGGGCUCAACAUACAUGUUAUUCUCUUUUGUGGAUUAAUUCUAAUUGAUAUGCUCAUUGAAUAUUGACUGACUUUGUGUGACAUACAUGUGAUUAAUUCCAUGAUAGCACAUUAUUGAUUCGCUGCUCAGGUACACAUCCUAUCUUUUCCCAUCUGUUUGAUCACUAUCCAUUGAGUACUUUGACUAUAGUAUGUCUUUGAUCACUAUUUGGUAUCCACGAUUAAUCGGUUAAUUGUCGUACAUGCCUCAACUUAAUUAGUAGAGACCCAUUUUUAGGGGCUUAGAGGGUUGUUACAACUUAUCACCAUACCUUCUAGAUAGGUAACCUAACCCUCGGACCUAACCCGGUUUUUCCAAAAACUAUUAUUUCUUUUAAGAGUCACACUUAGGGUUUUUCUUUCUUAUUUUGUUUUUCCCUUAAAAAAUUAAACAAAAAUAAAUAACAACUCUUUAAAUAAUUUUCAAAAAAAUCAAAUUUUCAAAUAAAAAAUGAGUCUCGCCAUUCGUGUGGGGAUGCAUGAGAAAAAGGCCGGUCCACAGACUGACUUUCUUGUGAAGGCAAAUUGAAAGUGAGGACCAUAGUUUCAAUGGUGCUAACCUCAAUAAAAACCAACCUCAUUAAACCUCGUUGGUAUAGCCACAUAGAGUUACUUUCUAAUUUUCUCAUUUUUUUGGGCUCAAAACUAAUCAACUAACAACUAUUAUCAUAUAAUUAUUUGUUUAUUUAUAAAUAUAUUCUAAUAAUAAAAUAAAAUAUUUGAUUAACAUGUUUGAGAAUACCUAUAAAUAUUUAAAUAGUACCAAUGAUAAUAUCCAUUAAGGAUUAUUAUCUUAAGUUGCUUACUUUAUUUUUGUUAUACACUUAUAAUGACCCACUUGCCAUAAACAAAGCUAUUAAGUUCAAGGUACAUAUAGGUUAUGUUUGGUUCUUAGAAAAUUUGAAAGAAAAUAUAAGGGAAAAAAAAUAGGAGGGAAACGUAAAAGAAAAGAACAAUUGAAGAAAAAAAAAGAAUUUAAAGACAACAAAUUAUUUUUAUAUGACAUUUCAAACUUAUUUAACUUAUUUUAACUCUUCGAUAUAAAGAUAAAAUAAUUUGAAAAUAUAUAAGUUUUUAAUUAAUUUUAAUUAUAUUUGAUUUUUUAGAGGACAACCAAACAUAAGAAAAUCAUUUUUCUAAACAUUUUUUUCUUUUCUUUCCUUAAUACUUCUCAAAAAUCAAACAAAACCAUAACAUAUUUUUUUUAUAAUAAAUCUUUAUUCUUUAUUCAUGCAAAAUUCCUUUACUGACUUGAGCAUAGGAGUUAUAUAUAUAUAUAUAUAUAUAUUAUUAUGAAAAAUACUUGUAAAACAUUAUUAUCAAUUUCCUUGUUAGAAAAGCCAAUAUUUUAUCAUAUUUUAGUUUUCAUUUUAAUAUUUCAUUAUCACAAAAAUAAAAAUAAAAAUUAAAACUACAACUGUUUUACACUUUACCUUUAAAUUAUAGUUUUAAAGUUGAAUUUACUUAUCUAUUUUUAAUUUAAUUGUCUAAGCCUUUAAUAUAAUUGUUUUUAGGUUGUUCUAGGUCCUUCAAGUUUCAACUGCAACUAGGAACUAAUCGUCCCAAGGCUGGAGCCACAAACCAUUGAAUUGGGCUCGAAUCCCAUAUCUUGGGCCUAUUAAUGAGAGGCCUACCCUUUUUCCUUUACAAAAGACUAAGUUUGCCACCAAGCCCAUAUUCUUUUAUUGUUUAGAUUUGGAUCCUAACAUGCUACCCUUCUUUAAGUCCCAACAUUUUCAAGCCCAAAGUCUCAACCUUGUUAAAUGUCAUAAGUUCUCUAAGUUGAGGUUGCCUCUAGAAUGCAAUUAAUAAUAUUAAAAUGUUAUGAUUAAAAGAUAAUUAAUGAUAACAAAUAUAGGUUAUGAAAUUUUAAUAUCUCUAUUCUAAGAACCUAUAAAUAGAAUAACAACUUGACUAAUAUUAAAAUAUAUCAUUUGUAUAGAAAUGUAUCAUAUUUAUAGCUUGUUGAAUUUUGAAUAUCUUUGUUAUAGUAACAUAUAAAUAAAAUAAUAAAUUUUCCGAUAUUAAAAAUGUAUAUUUAUUUAGAAAGUAUGUAUAAGGAAAAUGAUAAAUUGACUAAUCAUCUUAAAAAUAUAUUUAUUUAGAAAACAUGUGACAUUUUUCUCAUCAUAUUCUUCAUAUUUGUAAGAAAGAUAUCAAAAGCAUCCUAAAAAUUAAAUCUAUUAUUCACUAUACUUUGAGAAGUAUCCUAAAAAAUUUCAAUGCUAGUUUACAUGCAUUCUAUAUCAACUUCUUGUUAGAUUGCUAGUGCACCUCAUGUUCUGCAUCUAGCAUCCUAAAAGUUUUCAUAAUGAACUUCAAAAUGAAUUUUCAUGUUAUUUCCAUUUCCAAGUCAAGGCCAAAUACAUAUUAAAAUCAAACACACAUAUAUAACUAAAACUAAAAGGUUUAAAAGGCUUAUUUAUGCAAAACAUCCAAAUAUCUCGAAACAUCUUCUUUUCUUUUCGUUUGUUAAAUGUUUCAUAGAGAGAAAGUAGAACACCUCAACCUGUGACAUGGGUCCUUCAAAAUGAACAAUGUUAGUGGAAACUAUAAGUGUAUUUUGUGUAUUGGAAAUUUCGAGUCAAUCAUAGCUCAUAUUUUUCAAAUCCUCUCUUGGACACUUGCCUUUUGCAAAUUAUUCAUGUUUGAAGAUGGCUAAAGGAAUUGGUAAGUGCAUUUGAGGUGAUGGAUGAUGGUAAAAAAUGAUCAAUCAUAUUUUAAUUUUAUAUCCUUUUAUUGAAAAAUGAAAUUGAAGCUUAAAAGUGUAAAACAUUGUGUUUAAAAAAUUUGGAUCGAUUUUUGUUAAUCGAACUAAAGAGUAAUAGUUUAUCCUGAACCCAUAUUUUUCAGUCUUGUCCGAUCGAUCAUAUUUCGAUCACACUUGUGAAUUUUUAUAAUUUUUCAAACAAAUCUCAAUCAAUUGAUGAGUUUCAAAACCCUAAUACUUAACAUCUCUUUCCAGACGUGGAGAGAUGACUGUGAGGGUAAAAACCCUGGUUUUUGAGCUUCAAGAUUCUCUUACUAUAUUGGGGAGUGUUUGCCUUAUGAGAUAAUUUAUGAGUUUCAAUUGAAAAUCAGUUUUUGAGUAAAAAAUCUUUAGUUCCAAAUGGGUUAAUUCAUUGUCUUCUUCAUCCUAUCUCUCAUAUUGCUCUCAUAUCCAACUUAUUGGGGUAAAACCUAAGAUUCUUCCUUUGUGGACUUAAGAAAAGGCUGAGAUCAAAGCUUUGAGUGAAUUUCAAGUAUUUUCUUGAAGAAGAAUGAUGGUAGCUAAAGCUCAAAGGUUCUAGGCAAGUGGUCUGAGAAAGAAUGAAAGACUUAGGCUAGGUAAAACCUUGUACUCAACUAUUUUUUCUUCAUAGUGGAUUAUUUGAUUGCUUGAGGCCCAUGGUUUUUUUUAUCUCUUUAGAGGUUUUCCAUGUUAAAAAAAAAUUGGUGCCAUUUCCUUUCCUUUCUAUUUUAUCUUCUAAUUAGCAUUUCAUAAGCUUAUGAUAUUUUUCAUUGUGUUAUGGCAAUUGAGUUAAUUAGAGCAUGAGCUAAAAUGCAUCUAUUGAAUCUUUGAAAGAACAAGAUAUAUGUUAGUUUUUGUUGAUUGAUGACAAGGGGCAUGUGAACAAAAGUUUUUAUGUUGAUGCAAUGUUUAAUAUAUUAGGUUUAGGGAGUGUUGUCUCAUUUGCAUGUGACUUGCAUUGAAUAACUUGUUUAGGAGAGUGUUGGUGCAUCCAUUGUUGCUUGUGAUUCGCUUGUUUGUUCAUAAAGUUGAAAAAAAAAAUCAUUGUAUAACGGAAAAACAGGGAAAUUGUGAGCAUUUAUGAGAUACCUAUCUUAUUGUUUUAAAAAACACCUAUUCGCCCCCUUCUAGGUGUUAUCCAUAAGUGAGAUUCAUCUUCAAUUGGUAUCAGAGCGAGUUUCAAAGCAAAAAUCAUUAUCGAUCCGUGAAUCUCAAAUAUGGAACCUCAUAAAGAGGGUGAUUCAAUUGGGAGACCCCUCUUUUUAAUUGGCGAAAAUUAUUCUCAUUGGAAAGUGAGAUUACAAUAUUUUCUCAAAAUGCAAAGUGAAAAAGUAUGAAAUACCGUUGAAUUUGGUUUGCCUCCACCAAAUGUGUUGGAUAGAGAAGGUAGACUAACAAAUGUGAUCAAGCCUAAAUUGGAAUGGGAUAGAGGUGAAAAUGAAGCUAGUGAGAACAAUGCUAGGGCCAUGGAUUCCAUCUUCAAUGCCAUUAGCACAGAUGAAUUCCAUAGGAUUACUACUUGUACCUCAGCUAAGGAAGCUUGGGACAUCCUCCAAGUGACUCAUGAAGGAACCAAUGUUGUUAAAGUUUCUAAACUUCAAAUGUUGACUUCUAGGUUUGAGACAAUUAGGAUGGAAGCUCAUGAGAAUUUUGGAGAGUUUCAUGCAAAAUUGACGGACAUUGUGAAUUCUAGUUUUAAUCUAGGUGAACCCAUCCCUAAUUCCAAAGUGGUUAGAAAUAUUAUAAUAUAUCUUUCAGAGAGAUUUAGAGCAAAAGUCACCACCAUUAAAGAGUCUAAAGCUGUGGAUUCCUUGAAAAUUGAUGAACUUGUAGGUUCCCUCCAAACCUUUGAAAUGAUUCUUGUAUUACCUGGGAAAGUUAAGGGAAUUGCUUUAAAAGCCAUUAAAAAAGAGUCUCUAAGUUUCGAAAGUGAGGAUGAUGAGAAAAUGUUAGAAGAUGAGCUUACUAAGUUUGCUAAAAAAUUCAAGAAAUACAUGAAAUUCAGAAAAUCCAAGAAUGAAUCAAAUGAUGCUAAAAAAAAAUGGAGGAACUCAAUUAGAAAAAAGAAAAAAUUGGAAAAAGAUGUGAAAAAAGAGUUGGAAAUUGAGUGUUUUAAAUGUGGGGGAAAGGGUCACCAUGCAUUUGAAUGUCCUUAAAAGAAAAAGAAUAAUAAAGCCAUGCAAGUUACUUGGAGUGACUCCGAGUCUAAUCGAACAAGUGAAAAUGAAUCAAAUGAAUAAGAUGAAUGCACUAACUUCAUAGCCUUUACUGCAACUAUCAAAGAGGAACCUCUAUUAAAAGAAGCCUCAAGUGAGUUAAAGUGAGUCAAGUGAAAGAAUCCAAUGAUGAUGACAUGUGUUUUGACACAACAUAUGAGAUUUUUUAUAAGGAGUGCUUAAGCCUUAAAUAAGACAAGUCAAGUAGACGACUUCUAAGAGGAUUUUAACCAAUGAGAUUGAUGUUUUAAAGAGAGAAAAAAAGACUUUGCUUGAUAAAAUUACAUUUCAUAAAAAUGAACAUUUGGAAGUGAAGAAAAAGUGUGAUGUGUUGAAGAAUGAAAGUCAAAUGUUCAAGGAUGAGUUAAGCCUUAGGAAGGAAGAGUAGUAUCCUAGCUUUAAGAGACUUAAUGAGUUGAUCAAUUCAGGGAGAAAAUCUUUUGAUAGAAGAGGUCUAGGAUUCGUUGAUGAAAAUGUUACUCUAAGUAACGAUAAGAUAGUUUUUGUUAAGCCUUGUGAAGAAAAAUUUCCUAAGAAAACUCUUUCUCAUAUCAAGUUUCAUUGCACUCAUUGUGGAAAAGUGGGGCACACUUUUGAUAGAUGUUAUACAAGAUUGUUUGAUAAUUUUCAAAGGAAAUUGACCAACCUAAUGAAUGAAUGUCAUGCAUUGAAGGAUAGGUUGUUGAAUGUGAACAAGAGAGUGUCUAUGAAGUCUUCAAAUAUCCCUUAUAAUGGUAUCUUGAUAGUGGAUGUUCACUCCAUGUGACUGGAAAUAAAUCUUUUUUCAGAUCACUGAUUUUGAUGGAGGAAAUGUUACAUUUGAGGAUGGUAAUGUGGCUAGAGUGAAAGGAAAAGGCUUUAUAUGUGCUUCAGGUAUUCCUAAGCUUGAAGAGGUCUUAUAUGUGGAAGGUUUAAAGGCCAACUUAAUAAGCAUAAGCCAAUUAUGUGAGAAUAAUCUUAAUGUCCAAUUUUCAUAAAAUGUGUGCAGUGUGUUUGACUUGAAUGGUGAUUGUGUGAUGAUUGACUUGAAAACUUGUAAUAAUUGCUAUGUUGUUAGUCAAAAAGCUCUUUCCUCUUCUUCUCUUGUGUUUGAAAGUUCUAAAAUUGAUUUUGUUGAUCACUUGUGGCAUAAUAGAUUGGUUCAAAAUGAAAAAAGGUGUGUCAUUCUAAAGAUUAGGAGUGAUAAGGGAGAAAAAUGGAUGAUGUUGGUGUCAUUCAUAGAUCAAAGAAUCAUCUUCAUCAUUUUAGAGGCAAACUCACUGCUGACACUAGACAUUGCUUCAAUAAAGACUUGGUAGAAGACAAACUUGUUUCCUUCAAAUAUGUUCCUACCGAGUGUCAAAUAAUUGAUAUCCUCACUAAGCCUUUGGAUGUUUCUAGGUUUGAGUCACUUAGGAACUCCAUAGUCUUAUGUUUUCUAAGUUGAUUGUCUUUAAGGCCUCUCUAUGACAUCCCUUCUUUGUAAAUUCUUUCUUCUUAGAGGUUUCAUAGGCUUAUUGAGUCCUUGUGUUGCCUUGUUUUUCUUUUCUCAUGGUUCUCAUUCUUGUUUUUUUUUUUUGUUUUGGUAUCUCCUUAAACCCUUUUUCCUCUCUAGUUUAAACAUAGAUGUUUGUUUUUAUGAGGACUUGACAUUGUUUUCUUUUUAGCAAAUGGUUAUUUCGUGUCAUAAUGAUCCAAAAGUAUUCCAAGAUAUGAAAAUCCUUCUUGUGUUGGUGUGAGAUGGAGCAUAACGUGCUUAUUGUUUAGCUUUGCUUGGAUAAGCUACAACAUACUUAUUUCAUAACCAUUGAGUAAUUAACAACUUGUGGAGUGAUUUAUGAUUUCAUAAAAACUGAUAAAUGAUUUGUAAAGUUCAAUUGUGGGUCUAUAUCAUUCAAUGUGCCUUAAAGUAUGAGUAAAGCCACAUGAAUCUUCUUGAGAAUUUGAAUUUGUGUAUCUUGAUUGUUUACACUCUCCAAAAAAAAAAAUUAUUCAUUUCUCGGAAUGGUUAAAGCACCAUGGCAAUGUUUCAAGUGUAAAAAGUCUCCAUUAAAAAAGUGGGGCAUCCCUUUAUGUUUGUAAUGACAUAUUUGUAAUGGCCACCUUAGUGAUCUUAAAUUCAACAAUCUAUCCUAAGUGUGUUUUCAACAUGUUAUCAAAACAAAUUAAAAAAAAAAACAACAAGAUGUGAUGUUUGUUUGCAUUUCAAGGGAUGUAUAUUUAGUCAAAGAAUGUAUUUUUUACUAUGUUAAAUAGAAAUCUGGUCAAGGGAGAUGUAAAUUGACUUUAAGAGAAAUAAAUUUGAGUUUCUUUAGGGAUGGAUAUGAUUUUGAAAUUUUUUUUUUUUUUGGUUCAUGGAUAUCUAUAGCCUUAUAAGUUGAGAUUAUUUAUCAUUUUUAGUUUGUUAUGGUCUUAUGAGUGUACUCUUUAAGCCAAAAAUCGUUUGAUGGAGUGUUAAUAAUUUCUUGUUUUAUUUAUCCUUGUCAUAUGAGAAAUUGAUGAGUUUCUGUAUAUUUCAUGCUUUGUCAUUCAAUUCAAAAGUCUCUCGUUGACAUUUUUUUUAUUAUUAUUAUGCAUUUUAAUGACCAAAUGCUAAAUGCUUUUCACUUUGAGCUCUAAUGAAUUUGUUUCUAAUGUCUUUUUUCAUUUUUCUUAAGAUUGUACAACUUUUUUUACUCAUUUUUUGUUGAUUUUUUUGUCAUAUCUUGAUCAUUGGUCAUUUCAAUCAAUUGUUUUUUCAAGAAAAACCGAGUAUUGUGAAGCGUGAUUGAACUGUGAACGAUCAACUUUUGAUCAACUAUGUUUUUCUAACCUUGGCUGAGAACUAUAUUAUGUGAUUGAAAUGUAAUUGAUCGACUUUCGAUCAACCAUGUUUUGUCUAACCUUGGUUGAAAACUAUAUUAUGUGAUUGAACUUGGAUCGAUCCAUCUUCGAUCAACUAUGUUUUUGUUGGCUUGACUAACAAUUGUAUUGUGUGAUCAAAUUUAUUCUCUAGUGCUUUAAAUAAAAAAAAAAUCAAAAGCAAUAGAUAAAAUACAUGUUUAAAUGGAAAGGAAAAAAGUGUUUUUCCAUUUCAAAACCAAAUCCCUAAAUUUCUUCAAAUCCUAGCUCCUUCCAACCCACUUUUCUCUCAAAACACUUUUUGCUCGUCACUUUCUCUUCACCAAAGCAUUCAAAGUUUUCCAUUGCUCUUCUCCAUGGGUGGCUUCUAACUUCUAAAUCCUUCUCACAUCUCUCCAAGAAAGCGUGUUUUAUUGUGGAUUGUGGUGUCGAUGGCUAGUUGUUCUCCAUUGCUAGAUAAGUUUGGUUUUUCUUUAAAUCUAAGGUUUGAUUAGGGAAGAUUUCUCAGGAUCUCUCAAAUUCUUAUUUGUAUGGUUCGUAAGUUGAGUACUUAUUCACCGAGUAUAUUCCAAUGGAGUGGUGGAAUUAUCGAAUUCCAAUGGCAAAGACAGCUUCAAAGUCAAUGGAUAUCGUCUCAAGCCAUUCAUGGAGCCAUUCAAACUAGAAAAGGAGGCAAUCAACCUCCUUGAACGUCAAAAAGCCUAAGUGAAAAAGGGUUUGCUGAACGUGGUUUUACCAUAGUUCAGUUUGUAAAUUUUGUAAAAUUUCAAGUUUUUUUCUGUACAUUUGAUCUUAGUUUUUGAUCUUAAAUCAUGUUUCUAGGUGUGUUUUAAUUGUUUUGAAUGAUCCCAGGUGGAAGAAAUUUCAAGGGAAUUGAAAGAAAAAAAAAUCGGGUCGAAAUCGGAGCAGAAACAGAGCAAAAACAGAGGAAAAGCAAAGCUCUGCGAAAUUUCGCAGAAUGAAGAAAACCUCUGCGAAAUGAGCAUUUUGUUGCCAAAUCAUUCCGCAACACUUUAGGAUUCUCUGCGAAAAUUUUCGCAAUUGCGAAAGUGGAAAUGGCACACGAGUGCCACUUCGCAGCACAGGAGCAUCAGUUUUGCAGCUGCGAAACGCAUUGCGAAGUGGAAAAACGUGAUUUCGCACCAAAAGUCCCAUUCCGCAGCGUAAUUCGCAAUUGCGAAAACGAUUUUGGCACACGUGUGCAACUCCGCAGCACAGUAACAUCAAUUUCGCAGCUGCGAAACGCACUGCGAAAUUGCUGCGAAAAUGGCAUUUUGCUGCGAAAUUGGCGUUUUAUUGCGAAACUCAAACUGACCCUUAGGCUUCCGUUUUUCCUAUUUAUACCGGUCAGUUGAGCUGCGAAAAGGGUUUCAAAAAUCAAAGCACCAUUUUCGCAGCCUGUUCGUCUUCUUCAGUGAGCCUCGCCGUCCAACUUCCGGUCAUCCUCUCCGUUCAUCAACGCCGGCCAAAGUUCGGUAGCCCAAAAUGGCGCGAACGCGAGGAGCUAAGUCUUCAUCUCCUUCGAACCGCAAAAAGACGCUGCGAAAGGAGCCACUUCUAGAUUCUGCUCCAGAGCCUUCGUCGUCAAAACCAAUUCCACCUCCGGCGAAGCCCGCGCCACCAAAGCCACCGGCAAGACGAUAUUUAACCAGGUCAGGAGGUCGACCAUUACAAAAGAAGCCAAGGGUUGAGAGCUCAGAACCCAUCGAUUUGACUGAACAAUCCCUUGAGCAAUCCCCAGAGCAGUCACCGGUUCAAACUCCGGUAUCCUCACCAAAUCCUUCUUCAGUUGCAACCCCAGUUCCCUCGCCAGUUCAGUCGCCGGUACCAUCUCCGGCGCCGCAAAAAAAAUUGAAGAAGUCUCAAGCGCCACUUCCAGAGCCCCAAAUUCAAUCUGAAGUAGCUCCGGAAGAAGUGAUCAGAAGGCCAAUGCUAACUCAGCCCCCAAUAGAGGGAAAUUUGGAUUGUCGAUCUUGGCCAUUCCAUUCCGACUUGUGUUUCGAUAUAGCAGCAUUCCAAGUGAGGCCGGAGCUAGCCCAAUCAUUCCAGCUGCUGAGGAGGUACCAUAUGGAGCAUCUGCUAGCUCCAAGAGAUUUUUUUCUACCCCCGGAUAGCAAUGGAUUUCUACCAAUCCAUGACAACCAAAGAGGUUAGAAAUCCAACUUUGAUUCAUUUUACUAUUGAAGGAAGACAUGGUGUAUUGGGAGCACGCCACAUUGCUGAAGCCCUGCAAAUUCCUUUUGAGCCAACCCAAUUCGAUAAUUUUAGAGCUUGGGCCAAUCCUACUGAACUGGAGAUGGUGCGCACCCUUUCCAGAGGAGCUGCAAAUCGAUCACAUCUGCUGAGAGGGGAGCUUCCUCCAGUUAUGUUUUUGAUUGAUGCCUUUUUGAGGCAUAAUAUCUAUCCAUUGCAGCAUUGGACCCAAAGAAGGGGAAUCCUCUUGGAAGCUCUUUACAAGAUGUUAGAAGGAUUUUUCUUUGGGCCUCAUCAUCUGAUCCUGACAGCCCUUCUCUAUUUCGAAGAGAAGGUUCACAAAAAGAAGCUUCAAAGAGCUGAUUGCAUUCCUCUCCUAUUUCCAAGGCUGCUAUGCCAAAUUCUAGAGCACUUGGGAUACCCUGCUGAGCCUCAGCUGGAGAGAAAGCAAAUUUUCCGUGAGCCAUUCACCCUAGAUAAAUGGAAUAACAUGACGGCCUACAAAGUUGAUCAGCCUUCAGAGUCUCAUCCUCCAGAGCCUGAAACCCCAGCUGAUGCACCUACUGAAGAGGCAGCAGAUCCAUCUGCCUAGUUCUAGCCCCAGCACCACUCAUCAGACUACUAUCUAUCUAAUAUUUCUAUGUAUUUUGUUUUUUUUUAGUUGAAAAGAAAUCCCAGUAUUUUGGUACUAUAUUUGGGAUUCCUUGUGAUUACUUGUCUUUUGCACUGUACUUGAAUCAACUGAAAGUAAUACAAGCUGAAUAUUUCUUAUUAAAAGUUAGCAUUAAAUUUUCCUUAUUUCCUUUUCUCACAUAUUCUAUUCUUUUUGAAACAUGUGGUUUUCCCCAAUCAAUAUUCGAAUUUGAUAUCAACCAGGAGGUACCACUUCCUCCCUUUAAUUACAGUCACUCAAAUCACAUUGAGGACAAUGCUCAGUUCGGUUGGGGGGUAUGAGGAAGGAAGUAUGCUAAAUCUUUUUGGUAUUGCAAUCAUAUUGGUUAAGUAGUUGUAGUUUUACUUUUUACUUUUGUUACUCUAUUCUCUAUGAAUUUUGAGGAAAAAUUUUCAAAUUAAACCAAGAGAAAUUGAACUAUUGUUUUUCACUUGACUUAGAGUAUGGAUUAUGCUUACUAAAGUGGUUCAAUUGUUGAAACUUCUACUGAAAUUGAAUUUAGUUCUUCCACUUUAAGCUAUUCACACACUGUGCACAUUAGAUUCCGAUUAUAAGAUGAAAAGCUAUUUCCCUCUUGACUUAGGAUAGUUUUGGGACUUGGUAUAUUUGACCUCAUUUGAUAAAAAUUGAAACACCUUGCAAAAGGCCAAUGAGCCUUUGAAAUAAAGAAAGUUGUUUGCUUGCCUUGAAACCCGAGCAAGGUCUGAGGGGUAUAUGGUGAAAAUCUUUAAAGCCUGGUGCCCUAAGCCUUAAAUGGUUGGGAGACACCAACCUCAAUGCUCGUUAUAAGGGUGAAUAGGUAGAGUUAGCAUAUGGUAGAUGUUUGGGUAUUAGAAAUUCAUUCUUAAAAGUCCGGGGAAAAAUCCGAGGAGUUAGUGGUUGAAAGAUCCUUAAAGCUUGGUGCCCUAAACCUUAAGUGGUUGGGAGUCAUCGAUGGACCCCCAUUACAUGGACAAGUCAGAAAGAGUACCCCAUAAAGCUGCCUUCUAAAAAAAAAAUAAAAAAAAAAAAAAAGUUGUGUUCUUUUCUUAUUGAUUUUGGUCAGAUUACUAAAGUUUUGAAAAGAAAUAGGUUGGGGGGUGAGAUUAGUUUAGCAUAUUAUUUUCGGAACCUAAGGAACCAAUACACAUAGAUUUUUGUGGAAGAUUAAAGUUUGAUUCUUAGAAAGUGGAAAUGAUUUUAAAACUUCAGUUUGUAUAAUGCACUCCCUUGAUUGACAGUGUUUAGCAUAGUUGUUAUGACUCUUGUUGAGAUUUGGGUUUGUAUUUAUUUAAUACUUCAUGUGAGAAUUAGAUCAUCAUGCCACUUGAGAAUUAUUUUCUUUUAGCAUGAUGUUGUAAAUUUUAGAUUAGUUUGUUAUGUAUUUUUCAUUUUUCUCUCCUAUAUUGCUAAGGGACUAGCAAUAUGUCGGUUGGGGGGAGUGAUUACUACUCAAAAAGUGCUAUUUGAUAGCCUAUAAUCAAUCCUUUUAACCACUUUUGAGUAGUAGUUUAGGCCUUUUAACUCAAUUGGCAUGUUAAGGGUCCUUGAAAGCAAUUUUAAUCAUUUUGUGUAAGUUUUGGUGUUUUUGUUAGUAUUUUGAUCAAAAAAGCAAGUCAAGACUGAGGAGAGCUAUGAGGAAUCUUGGUCAAAGCUUAGAAGUCAUUUGCCAAGAGUGAAUCCGGAUUGCAAGGAGAAAAAGCAAAGAGAAUCUGCCAUUAAGCAUAUUCUUGAUGAUAGUCGUAGCAGCCACUUUUGGAGCACUUUUUGAAGUCCAAAUGAUGCAUGCUAUAUACCAUUUCAAAGCUCAGGAAGUCAACAAUCCAAUGCUUCAAACGGUGUGCAAUUCGGAGUUGAAACGAAGAAGUUGCAGUCGUUACAAUCCAAUCACUCCGAGCUGAAGGAAGCAUUUUGCAAAGUGCUGCGAAAUCACCCUUUUGUUGCGAAGUGAUUUCGCAGCAUUUUUGAACAGUGUGAUGUUUCUCCUUUUGACGAUGCCCGAUUUAUGCCGCGAGAAGGAAGCUUGGAACCUCAAGGUGGAAGCCAACUUCGCAGCCCUUCAGAGAUAGCUUGGUGUUGCGAAAAAAUUUCGCAGCCCUCUUGAGUGUCUGCGAAAUUUCGCAGACACCAUUUUCCUCCUGCGAAAUGGUUCCUGAAGCCUCCCGAUAUUUGCUACCGACAUUGGGAGAUAUUUUCCAUUAGAUUUUUGUUAUCUAAAUCCCAAAAUACUCCUUGUAAACCUCCAAUUAUAAGAUUCCUUAGCUUUUAAGUUAAUAAAAAGACCAAAUAUCUUUGUAACAAUUAGUUAUAUAUUAUGUUCAUAUAUAUACCUCUCGGGAGCCUGUUCUCGGAGAGGAGUUCCUUCUGUAAAAGUUUGGAAAGCAAGUAAAGUUCAUUUUCCUUCUACUGCCUUACCUUCUCACUUUGUAUUUUUUUAGUUAAUACUAAGUUAUGAACUCUCUGAGGAGUUUUCCCCAGAGAAUGAGUAACUAAACCUCUAAUUCCUUGGAGCUAAGGUUGCCGGGGAAGGUUCCAAGUGCAAGAAUGCAAAGCUCUGUGGUUUUAGCUAGUAAUGAAGAGGAAGUGAAAUCCUUUAGUGAUUUCAAUGUUUUUAGUUAACUUAAAACACCUUGGAGUCACCUGGGCCAACACUUGGUAAGGCAAGUGAUUUCCAACCAUGGAAAUGCACUAGUUUACCCCUUGCGAGCCUCUGGGAGGUGACUUCAGGGUAGGAUUUUCUAGAAUAGCCAACACUUGAUAAGCUUUUGGACUCCUAGGAGACAUCCAUUAGUUAUCUCUUGCGAGCUUUUGACGGGUAAUCCAAAGUUAAGGAUCACCUUGAAUGGUUAAGGCUUAGUGAGAGGCUUAAACCAUUUCAAGUUGCAUCAGUGAGAGAAUUAAAGUGAAAUCUAAUUGAAGGAUGAAUCUGUACAUCACCGGUUAGGGAAUUGACUAUAUGUUGAAUCUCUAACGCGAGGAUAUGAACCUUCUGACCGGAGCUAUGUCUUUUGCAUGAGGAACCACCCCAGUGAACCUAACUCUUCAAGGAAUGUUUUUCUUCCUAAGUUAUUCCAAACUUCUGUUAUGUUAGUUAGUUUAAGUCUAAACCUUCACCAACCAAAGUUUGUUUUUUUACCUCUUAAGCUAACCAUGAAAUGAAACAAGACCAAUUCACUUGGAAUUGGUAUCAUUGAUAUCUUGUCAACCUUUCCCAGUGGACGAUCCUAGAGCCACUAUACUAUAGUAGCUUUUUAUUUGCUACCCUAGUGUAUGGUGUUAUAGGUAUAAAUUUUGUUGAUUACUCCCUCAUUCAAGGAGCACCAGCUGAACACGAAUCAGCUGAGACACCAAUUGGGCAUGAAUCACCUUGUAUGGUUAAUUAAUCAAUUAGCAACCUUUUUGGGCUACAGUAAGUGACCCAAGUUCAAGUUGGGCUUAAGUCACUUAAGCCCAGUAGGAAGCUUAUAAAUAUCCCUUUAGGGGUUAGGGUCUCCAUGUCUUAUCAUUCUCCUUUUCAGUCUAAAGAGAAAACCCUAGCCUCCACCUUUGAGAUCUCCACCAUGUCAAUGCUUAGACAUAAGAAAGAGUCAUUGGGCAGAAAAUCAUGGUGUUUACGAGAUUCAUUAUGACUUUAAAGUUAUCUACAUCGAUUGGAAUUGAUCUAGGAACAUAAAGAUCAAAGGUAUGUGACUUUAUUCUCUAUAUCUAUAGUUUCUAUGCUAUUCUUAUUAUUUUUAAUACCUGUUUAUCCAUUGCGAUAGAUUUAGAGACCUUAUGACAGAUUUGUAUGCACCCUAUGCAAUUUGGAGCAUGGGAACAGAGUAAUUCGGGGUUCCCAACAACUGGUAUCAGAGCCCUAGGGUAGGUUAUAGCAUGUUAAAGUUGUUCUAAGGUAUGCUAACUCUAUUUUGCAAGGUUGUUUUAUUCAUCCUAUGGCCCUAAGGGAUGAAUGAAUGAAAUUAUUCAUUCAUUUUAACGUAUAAAUAUAUUUGGAUUGAUUGAUUGUUAUUGAUUCAUUUGAAUGAAUGAAUAUUAAUGGAUGUUUUCUUUGCCUUUUGUUCUCUAGAUUGGGUUGAACGCCCCAUAAGGGGUAUUAGAUUUUUAUUUGGUUGUAAAAAUCUUUUCUUUUCAAUAGAUGAGUUGUAAGCUCCAUUAUAGGAGCAUAGAAAUUUUUAUUGUUGCAAAAAUUUCAGUUUUUUUAUAUCCAUCUAUGGUUACCCAAGUGAAAUGAAGGAAUCUUGAAAGUUCUUUUUGAGAUUCUAUGGUGGUUAAAGAGGAAAAAAGGAUUCUUGGAAGUUCUUAUUUAGAAAUCCAUAGUUAUACAGUGAUGUUAAAUUAAACUCAAAAUCAGGAUUAUCUCCUAGUGGCUUCUUAGGGGAAGUAACAUAUGAAUUUGAAGUUUAGGAAGUCACAAAUCCAAUGGUUCAAGCGGAUUUCAAUUUAGAGAUGAAAUGAGCUACAUAUGGCUAAUUGAAGCAAGGCUGCACAAAGUGCAUGAUUGCAUAGUGAUGUCAGCUUUGAGCCAAAAUUGCAGCUACUUUUAGUAAGUUUCUUUGAACAAAUCACAUAUGGUUUUAAAGCUCAGGAAGUCAUAAAUCCAAUGCUUUAAACGGAUAACAAUUCGGAGUUGAAACGAGAGAGAUAUGACCAAUCAAAGCAACGUUGUGCAAAAAGCAUACUAUUACAGGAUUGCACACGGGUCCAAUUCAUUUAGUUGUUUGGGCUAAAUUUUGGGCCUCUUCUUGGGCUUAAUUGUUUGUGGCAAUUGGGCCUUUUGGGUUUUAUAUUUUCACUAACCCUAUUUUUGGUUGCAGCUUUAUUUUUGGUAAUUUAGAUUUUAUCCAAAUUUUAAUUACUAAAUAUGCAACAAGAUCCCUAAAGGUCAUUGGAAGUUUUAUAUUUAAUUAUUCUCUUGUUUUUAUUGUAUGCUUUUGAUUAAUUGCAUAUGUGGCCUCAAGAUAUUUUGAUACUCUUAAUUAGAAAUAAAUUUUCAUGUUUUAUUUUUAAUUGGAAAACUUAUUUAAAUAGGGAUGUGAAUGGUUGGGAUUUUUUAUUUUUUUUAAGGAAAGAUAGGUUGGAUAAAAGAUUAAGAGCUUUCUUACCUUUCGCCUACUAAAAUAAGGGGAAGUAAAUGAUGAAGACUAAAAAAACGAUUUAAGGUGGCAUUGUCCAUAGAGAAACCACCCCAAAUCCAAGUCACUAUGGUAUCUCUUACUACAGCUAUGGCGCUAGCUAAGCUAGUAAUUACUAUAGCUCCCCAAAAGCUCAUCUGACCUCAAGGUGGUACGUAUCUUGUAAAAGUUGUCACAAUCAUUAAUAGGAAGAUUACAACUCCGAGACACCAAGCAAAUUCCCUAGGACUGCUAUAACUCGCAUGAUAUAGCCCAUGAAAAAUAUGAAGGUGAACCACAAUAAGAAACAUACUUGCCCCAUUAGCAUGCAUAUAACGGAGAAACCAGCCCCCUUCAACAUCUCUCAUAACAUAUUCUACACUGUUGAAAGCUAACUCCACUUGAGGUGUGUGAUGCAUAGCAGAAAAAAGGCCAGUAACUAUCUGAAUGACUAAACAAAUACCAGCUAACGAACCGAACCCCCACCAAUAACUAAGGUUGCUUGGGGUUGGAUAGUCUAUCAAAUGUUGAUUCAGUGUGGAGGAUAUAGGUUGUUUAAGAAGAGAGAAUCAUUGGUUCCUUAUAGUCAUUUCUCUUUUCUAUUGUGAAAACUCUUGUUCCCCCACCUUUUUAGCGUUCUGGGACCCUACUUACUAAAUUAUAUAUAGAGAUAUAUAGAUAUAUAUAAUUAUAUAGAUAACAUAAUUUUAUAUCUAAGAGUACCCCUUAUUCCACCUCUGAAGGAUGGAGGGGGUAUACAGCGAAAGAAACGUCAGAGGGUUCAUCUUGGGUUACUAAAGAGUUGUCUGACUGCUCAGUGACCGAAUCAAAGAGGUUUUUACCACUUUCUCUUCUCUCCAGCACUCUCGAACUGAUCAUCUUGCUGUAACAAAGCAAUCUUAGGAAUGAAUCUAAUGGAAAUUUAUUAGUUCUCUAUCCGCUUGGAAGAUUCUUCUUUCCUCUUCGGUGAAAGAGGGUAAAUGUGUGAGGGAGAAAGAAUGAAAAAAUGAGAGAAUCUUUCAUCCACCAAGCGGGAUAGAGUGCAACCCCUAAGUAAUGUUCAAUUCUCACUCAGGGGUCAAUAUCAUUUGAAAACUUUUCCUGUUCCAUUAGUAUAGCUAAAUUUGAAUAAAAUGACUCAGCGUCAGGAAAAGCCCUUGCCUUGAUUUAAUUUUGCUUCACUAGGUCCUUGAAUCAAUCAAAAAUCUUAUUGAUUUGAUUCAUCCUAUUUCAUUUGGGCAAAAGGGAGGUUGUGAGUCACCUGGGCUACGAAUUUGUCGAUUGGUUGAUUCUCGAAAUCACCUCUUGAGAAAAUAAAAAAGGCCAUCCGAUCCUAACCCACAAAUGAAUAGGAAGCGGGGCGAGGGUCUUUCAUUAAAGAGGGGAAAAAAAGGUGGGGCUUUGUUCGAGGGAAAGGGAGGGGGGGGGGGGACCACCUUGCGUAGCUUUAGAAAGAAGAGAAUUUCAUAAAGUCACCAUCUCCCACUAUCUUUAGAAAUAGGGCGAGAUAAAGUAAAUAUGAUAUUUGCGUUGGGUUUUCCAAUGAAACUAAGCAUUUUUUAUCUUUCUCAUUUAGAAGGCUCAGUCCCAUAAUGAUGGGAACAACCUUUACACUCUGGCGCUCCAAUGAACAACACUUAUCCAUCUUACUAUAUUUAGAAAAAUGGUCGAUCCCUCGAGAGUUACAUUCGUAACUUAAUGUUAUGUUCACGUGGUGAUAUUCUAUCUUUCCAAGAGUACUACCUUGUAAUUGUACCUAGUCUAUGUUUGGGGAGCAUACUUGAAAGGAGAUAGAAACAGGCAGUAGAGAGGUCCCCCACUUCGAUUCCCGCCCCGUUAGUAUCUUCGAUCCGCGAUAAAGGAUUACUCUAUUAGGUCUUUUCUAUUCGAAGCCAGUCAGUUAUGGACUUACUUACCUUGCUUGUAGACCAGCUGCAGAGCUAACCCUUGUUCUAUUGGUUUGGUGGUUUCUACCAAGACAAUUUCUUUAUGCCCAUCAAAGGACCUCAAGAUGCUAAUCCAUGAAAAAUGAUACGAGAAAUUCGAAAGAACUCAUAUACGGAACAAGGGUGACUUGUGGAAAUACAUCGGUUUCUUACUCGUGCAAAGGAACUAUUUCUUGGAAACUUGGACAACUUAUAACGAUGUUUGUCCCACAUAUCACUAGGAAGAUCGGGAUCUUUACAAAAGGACUUAUAAAACUUUCGUCUCAAUUCAUAUUUAGCUGUGAGCAAUCUACGUUUGUGAUCUCGUAUAUUUAGCUUCUUUAACCUCUUAUUGACCCUCAUCUUUUUUAAAAAAGCCACGCCACGGUGGUAAAGUCUCAUCUUGUGUGUUAGCCGAAGUAACAAUAGUCACAUUGAACCCUCCAAUAUGUUUGAAGAUCUCGAAAAGAUCUUCCAGUUCUGGGGAGAAUUUGCAAAACUCUGUUUGCAUCAAGAAUUGAAUGGAGUUUUCCCAUAUUUCGACCGGAGAAUCUAAUAGAGACAUUACUAUCAAGAUUUUGACCAAAAAAUUAGACAUUCCAUGCCCUUGGAGAGUGCUUUGUCAUGCUAGGUCACUAACAUAUCCUUUGUCUUUAUUUGACCCUAAGAAUUUAUUGGAUCAAAAUGACUUUCCUGUCGAACCCCUUUGUGUCUGUAUAAAUCUUUGACCGCAUGGAAUCUCCAUAGCCAACUUUCCAUUUUGGAUUAUGAAAGAUGAGGGUCUUUUUGGUAUUAAUCUUGUUUCACACAAUCCAGGAACUUCCAUAACAUUAGCGUGAUUUGGUUUGAGCAAUAGAUCAUGACAUGAUACAUCUUCUUAAUGAAAAUGGAGUGGAAACAUGAGUUAGCUUUUCCAGUAUAUAUAGAAUGAGCACUGUGAACUAUCGGCUUCAAAAAGAUAAUUGGUUGAAUGAAAAUCAACACUUUAACUCGAUCGAAAUACGAAUGAGAAAAAAAAAACAGUUGCUUACUUGCGAAGAAGAGGGCAAAGGAUGCAAUAGCUUCGAUUUGAGCAAAGGCCAUAUUCCUUUCUUGAUAAACCUCUUUUCUUUGAACCACUGCUUGUCAUGGUCGGUUGUUCCAGUUAUCAUCUUUAUUUGAGGCGCAGGUUUCAUAUCCUUAAUUCAUGUGGUUAAGAAAGUCUUUGUUUUCUAGAUGUUGAAAAAAUUUAGAAUUGGCUUUUCGAUGAUAAGAGAAUAGAUAAGACUUCCAUGGGAGGUCGAAUUCCAAACUUCUCUCUCAAGUAUACUCAUUACCAAAAAAUGGACGUCACUUUAGGACACAUGCGGAUAGCCGCCCCGCGUGGCUAAAAGUAAGCCAAAAGAGCUCAAACUCUUUUUUUUUAGUUCCGCUGAGAAACUCGAGUCUUAUAAAAGACGCCACUCUAUGAGGGAAGUCCUUGGGUCGAGUCUUUGCAAGUUCAUCCGAAAUGGAACCUCCUCAUGGUCGGGAAGAUGCAAAUAAAACGCCAAUAGCCGGUUCUAUGGCAUAAGCUUAAAAGAAGAGAGCUAUCAACGAAGAAUAAACAUUUCAUAAGAAAAUCCAAUUUAUUUUUUUGAAACUCGACUUCUUUCAAUUCUAAGAAAGAAAAAUAUCAAAAAAUUCAUCAAUAAAUGAUGAACUUCAUUAUACAAAUGAUAGGACAGGGCUAAGGUAGUGAUCCUGAUGGAGAUUAGGAUGAGCUUGGAUGAAAAAAAAAAAAAAAGAAUAGGUAGAAAUUCUCAUAGGUGAAGCAAAUCAACCCUAUUUUCAGACAAAGAAGAUAAAAAAAAAAACAAAACUAAAGUGGCUUGGAAAGCCUCGGAUAUUCUAUGAUAAAUUGGAAACGUCAAAGUGAGUUGUGGCUUAUAAAUAGGAAGAUGAGGGGAUAACGGGCGAAGGAUAUUUUUUCUAUUAUUAAUUAGAUUACCACGUCUAAUUAGACCAUUACAUACGAAAUCCGAUAAUGUUAUUAAAAAUAUUUCUUUUCUUCAUUUUUUGUCUCAUUGAAAAAUAUUUUAAUGUUAUUAAAAACUUUUAUUAUUUAUUUAUUAUCUAACUGUUGAUUAUCCGUAACCUUCAAUUUCAUUUGCUUUCUUCUUUGACUGCUCUGCUCCCCAACACAAAUGAGGAAAGACUUGUCGAAAAUGGUUGGUUAGUUGGUUGUUGACCAACGGAAAAGCAUAGGAAAAAGAAAGAACACUAACGAAGAUGAUUCUGGAUUGGUCACCUGGAGAAAGUUGACAUCAACGGCUUACUCUUUUGCUGAGCAAAAAGAGAAAGAAUUUAUAUGAAGAGAGAUUUUCAAAGAAGCAAGCGGAGGCUCAAAAGUCAGAGCUUUUCGUUUUCUCUAUUGGCUCUCGGAAAAUAGAUUGACUUAGAAACGUACUCUUCUUCCGCUUUAGCAAAAAAGGCUUUCUUUUUACUUACUAAAUUUAGAGUCUAGUUCUAUAUUUUUCCUAUUUUCUUUUAUGUCUCUUGUCCUUUCUUUCUCGAGUUGGAAGCCAGUGAGGAGAGAUUUCUUUUGAUUAGUAUAGGAUAGGACUAACUCUUUUUCUUCCCAUUCUGUAUACAGAAAUGUUUCCAUGUGAGUCUUUACUUCUUACUUCUAUUUUCGACAUAGGUUUCUCUCAAUGGUGGGCCAGCCUAGAGAAUCUCCCUAGCUCUAGUUGGAGUUUCCUUUGCUGUUGGUGCAGCCGAGAAAAUAGGAUCCACGUAAGUUUCUUUUGAUAUCGCUAGGAGUUCCAGCCAAUAAGCCAAUUUAAGUAAGGCUAGGGUAAAGGUAUACACCUAGGCAAUCUCUUUCUUUCUCUAGGAAGGCAAUAGUUCUCUGGUUUUGGUAGGUCUAUAAAUAGAUAGUUGGAGGGCUAGCUAACAUAGAGAGAUUUCCUUUUUGUUUUUUUUUUUCCCCCCUUUAUUUGUGAAGAUAUUUCCUACAAGUGGGAGUUCUCAUUCUCUGUAAUCCCACCCAGGGAUCACUACUAAGUAAGCAAGCUACCUAUUGCCUCAAAUGGAAUGGAUCGCCAUGAAAGGAAAGCACUUAGGAGAAGGCAUUACGGCUGAAGACCGUAGCACUCUCAUGAGAUAGUAGAAAGAAUGGACCUCAAACUCUUCCCACAUGUAAGGAAUUAGUUAGGAAAGUCUUAGAAAUGUAAAUGGCUCGCUGGAAUCCCCAUCGAAGAUAAUAGGAUUGCCUAAAAAAAGGAAUAUCUUAGUACUACAAUUGGGUUUGUUGCUUACCUUCAUACUCCAAUUGGAAGACUUGAAAGUCAAGUGACUGCGUUUUCCCUUUAUUAAAAAUAUGAUAUUUAUUGAACUGGUUUCAAACCUGAUCUACGACCACCCUCCUUGAACCCCAACCUACCUACAGAUUUUUUUUCCCGUAGCUCGUCAUCCGUUCUAGGACCGUCUUCUCGUGCAACCUCCAUGUAAAGCAAAACUUACCAUAGAAGUUAGUCUACGAUCAGCCGACAUGAGCAUUCGGUUAAACCAAACCAUUUCAAGCGCUCCCAUAUAGAAUCGGAGUAAUGGUAGUUGACUGUCUGUCUAUAAAAUUAGGGCUCAAGGCACCCACCCAACCGAUCUUUAGGAUGGUUACAAAAAUUUCCUCAAUUCAGUAGACCAAAAAAAUAAAAACUAUAGUGCGAUAGAAGGUGGCAUAUAGUCAAGAUAUAUGCCCUCCUAUGUUGGUCCUAAGAAAUCCUGACUUCAUGGGAAUAAGGAAAACAUUUCUUUCGCAUGCCCAUAUGUAAAAAACCAUCACAUCUUAAGGUUAGUUCAAGGUAGUAUAGUUCUUAAUUAGUGGUUCAUUCGCUCCAAAUUCCACCCUACUAUGGUAUAGUAAGACUUUCCAUAGUCUGUUAUGAAGAUAGUUAGUGAUAGGCUUCCUAGUGGGUACGACCUAUUUCUUAUUUUAUUUUAUUUAAUAGAUAGUAUAAUUGAAAAUAGACUCUUUUUUUUUAUAUCUAUCUAUAAAAAUAUAUGAAUUCCCUAAGGAUUGCAUUGAUUCAAACUCUUUUCUAGUCGGGUCGGGAGAAAUUCAAACUAGAUAAUGAUGCAAUUGACCGAUAAAUGGAAACAAUGUGGCCUUCUUCAAAAUUAGAAAUGAAAAUCAGUCUUUACAAACCGAAUCUUGUUCACGUACAUUGUUGAAUUAGGUUGACCCCCAUAUUGGUAUAUAUGUCUUGGAUGCAUUUUGAUUGCAGAGGUAUAUCACUUCAUAUUUUCAUAUUGUCAGUGCCAUUAAUACCACAUGAUUUUCUACACAUGGAAUCUAAAAACUAUGUAAGAUAUAUAUAAAAAAAAAAAAAAAGGUAUUAUAUGAACAUAAACUCUCGAAUUUCACUUAAACAUGUCGUCUUACCUUAGAAGUUAUAUUUUACCGGAUUGGAGAAGCGAAGACAAGGCUAAAGUGCUUUAUAUAGGGCUAAACGCGCCUCCCUAACUUUAAGGGAAAAGGCCUUAGAUUCGCCUUAUGUUGAAUUAAGAAAUAUAACAAAUUUACACAACUUGAACAUGGAAGGUAAGAAAUAAUAAAAAUUUACACUACUUAUAUUCCAAAGAUUGUGUUAGAAUAAUGUAACAAUUACAUGACCCAUUUGUAGAAAAUAACUUACCUACGGUUGGGUCAAGUCAUUAGAUGACUAGGUAGAGGAAAAACAACAAACUAACAAACAUGAAUCUUAGACUAUUAUUUUUUUCUCUUUCACACAUGAUAGUGGUCUUAGUCCAUAAUUUUUUUUGUCCAUUAGCAAAGGUAGGGAAUCUUCAUUUUUAUCUCUUGUGUUGUCAUCUUUCCUCUUUAAUAUCUCACAUGCUAAAUUGUUCCACCUUUAACUUGUAAUAUGGUGAAAAGCUUAUUUAUCAUAUCUUAUAAGGCAAGUAUUUGAAAAUUUUGAAAUUCUUUUUAGAAAGACUAUCAAGUCUUGGUGUGGAGCUACAUUUUUCACGUGCAUCCUCACUUGAUGACAAGACUUGCUUUUUAUUGUAACAAACUGAUUUUUAAAAAAGUUGGAUUCAUUCUCUCAUAAAAAAUCUCUACAAAAUUUAAAUAAUUUUUUUUAAUAUAUAAAAAUUUGAACAAAUGCAAUAUUUUGAAUACACACAACACAAUUUUUUAUAAAUUUUUUUAUUGGACAAAGAUUUUUCAUAUAAUUUUAAUAAUGUUGGAUCAAUUUGUUAAAGUUUUAUUAAAUCCUUUUUUAUACACUUCAAUAAAAGAAAUUUGAAUUUUCAUCCUAGUACCUACAUGAUCCACUCUUAAUAAUUUGUGUAAAUAUGUAGUAAUUUAAAUUUGUAGAAAAUAACUUACCUAUGGUUAAUCAUCCUAGUGCCUACACAAUCUAUUCUUAAUAAUUGGUGUAGAUAUGUAGAGAUUUAAAUUAGUAUUUUGAAAAUUGAAUUAAAUGGUUUCCUUUUAGUUUUCCACACUCUUUCCAAUUGCUCCAUAAAACAAAUUAGAGGCUUUAGGUUCGUGUUACAAUAUGAAGUUAUAAAUAAACUUUUUUUUUAUUUUUUUUAAGAAUCUUUUUCCUAUGUUAACUACAACUAAUAUUUAAGUUUGAAGUACUCCCAAAAUGCAUUUGACUAGUAACUAAUUUGAAAUUACAAGUUUAGCAUUAAGACUGAUAAUUUGUUGUGACAUAUUGGAUUCGCCUUAUGUUGAGUUAUGAAAUAUAACAAAUUUACACAACUUGAAUAUGGAAGGUAAGAAAUAAUAAAAAUUUACACUACUCAAAUACCAAAGAUUGUGUUAGUACAUGACCCAUUUAUUUCACAAAUAAUACUAUAGACACCAUCUAGUUAACUUAUUUAAUAAAUAGGUUAAGUUGAAUUGUGUAUGAAUUGAUAGAUAAUUUUUUUAAGUUAUUAAUUAUUUAAUUAUGUAUUUUUAACUACAAUAUAUUUAUAAGGUAAGAUUAAAGUUUUAAUUUUACAAUUGUUUAUAUUUUAUUUAAUUUUCCAUUAUAAACUAUUUUUAAUCUUUAUAUUUUUUAAAUAUAUAAAAUUUUACUUUGUUAGUUAUUUAAUUUUUUUAUUAUAUGAUAUUAUUAUUUAAAAACUAUUUUAAUUUUUAUAAUUUUUAAUAUGCAUAAUUAAUAAAUUUAUAUGAUUAAAAUGUGACCUAAAUAGGUUAUUUUAAUAUUGUUAAGUAAAUGAAUUAAACUGGUUGACAAUUAAAUUCAAGUAUAACCUAUUUAUUAAACAAAUUGACAUGAUUUUGAAUAAAUAUAAUCAUGUUUAAACCAAACCUCUAAACUUUAUGUCAUUUUUGAGUCAUAUUGCCAAUUCAUGUCAUAUUUGCUACCCUUAGCAUAUAACCAAGAGUCAUUAGUCAAUCUACCCAAAAUUCUUUAAAAUUUUAUGAAAGAAAAGUGUAAUGGGUAUGAUGAUUAGAACUAAUACCAUUUGAGAAGAGAAAAACUUAGGCUAUGUUUGAUUCCAGAAAAUUUGAGGGAAAAUGUGAUGGAAAGAGAAUAGAUAGAAAAAGUGGAAGGAUAGAAAAAACGAAGGAAAAUAAAAAGUAGAUCCAAAGUCAAUAAAUCAUUUUUAUAUCAUUCUUUAAAUUCAUUUCACUUAUUAUCUCCCAUUAUAUCAAUAAUAAGUAAUUUUAAAAUGCAUAAAUUUUUAACAAAAUUUGAUUAUAUUUUAUUUUCUUCCAUAUCUUCUAUAAUGAAACCAAAUAUAAAAAAAAAAUAUUUUGCUCAAACAUUUUUUUCUUUCAUUCUUGAUACUUUCUAAGAACCAAACAUAGUCUUAAUGUUUUAAUAGCAUAUUUUCUUCAUUCUUAGGGAAUAAAAUGAAAAGGAAUUACUCCUUUCUUGUUAAUUCCAAGGGUUUACUUCACUAUUGAAAUUGGUAAAAGCAUGUUGGAUCAAAUUUUGAGAAAACUAAUUUCUCCAGCCCUCGAGGCCAUUUAAAAAUCCAUUUCUUUUCCUCCGUGAAUGCAAGGUGACCAAAACAACCCCUCCUAACUUGUUGUAACUAUUUCAAUUAACAUAAUGAAAUAUUUAGUUAUUGUAAUCCUACACAUUAAUAAACAUGAUGACAUGUUAAAAUAUUUAGUUGUUUGAGGGUUCAAUACCACAAGUUCCUCAUCUCGUGUAAUUGUUGGAUAUCUCCAAUAACAAGUUAUUGGGGUCCAUUUCUCUAUUAUGUUCAGUUGUUAAUCCGUCACUUAUCCUACUUGACCUCUCAAACAACUCAUUGACAGGGGAGGGCUACCCAAUUGUUGGGCACAAUGGGAAAGCUUGGUAGUUGUUAAUUUGGAAAAUAACAGAUUUUCUAGGAAAAUUCCAAAUUCAUUUUGCUCCUUGCAAUCAAUUCAAAGUCUACAUUUGCGCAACAACAAUUUAACUAGAGAAUUGCCUUUAUCUUUUAAGAAUUGUACAAGUUUGAAGCUUAUUGAUUUUCAAAAAAUAGGUUGACAAGAAAAAAGCCAGAAUGGAUUGGAGGAAACCUCCCAAAUCUAUUUGUUCUAAAACUAGGAUCUAAUGGAUUCAGUGGAGGUAUAUCUCCAGAGCUAUGCCAAUUGAAAAAAUAUUCAAAUAUUGGACCUCUUUAGUAACAAUAUGUCAGGUGUUAUACCAAGAUGUCUUGGUAGUUUCACUGCCAUGACUAAGAAAGAGAGCUUGGUCAUUGCUCAUAAUUAUUCAUUUGGACCUUUUGGUGGUGUUCAAUACCAUAUAGGUGGGAAGACACCUGAGAAUGCCUCUUAUGUUGAUGGGGCGUUGGUUAAAUGGAAAAGAAGAGAAUUUGAGUAUAAAAAUACUCUUAGACUUGUAAAGAGUAUUGAUCUUUCAAGUAAUAAGCUAUCAAGGGAAUUUCCAAGAGAAGUAAUUGAUCUUCUAGGAUUAGUUUCAUUAAAGUUAUCAAGGAACAAUUUGACUAGAUUGAUCCUUGCAAGAAUUGGUCAAUUGAAAUCAUUGGAGACUCUUUGGUGAAAUUCCAGCUAGCCUUGUUGAAAUAAGUGGUCUAAGUGUCUUAGAUCUCUCCAACAACUUUUUCUCUGGUUAAAUUCCAUAAGGUACUCAACUUCAAAGCUUCAAUAUUGAUUCCUACAAGGGAAAUCCUGCCCUUUGUGGACUGCCUCUUCUGAAAAAGUGUCAUGAAGAUAAAAUAAAGCAAGAUUCUCUCACUCAUAUCAUUGAAGACAAAAUUUAGCAAGAUAGAAAUUACAUGUGGUUUUAUGUUAGCAUUGCUCUUGGAUUCAUUGUUGGAUUUUGGGGAGUGUGUGGAACUUUACUACUCAACAACUCAUGGAGAUAUGCUUAUUUUCAGUUCUUGAAUAAAAUAAAAGAUUGGCUCUAUGUGAUUAUAGCAAUAAAUAUGGCUAGAUAACAGAGGAGUCUUCAAAGAUAAAUGGUACAAUUCUCCUCCUCUCUUUCAUUUGUACUUGUUUUUGAUGGCCAACAACUCUCAAAGAAAGAUAGGCUUUUGCAUAUUCUUGGGAUAUACUUUAUAAAUUUUCUUUCCAUGCAACUAACUAGAGAGAUUUUUUCAAAUUGAUGAACACUAAUUUUACUUUGUGCUAAUUACAGAACUUCAACUCCUGUUCUUGCCAUAUUAGCAUGAUUGAAUGCAAAUAGUUAUGUAUGUCCUUCAUUUUAUGGUAGAUUUUGGGAUGCAAGAAGUUUUUUUAUUUUAUUUUUAUGAUUACUUAUGUUCUUUAGAUGCUUAUUUUAUCUUUUAUUAAGAAAUUUGUGGACAUUUUAUCUCUUUUGUUCCUUAUAUAAUGCUUUUAUUUGGUAUUUGGAUACUUUAUGGUUCAUCCAAACAAUAUUAUAGAAGGAUAUCAAAGGUAUAUUGUUGUCCGACUUUUAAUUUUAAAAAUAUUUCUUUCAUUCUAAAACCAUUUUUUAUUCAUUAAAAUUAGAACAAAAUAAAAAUUAAUGUUAUUAAUUUGGUUAUGAAUAAUAUAAGUUUUUGUCAAAUUAUUAAUAAUCAAAUCAUAAUUUCAACAUUUAAGAAAAAAUAAUUUUCUUCACAAGUUAUUAAUGAUUUGUUUCUCUCUUUCUAGAAAACUAGAUUACUCUUAUAAAUGCAAACCUCUUUUUUUCUUGUCUUCAAGCUUUCUCACUUGAAGUUGUCUCGCAUGUAGAUUAUUUUUGUGGAAUCUCUAGUUUUCAUCCAUUUUCUGCUCCCUUUUCUUCUUAGUGAUUGAUUUUAUAGAAUAUUAAGUCUAACUUCUUUUCUUAAUAAAAGGUUUUUUUUUUCUAAGUAAAUAAAAAAAAAAAAAAAAAACUCUUGUUCUUUUCUCUAUUUUAACAUAAUCCAACUAUAGGAUAACUAAAAUAUGAUUGAAAAAUAUAAAAUAAGUGAGAAUAAUUAUAUUCUAAUUAUACUCUAUAAAUAAUAUCAAAUAUUUGAUUCACAUAUUAGAAAAUAGUACCAAUCUCCAUCAUCAUGAGAUUAAUAUCCCAAUAAUUAAUCUUUUUUUAUUUGUUGAAAUUUCUUAUCUUUCGUGGUGCAUUACAAAACUCCUUAAACACUUUACACAAUGGUCUCUUGUUGUUUUGUUUUUGGUGUUUAUUUUAUUUUAUUUUAUUUUUUAUCAUUUCCCUGUCUUUUUUAGGUCUUCCAUUGCUUGGAUUAUUCUAUGCAGGAAUUUGAUCAAAAAGCCAUUAAUAAUCUAGUCCAAUCAAGUUUGUGAAAUGGUAAAAAUGAGAACUUUUAUACUAUCAUUAUUUCAUAAGUUUUUGUGUUUAUUAAUUUUUAUUUAUUUCUUUAUGAUAAAAUCUUUUAUCAAAAAUAUUUUUAAUGAAACGAUAAUUCUUUACUAUGAUUUUUUUUUAAAUUUUAAACUAUAAAGGAUUUCAAUUCUUAUUAUAUAUAUAUAUAUAUAUAUUCUCUCUUUUAAGCUAUUAGAACAAGUAGCGACUGGCUUUCUUGUGAAGGCAAAUUGAAAGCAAAGACCAUAGUUUCAAUUAUGCUAACCUUAAUAAGAACCAACCUCAUCGCAAAGAGUGGCUCUUAACUCAUUGAUAUAGCUAGAGAGAAUUACUUUCUAAUUUUCUCAUUUUUUGAGCUCAAAACUAAUCAAGUAACAACUAUUAUCAUAAAAUUAAUUACUUCUUUAUUUAUAAUUAUAUUCUAAUUAUAAAAUUAAAUAUUUGAUUAAUAUAUUUGAUAAUACUUAUAAAUAUUUAAAAUAGUUCCAAUAUAAUAUCCAUUAGGGGAUUAUUAUCCUGACUGACUUGCUUUAUUUGUUAUGUAUUGAUAAUGACCCACUCACCAU